rnacentral:lncRNA from 1 species
CUUAUGACUGCUACUGUUGCUGCUACCGCUAUUGCAACUGCUACUGCUGCUGCUGCUCCAAGAGCCGGUAGGCUAAAAAAGAUAGAACCUCAUCAGCAGUGUAGAAGCUGUGGAAUGAUCAUGGUGAGAAGUAGAUCAAUAGAAACAGCAUUGCAACAGUCUAUGAUCGCAGCAGCAGCAGCCACAGCAGUAGUGUCUGCAAGAAUGGAAUAAUGUUAUGGUGAGUUUCAGUUCCAUGCUUUGUGUGAUUAACCACUUGUUUUUAAAAUUCUCCAACCUACCGCUUUUACCGUAAUCAUUUUGUUUUGUUUUGCAAUUUGUUUUUCAUCUUCUAUAUUUCUAUGAAAAUUUACAAUUCCAUUACUUCUAAAUUAAGACUAAAAUCUGGUUGACAUCUAUCGUCAUGCGGGCAGUGAUUUCUAAUUAUUUAGUUACUACUCUCAAGAAGAAAUGGUAAAUGCAUAAUCUCUACUACUUAUAGUUGAAGCUCCUACAUUCAACUUCACUAUGUUGCCUAACCUCCCCUUUAUUUCAUCUCAUAAUGGUAUAUUCCUCUCAUUCAUUUGUUCAUGGUAUGUUAUAGCUAACUCUCUUUUAAGUUGACAAUUCUAACUGGAGCUAUGAUAUGACAUACGCUCUACCAAAUACAUUCUUUUUGAUUUGGAUCUGGGCUCUUACAUAUACAUUCAAAUCUGGUUAGAGUCUCUAAAAAUUAUAGUAAGUGUCAUUUGUUUUACCAUUUUUUGAAAUAUGAUUUAUGUUGUUAUUUUCUUAGCAGUUCCUUUCCUUGACUGCUCUCCUUACAUACUCCCUUUCUCUCCUUGGAUAUUUACCAUAAAUCUUUAUAGCUGUCUGCAUUUUCUUUUCUUACUGUCUUCAAAUAUCUCCAGUGACUUAUGUCUGAAAUAAUAUUAGGUGCGUUUCCUAUAAUUUCUAUCUAUCCCAUCAGAAUGUACUCUUAAUUAAGUUCCUAAAUGCCAUAAAUGAGAACUACCAAUAUUUUUAUUCAACAUACAUCAGCAGAAAAGUAAUCUUUGCUGCAUUUCAUAAUUUUAACGUUAGCAAAGAUUAUAUUUUAUGUAAUCUAAGAAAAGAUUUUGUAGGGAUUCCAGUAUUAUGUGUAUGAUAGCUUACUUUUAUUCAAUGAACCCAGAUGCAAUGUUUAUUAAUUAUCUAUGUGUCAAAACAUGUGUUUCACUUCUUUUGAUAAGGGGAUACAAUUAAUAAAAUAUCUAAAUAAAAUGAAAUGUAAGAUUAUUUCUUCUGUAGCAGAAUCAGAGAUUUUCAUUUAUGGUAUUUUAAAUGUUAUUUUUUUUCUCUGCUUACUCUUAUUCGUUAUAUCAGAAAAAAAUUCUUUGUGCUUUUAAAUUAUUCAAUUAAUUGUAUUAUAAUUGAUUCAUUUAAUAAUUUCUCAAAUAUUAUGUAACUUAUCUGAACUAAAUGUUAUAUUCACCAUUUAUUAAAACAUACAGAAAAUAGAUAUAAAUAUUCUUAAAAUGUCCUGAGGAAAGAUUUUCUUUUAAUAGUUUUCUGUUACAUGUUACAAUCCAGAGUGUAGAAACUGAAUCAAGAAAUAACUCAUAGCGUUUUUGUAAACCAGAGCAUGGAUGGCUGAAUUAAAGUAGUGGUCAACCAGCUGGGAGGUUGACAGUUCAUAUUAUAUGACUGGCAUUUCAUUGUACACAUGAUCAAAAUGCUUAGCUCUCCAAGUUUGAGUCCACCCUGCCUAAAGUAGGUACAUCAUGUGGUUCAAUUCACUGUAGUAGGCAGUGGCUGCACUAUACAAUUUUAUAGUAAUUCAUUCAGUUGUAGUCUUCUAUUCCUUCAAUGGAAAAGCAACCUGAAAUAGAUUGGCAUCCCAUGUAGGAGAAUCUUUAUUUCUCAUUUGCUUAAUGCUACUGAAGACUGGAGGUAAUCUCCAACCUUAUGGAUACACAUGAUUCAGGAAGGACUUCCUUCUGAAAAGUACAUGCUGCUUCAGUUUUGCUUUCUGUACACAAGUUAUUGCCUCUUGUUACAUGCAUCAAUGAAAGUCUUCCUUUUUGCUAGGUAAAUACUAGUAGCGCACAUGCUUUUCUAUCAUUCAUGUAGACGCUUGUAAAAGACGCUGUAACUAAAGUACAGAAAUAACCCAAUCAAUAUAUAUAUAUAUAUAUAUAUAUAUAUAUACCGGAGUAAACACAUAAAUGUGAAACAAGGUGGAAAAAAGAGUACUCAAAUACCAGUGGUAGAGUAAUAUGCUUUAUUUUAAGCAGCAGAAAAUUCAACAAAAUCUGUUACUCUGAGUUUCUCGUUGCCGUUACAAAGAUGCACAUAUACAUAUACACGAGAGAGGGGUAUGGUGGAUGAGUACAAGAGGAGCAGCUGCAGUGGGGAUAAAAAUUUGGUGCACGUUCUCUCAGCACAAUAAACAUCUUACUGUUGAGUAUAUAUAUGAAUCUGUGUGCUGUGUGUUUAUAUUUAUGAUAGGUAGAGAGCUGAUAGGUGGAGACUUGUGACUGACAAUUAUGUAAGCCGGUACAACUUGUGCAUGGUCAAGCUGUUGGUGAUUAAACCGACAACUUUACCACAACUGCUUGAUAAGGAAGGUGACUUUUAGGACAUCCUAUGAAAUGGGAAACAAAACUGUCAAACAGCUGAAGUCAAGGAUCAAUUACCAACUGAAUACUUCUUCCAUGCAUUUAUAUACACAUGUAAAUAGAAAUAUAUAUACACGUGCAUCUAUAUUUGUAUUUACAUCUACAUAUAUGUGCACAGAGAAGAAGGAUACUUAAAAUUUGUAUUUUUGUAGUUGCUAGUCAUCUUGCUAUUUUUCUUAUUUAUGUUUUGUUGUUGUUGUUGUUGUUGUUGCUAGUCUAACUGUUCCAACAGUUAGAGAGUGUCAUACAGGUCACUUAAGUGACUGUCAUUAUGAAAUAUGAUUUGUUGGUACUUUUUGCCCCAUUUUUUUUCUUCUUUUUCUUAAGAUAUGAUAUUCUUGGAGACACAAAGUGAUGGCAGAUUUUUGGUUGUGGUGGUCACAGCUCAUAAAUAUCUGCAAGAAUCCCUAGUUCAUGAAUGCCUUAAAAGUGUAGUACAGAGUUGUGAGCAGUCAUGCUUAUCCAGUUACCCAUGUGGUUGCAUCCUCCAUUGAAAUACCAUUAGUGUCUAUGGGAUGGAAUCUAUUUUUUGUCAUAUUAAUGCAUAGCAGCAUCAACAAGGAGGCAUUCAUCAUCAUCGUUUAACAUCCAUUUUCAAAGGUAGCAAGGGUUAGGAAAGAAGAAAUGAGCACUAAAUUUAACCCAUAAUGAGUUCACAACUACCAUAUACCUGUGCAUGUGUAUGAGUGACUGAAGGACUGAAUGAAUGACAUCAAUGAAUGAACAGACGGAUGAAUGAAACCAAGCAGAGACAAGGCCACAAUUCAGGAAGUUACCCCAGAUGUUUAAAAGCUAUAGAUUAGUAUUUGAGUAAGUACUCUUAUACAAGAUUUCAUAUACAUUAUGUCCCUCUCACACUCUCUCUCUCCCCCUCUCACCAUCUCUCACUCUCUCUCUCUCUCUCUCUCUCUCUCUCUCUUUCCCUUUCUCUUUCUCACUUUGCUUCUUUCUCUUUCAUAAAUACUUAUGCCGUGAGGAGAUUCUUUGUGCUUUUUAAUGUUGCCAGUUUUGGACCACUUUUUACUAAGCACCAUGACAUUCAAUAUAGCCAUUUUAUAUAGGAAAAUACUUAAUGAAUGCUGAUAACGUGAUUACAGAUGCUAAUGUUUGUAUUGUGACAUGGUUGUAAACAUUGCAGGUGCCUUUUUGGUUGUGUUGUGUUUAGCUUUACAAUUCUCCUAUCCUGUAAUUUCCACAGUUAUCUUUGUCAUUGUCCUUUACUUUUACAGCAUUUACACUUACAUUGUCAGCCACAUUUACAGCAAUCCCAGUAGAAAUUCAUUUUGGUCUUUUGUGGGUAAAUAAUUCAUACAAUGGCAGUCCUUAAUCAUUUCGUUUUCUACAUUUUAAUGUUUGUACAAAACUAUAUGUAUAUAUAUAUAUAUGUAUAUAUAUAUAUAUCAUCAUCAUCAUCAUCAUCGUCGUUUAACGUCCGUUUUCCAUGCUAGCAUGGGCUGGACGGUUCAACUGGGGGUCUGGGAAGCCAGGAGGUUGCACCAGGCUCCAGUCUGAUCUGGUAGUGUUUCUACAGCUGGAUGUCCUUCCUAACGCCAACCACUCCAUGAGUGUAGUGGGUACUUUUUAUGUGCCACCAGCAUGGAAGCAGUCAAGGUGGCACUGGCAUCGGCCAUGGUCAGGUGGUGCUUUUUAUGUGCCACCAGUAUGGGUAUCACAACUACAAUUUCCAUUUGAUUUUUAUUUUGAUGUUGAUGUACUUGACUCAAUAUGUCUCCUCAAGCACAGCAGGUCAUAUACAUAUGUAUAUAUAUAUAUAUAUAUAUAUAUAUAUAUAUAUAUAUAUGUAGCAGAAGUCAACUACUAGCAUUAAAUAUAGUGCAUUCUAUUAUUGAAAUGGUCCAUUUACUGUUUCAAUACAUUCAAACAUUUAGUAUUUACUUAUACAAGCAUACGUAUAAGGGAUUUAAGCUUAAUAUAAACUUUACUGUGCACUUUGAACACAUUAUUUUCUACUUCUUAUUCAGUUCUCUUCAUUUUGAGCCCAAACUGGCCAUAUAAUCGCAUACUUCUUUUACAUUUGAUAUCCAGUCAUUAAUUUAUCUUCAUAAAUACCCAGAACAUUAUUUGAUUAUGAAGUUUCGAGUUGCAUGAAUUCUACAUUUAAUUUUUCUUAUUUACCUAUUUCCAAACAAAGUGAAGAAAUCUUAUAAUACUAAUUCUUAAAAUUCUUUUAAAGAAACAGCAACUCUGAAUUAUAAAAGAUGCUACAUUUCAAAAUGAAUGAACUUUUUUCCAAUGAUUUUUAGGUACUUUGUAUAAUUGUAGUAUAAAACUUUGAUACUGGUUUAAUACAUACACACACAUACAGGUUCAUACAUAGCUAAUAAGAUAAUAACAAAUUACAUCAAAUACAGUAGAACUCAAAUACAGUAGAAAAAUUUCACUAUUUUUUGAUAUAUAGGCACAGGAGUGGCUGUGUGGUAAGUAGCUUGCUUACCAACCACAUGGUUCCAGGUUCAGUCCCACUGGGUGGCACCUUGGGCAAGUGUCUUGUACUAUAGCCUCAGGCCGACCAAAGCCUUGAGUGGAUUUUGGUAGAUGGAAACUGAAAGAAGCCCGCUGUAUAUAUGUAUAUAUAUGUAUGUGUGUGUAUAUGUUUGUGUGUCUGUGUUUGUCCCCCCAACAUCACUUGAUAACCAAUGCUGGUGUGUUUACGUCCCUGUAACUUAGCGGUUCGGCAUAAGAGAAGACCAAUAUAAUAACUGCUAUGCUUCCAAAGAAUAAGUCCUGGGGUCGAUUUACUCAGCUAAAGGUGGUGCUAUAUGUAGUUCUUUUUUUCUCUUUUGUCACUAUUCAUUGAAAUAUUAUUUAUAUGUCAGAGAGAAGACUUUAGUGUAUGCAUGUGUUCAGCUAUAUUCCCAGUAAUACAUUUUGCGUACCAAGGAUAAAAUGGUGGUUGUUGUUAUACAUGUGUCCAGCAUGUGCUAAUGAGGUAUAUAUUAGAAUAGACUAAAUGGAGCAGAAGGAUACACGUGGACAGAAAGGGUCCCCAAAGAGGUUACAGAUGUAUGACAAAAGAUUUCCAGUCAAUCAACAUAAGAUAAAAUAAGAACAUUAAUAAACGAUUGAAGAAUGAAUAUGUAGUGCAUGUGUUUAUUUAGCAAAAAAAAACUGACCAUCCCAAAAUAUAACAGUAUGUAUGCCUGUAUGUAUGUAUGUAUGCAUGUAUGUAUGUAUGUAUGUAUGUAUAUAUGUAUGUAUGUAUAUGUAAGUGAUGAUGAUGAUGAUAUAUAUAUAUAGGGAGUGGCUGUGUGGUAAGUAGCUUGUUUACCAACCACAUGGUUCCAGGUUCAGUCCCAGAGCGUGGCAUCUUGGGCAAGUGUCUUCUGCUAUAGCCCCGGGCCAACCAAUGCCUUGUGAGUGGAUUUGGUAGACGGAAACUGAAAGAAGCCUGUCGUAUAUAUGUAUAUAUAUAUGUGUGUGUGUCUGUGUUUGUCCCCCUAGCAUUGCUUGACAACCGAUGCUGGUGUGUUUACGUCCCCGUCACUAAGCGGUUCGGCAAAAGAGGCCGAUAGAAUAAGAACUGUGCUUACAAAGAAUAAGUCCUGGGGUCGAGUUGCUCGAUUAAAAAGGCGGUGCUCCAGCAUGGCCGCAGUCAAAUGACUGAAACAAGUAAAAGAGUAAAAGAGUAAGAUAUAUAUAUAUAUAUAUAUAUAUAUAUAUAUAUAUAAAAAAAACAAACAUAAGCUAACAAAUUGUUCACUUUAAAUGUUAUGUAUUCCACAAUCGUGCAGCAUGUGCUGACAUGUGGAUAGACUUGCAAACAGAAGCACGUGUUAGGCAAAUGUAUGUAAUGACUAAUAUUUAAGAUGGUCAUUGUAUGUUUGGAGAAAUUACUUCACUGAAUGAUGUAUACAAUAUACCAUGUUUUAUUCAUUGUUGCUCUAUGUAGAAAGAAAAAUGCUAAGAUCUCAUAAAACUCACUAGUAGUAAUUUACAUAAUGUACCUUAGUUGAAAGUAAAAGGACAUUGAAUUUUUCAAGAUAUAUAGGGAGGUAGACCAAGGAAAACAUGGAGGGGACAGAUGGAGGAGGAGAUUGAGAGGGUUGGCUUGAGAAGGGAGGGCGCCCAAAACUGGACAAGAUGGUGAGAUGGUGUGAGUAUGGAUGCUAUGGCAUUGAGGGAGAUCCAGCCACCCCCGUUAACAGGGACAAAACCUGGAUUCAAAACACUGGAUGAUGAUGAUGAUAUAAGAAUUUACCCCGAGGAAGUUCCUAUAUAUUUUCAUUCAUAUGGAAACUGUUGUUGUUUGUAGAUUAGAUAUAUCAACAUGUAUACUGUGUAUUUCUAAAAGAAUAAAUGCAUGCAUUGCUUACUGUAUAAAAACAUUUCCUUCCUUACAUAAAAGCGUUCUACAUUUUUAUCACCCAGAGUGGAUUUGAAUUAUCUUUAAUGAGUGUUCAUACUUUUGAAACAUCCAAGAUAGGAAUGUUAGCAAGUACUUCUUCAAAAACAUAACUAAUUGACUCAUGUUUAUGGAAAAUAUAACAUAAACAUUUUAGGCUAUUUGCUAUUUUGUGUGAGUCCCAGUUCCUACCAGUGGGAAGGAAUUUCAGUACAUUAUGCUAUCUGCAAUAACAUUAUAUAUUGAAGCAGAUACUUUUUAGGACAAUGAAGAUUAGUGGUAAUGUACCUAAACACCUUUACCAGUAUAAUGGGUAAUUACUAUCUCAUUGCACUUCAUUAAUAAAUAUGAAGAUUGAGAGGAUUCUUUUGGAACACUCAUCAACUAAUGACUCUACAAAGAAAUGCUGAUGAAUCAAAUUAAACCUAACAUGCUACCUAUGACAGUUUUAAUGAAAUUAACAAUCAUAAACUGAUUAUUAUACUGUCAUUAUCUUUAUGUUUACAAGUAAAAUUUUUACAUUGUAUAUGCAAAGAUGUUUCAUUGUUUUCAGGAGUGACUGUGUGAUAAGUAGCUUGCUUACCAACCACAUGGUUCCAGGUUCAGUCCCACUGCAUGGUACCUUGGGCAAGUGUCUUCUACUAUAGCCUCAGGCUGACCAAAGCCUUGUGAGUGGAUUUGGUAGACGAAAACUGAAAGAAGCCCGUUGUAUAUAUGUAUAUAUAUAUAUGUAUAUAUGUGUAUGUAUAUGUUUGUGUGUCUGUGUUUGCCCCCCCCCCCCCCCCAACAUCGCUUGACAACCAAUGCUGGUGUGUUUACGUCCCCGUCACUUAGCGGUUCGGCAAGAGAGACCAAUACAAUAAGUACUAGGCUUACAAAGAAUAAGUCCUGGGGUCGAUUUGCUCAACUAAAGGCAGUGCUCCAGCAUGGCCGCAGUCAAAUGACUGAAACAAAUAAAAGAAUAAAAGAAUAAUAUAAAGUGUUCAGAUUGAUACACAUGUGCACAUUGCAUAUUUAAUAAAAUGUGGGUGCUUUAAUAUUCUUGAAUGAGAGUGUUUUGACAUAUGUAUCAACCUGGACUUUAGCUCAAAAGUAAAAUUAAAUCUUCAUUUGUUAUAAGGCAUGCACAUAUAUACUGACACUCAUAUGCAUAUUUCUGUUAAAAAUGUGCAUUUAACGUUAUGUAUGUAUCUUUUGAAAGUUGAAAAAGCAAUGAACAGCUAGCCAAGAAGCUAUCAGCUCAUGUCCUAUCACCUUUACUGGGCUGCACCCAUUGCUAAAACAGCUCUGGCUGGAUUCAGUUGUUUCACUGGUUCGCUGUGCAAACUUUAACUGCAUCUUGAGAAACAGUUAUCAUAGAUAACUGCACCUACCACUGAUAUCUGAGAUAGAUUUGAGUCCUGUUCAGGAGUCAGUUUAAUUUUCAUCUCCUUAAUCUUUUAGAAAUCAGAAAAUUCUGUCAAGCAUAAUGCUUGUUUAUUCACAUUGUUUUGAAUUAAUCUUGCAUUAUUUUGUAACAUUAUGAUUUUAAUGAUGUGAAUACUCUUUACUCUUUUAAUUGUUUCAGUCAUUUGACUGCGGCCAUGCUGGAGCACCACCUUUAGUCGAGCAAAUCGACCCCAGGACUUAUUCUAUCAGUCUCUUUUGCCGAACCGCUAAGUUACGGGGACGUAAACACACCAGCCCCAGUUGUCAAGUGAUGUUGGGGGGACAAACAAACAUAUAUAUAUACAUAUAUACGACGGGCUUCUUUCAGUUUCCAUCUACCAAAUCCACUCACAAGGCUUUGGUCGGCCUAAGGCUAUAGUAGAAGGCACUUGCCCAAGGUACCAUGCUGUGGGACUGAACCCGGAACCAUGUGGUUGGUAAGCAAGCUACUUACCACAAACCCACUCCUGUGCCUAUAUAUAUUUUUAGAAUGGCACUGGAGGAUAGAUAUGAGAGGCCAGAUCCGGCUGGUUUCAACAUAAAACAGGUAGAAUAUUUGGGCUGGAUAUGACCUGUUCAAAUGCUAAAUGAUUAAUAUGAUGGAAAUAAGAAUCAAAUAUGAGUGCAGUGAACUUCAAAUAUUCUGAAAGGAAUUUUAUAUAUCUUUCAAAGACACUUGUAAAAUCCUCUUUUGUAUUUUUACAUAAUUAAAAAAUUUGCUCUCACUCCCCAAAUAUAUACAUAUAUAUAUAUAUAUAUAAAUAUAUACAUAUAUAUGUGUGUGUGUGUGUGUGUGCAUGUAUAUAUGUGUAUAUAUAUAUAUAUAUAUAUAUAUAUUUGUAGGUGCAAUGGCACAGUUGUUAGUGCAGUCAUAAGAUCGCGGUUUCGAUUCCCAGACCGGGCGUUGUGAGUGUUUAUUGAGCAAAAACACCUAAAGCUCUAUGAGGCCCCGGCAGGGGGUGAUGGCGAUCCCUGCUGUACACUUUCGCCACAACUUUCUCGCACUCUUUCUUCUGUUGGCCUGCUCGCUUGCCAGUGGGGUGGCAUCAUUUUAAGGCUAAAACAAUGCGAAGCACAUUGUGACUAGCAAUGUGUAGCAACAUCUGAUAGCCUGGUCAGUCACAGUGAUAUAUAUAUAUAUAUAUUAUACUAUCAUUUAUAUAUUUUCAAGUAUGCACCAUAUGUAUAUAAUGCUCAGUAUGCUGUUUGUAUAGCAGUUUUCAGGUCACUUUAUACAUCAGCCUAGAUAGUCUCUGUCAUCUCUCAAUUGCUUCAGUCAUUAGACUGUGACCAUGCUGGAGUACUGCCUUGCAUUAUUAGUCUAAUGAAUCAACUCCAGUACUUAUUUUUGAAGCCUGUUACUUAUUCUAGGGAUCACUUUUUCCGAACUACAAAAUUAUGGGAAUGCAAAUACACUGGUUCUCAAGUGGUUGGUGGAGGGACAAACACAGACAGAAAGACAUACACACGUGCACAUACCCCCCACACACACACACACACUCAUAUAUAUAGGACAGGCUUCUUUCAAUUUCCAUCGAACAAAUCCACUCACAAGGCUUUGGUUGGCUUCAGGCUAUAAUAGAAAAUACUUGCCCAAGGUAUUUUUUAUUAUAGCCUAAACCCAGGACCCUGUAGUUGAGAAGCAAGCUUCUUACCACACAGUCAUUCCUGCAACUAUGUAUGUAAUGUUUGUAAACAAUCAUGUAUAUAAAAAUUGACUAACAUAAACAUCACUACACAUAACAUAAACACAUCUCUACAUAUAUGUGUACAUAUUUGAUUUCAAAUUGUGACAUAAAACCAGCAAUUUGGGGUCUGGGGUUAAGUUGACUGCAUCAACCCCAGUGCUCAACUGGUACUAAUUUUAUCAACUCCGAAAGGAGGAAAAGCAAAGUCAACCCAGCAGAAUUUGAAUUUAGAACUUAAAGAUGGACAAAAUGUUGCUAAGUGGCUCUGUGGUAAGUAGUUUGUUUACCAGCCACAUGGUUCCGGGUUCAGUCCCACUGCAUGACACCUUGGGCAAGUGUCUUCUACUGUAGCCUCAGGCCAAUCAAAGCCUUGUGAGUGGAUUUGGGAGACAGAAACUGAAAGAAGCCCGUCGUAUAUAUGUAUAUAUAUAUAUAUAUAUAUAUAUAUAUAUAUAUAUAUAUAUAUAUAUAUAUAUAUAUAUUUUUUUUUUGUGUUUGUGUUUUUGCAUGUGUGUUUGUCCCAUCCAACAUUGCUUGACAACUGAUGCUGGUGUGUUUAUGUCCCCAUCACUUAGUGGUUCGGCAAAACAGACCGAUAGAAUAAGUACUGGGCUUACAAAGAAUAAGUCCCGGGGUUGAGUUGCUCGAUUAAAGGCGGUGCUCCAGCAUGGCCACAGUCAAAUGACAGAAAGAAGUAAAAGAGAGUAAGUAUUUCACCUGCGGUGUCAAUGAUUCUGCCAGCUCACUGUCUUAUGUGUGUAUGUACUUAUUAAUACAAUUACAUGCUCAAUAUGUAUGUCAGUGUGUCUCAGUAUAUGAGCAUAUGCUUUAUUAAAAAUAAUAUAUUUUUUUGUCAAAAUAAAGUUAGUUGUUUUGGAUUUGUAAUCCAAAUGUGCAAAUAAUAUUUCCCAUUUAUCACAUGUACAAGAAAUACAUAAGGGGUGGGCAAUCAAUUAAAUUAACUCUUGAAUAUUACUGGUAUUUAUCAAAUUCAAGACAAUGAAGGGCUAAGUCAAUUUUGGUAGGAUCUGAACUCAGAAUAUUUUGUUUUAUUCUUUUAUUUUUUUACUUGUUUCAGUCAUUUGACUACAGCAUCGCUGGAGCACCACCUUGAAGGAUUUUAAUUGAAUAAAACAACCCCAGGACUUAUUUUUCUAAGCCUGGUAUUUAUUCUAUCAGUCACUUUUGCUGAACUGCUAUGUUAUGGGGACAUAAACAUACCAACACCGGUUAUCAGGUGAUGACGUGGGGGGACAAACACAGACACAAAGACACACACUCACACACACACAGACACACACAUGCACAAACAUAUACAAUGGGCUUCUUUCCGUUUCCCUCUACCAAAUACACUCGCAAAUCUUUGGUGGUCAGCCCGAGGCUAUAGUAGAAGAAACUCGCCCAAGGUGCCUCGCAGUGGGACUGAACUUGGAAUCAUGUGGUGAAACAAAUUCUAAAUACUGUUUUGUAUAUUGUACAGUAUCUUAUCGUCACAGCCACUGACUUGGCAUUUAGAUAUAUAAUUAAUGAUGAACAUCUAAGCUGGAAUGAAGCUGUACAUGCCUGAAUGAGGCAAUCAUUGCUAAUUAUUACUCUACCAGGACACUUUCUGACAAUUGAUACAUGUAUACAAAUGGAUAUGGGACUACCAAGUGAUAAUUACAUGAUGAAUACAACAUACAAGUUGUGUCCAAUUUACUCAGCAAUUUAACAUAGGGUGAAUUUGGCAAAAUACCCCUAAGAUCAUCAUACAAGAUAAGCUAUUAAUCAGCAUAUUUGUAAUUUCACACAGGUUUAUCAUUAAAUUCUCUUUUGAAAUAUUAUUUUCUAAUACAUACUUAUGCGUGCACAUGCACACACACAUAUACACACGUGUAUCUGUGUAUGCAUGUAUGCAUACAUGUAUGCACAUCUUGGUAUACAUUUACACAGACAAGAUUUACUUAUAUGUCUGCAUAUAUAUCUAUCAGUAUGUAAAUUAUAUAUUUCAAUUUCAUGCUACUGCAUUAUUAUAGUCACUAUACUAUCACUAUAAUCUUCAUUGGUCCAAACAGAUAAUAAUAGAGGCAUGUGUUACUUUUACAUUUAUUUUUAUGAAGUUUCAUUUCACAUGACCUGAAUUAUACUCUAUUUGGAAUAAUGUGUCAAUAAGCAGAUUAGCUAUCUAUGGCGAUGAUGAUGAUCAUCAUCAUCAUCAUCAAGAAAAUAUAAUAUCAAAAUAAAUAAAAUAUUAUCAUAAUACAAUGUACAUCUGUUUUUAUACUGACAUGUGAUCACAUUCUGAGUAAGUUUUUAUUCAGAGUCCUUACUCUUCUGAUUGGCCAGCAGACCACAUUUAAUGUGUUCUAAUUUUGGCAUUGUUUCAGUGGUUGGAAGCUUUUCCUAACACCAACUAUUUUACAGAGUGUACUGGAUGUAGUUUAUUCUGGCACCAACAUUAGAGACAUUGUCAUGCCUUCAUCUAGACUAAAGAAUGCACUUGGCCCUAUGACGCCUCCAUUCAUUUACCAUCUAUUUUACACCGUAAAGUAGAUGGAAAGAUGCCCUACAAGGUUGAGAAUCCUUACUACACUAUGGCAUCCCUUUUUGUCCAAGGUAAUGUGCCCAAAAGAGUAGACAGGAAGGGGAACAAAAUAUAAAACUAAGGUGAAUGCAUGAAGGGAGUGGGAGUUUGAAAAGCAAAACAGAGGGAGUAAUGGAAGAGAGACAGUAAUGACUGGGUGCAACAGACAGGAAACAGUGGUGGCAUGACAAUAACAGAAUAAUGGUUGACUGGUAUCUCAAGAAGGUGAUGGUAGGGAGUAUUAUUUACAUAUAGAUCAAGUACAUUUCUUCACACAUUGAUGUCUUGAUGAGAGAGGCAGAGUGUAAGGGAUGCUGGUAGGAAAGGACUGAUUAAGUUGGACAAUCCUAGUGCCAUCCCUUGUUACUCAGGUAACCUGAUGCACUGAAAAGAAGUGUGUAUCAAGGAGAUUAUAGAGUCUUACAGAUCCCAUGCCAUUGUUAGUUACAGAAGUGCCAUAGCAUGACAUAAUGAAUACAAGAGAGCAGAUGUAUAGGAAGACAGUAAAUGAUAGAAAGAUGUGUGGUAGAGAGGAGGAUAUCAAAGAUACAGGAGGCAUCACAUAAUAGUUCACCAUGACUGUGACUGCAUGGGCAGUGGGUCUUCUCCAGUAUUGCAUCUCAACAAUCAUCAUGAUUCAUUGCAUUUUUUUUCUUUUGUGAGGCCAAGCAUCCUGACAUUGUCUUCACUACUUUGCCCCAUGUCUUUCUAGGUUUCCCUUUUCUUCAGAUUCCAUUAAUAGGACCCUGCCAUCUUCACAUGCAUAAUAUGCCAGUACCACUGCAAACUUUUCUCCUUUAGACUGCACCUGAUUCUUCUUAUAUCAAUCUUUCUCUCUGUUCAUUUGUGCUCAGUCAUCUAUACAUAUUAAUAUUACACAUCCAGUAGAUCAUACUCUCUGAAAGAAGUUUGGUGCAGGCUUCUGCCUGGCGGGCUCCUGGCAAACCAUCUCACCCAUGCCAGCAAGGAAGGCAGAUGUUAAAUGAUGAUGAUGAUGACGAUGAUGAUGACAAUGACGACAAUGACGACGAUGACGACGAUGACGACGAUGAUGAUGAUGACGACGACGACGAUGAUGAUGAUGAUAGCAGUGCAUAUACAGACAUCAUAAAACCUUUCUUUCAUUAAAAGAGAGAAGCCCUUUAUUACCAAUGCAGGUAAUAGCUUCCUAAAUUUUAUCCACCUCAAUUUUCUAUGCACUUCUAUCGUUAAUUAGGCAACAUAAGCUAUAAGGAACCACCUGGCAUUUGGGAGAAUUUCAGGUACUUCACAUAUGCACCAAGUGUUUAUUGUACUUGUGAAUUGUCAUAUAUGAAGUCUACCUUCUCCAUCAGUUUGCUUAUACUCCCACUGAACCUCUUGUGUGUCAGUAGCUAACACCAUUGCACUGAGCAGAGUAUCUUCUUGUUCCAUUUCUGCACAUUGAGCAUGGCCAUUUCUCUGUUGUCAAUAAGAACUUGCUUUCUUUUUCUACUGACUAAAAUUAAAAUGUUAAUUUUUGCUAUAUUAGCUUCCAGACAUCUUGAUUCUAAGUUUUGCUUCCAAGUCUGGAAUUUCUUCAUUGAAUCUACUGCAUAUUUGGGUAUAAAAACUAGGUCUUUAGGAUAGAAGAGUUUUCAUGAGUACCCAUUCUUAAACUCCUUGUUCAGACCUGGAGGACUAUGAUAUACAGAAUGGACUGUGGAUUAAAUCCAAGUGGGCCCUGACUUGCACAAUAAAUUCAUUGCUAUAUUCACUACUUAUUCUUACCUCCUUAUUAACUACACCUCUCUAUAUGAUUUAUAUGACCAUUUCAUUCUGUUUCUCUACACUUGGACUUCUUAGCUAGUACCAACAUACAUAACCUGAAACCCUGACAAAGGCAUCUUCAGAUCAGUGAAUGAAUGCUAGAAGCAGCAACUUCAUCUUUGCUAAGUACUUCUGCAACUGUCUUACUAGAAACAACGUAUAUGUAGCACCGCUUACCAAACAAAUUCAAACUACUGUUCAUUUAAGUUAAAUUUUGUUCUUAAUAAGUUGCACAAUAAUUCUUCGAGUGAUUUUCAUAAACUGGUUCAUCAACCUAAUAUCUCUAGUUUCUUUUUUGUAACAUCUCUCUAUGUCUUAUAGCAGUUUGAUACUGUUAUGCCACUCAUUGCAUAUAACACCUUCAGGCAUGACCAGUUUUUGAUCUACUUGGCAAGAUAUUUUCAACCUUUUGUUCACUAUCCCAGAUGAAUCAGUUGCCAUUUUUACCUUCAUAUCUUAAUUGCUUUGUCUGCCAAGGUAUCUUAAAUGGGAGGUCUCACUGUUGGGUUUACUUGGUGUAAACCUCUAUGUUUCACAAAUUUUUAAUAUAUAUACUAGCUUAAAAGCCACCCUAUAUAUAUAUAUAUAUAUAUAUAUAUAUAUAUAUGAUAUUUAUCUCUCACCAGAUGUACCAUUUUGGGGUUUUAUAUAUAUAUAUAUAUAUAUAUAUAUAUAUAUAAAGUGUGGUUAGGAUGUUGGACUCAUGAUCAUAAGAUUGUGGUUUUGAUUCCUGGACUGGGCAAUGCAUUAUGUUCUUGAGCAAAACACUUCACUUCAUGUUGCUCCAGUCCACUCAGCUGGCAAAACCAAGUAAUCCUGUGAUGGUAUCCCAUCCAAGAGAAAAUGUAUAUACAACAUGGAAACCAGGAAACCAGAACUAUGAGCUUAUAUGACUUGGGAAGGAUCUUUAUCCGUUUUUAUAUUUAUACAAAGUUAGUGAUAACUUUUUUAAUGCCUCAGUGCAUUAGAUAUAUUAACUAUAAAUAUAUAUGUGGUUUAGAAUAAACAAUGCCAAUCAAUGAUUAAUAUCAUAUUUAUUUUUACAGUAAGCAAUGGCGACAAGGUUAUACAUAUUUCAGCCACACAUAUUUCAGUGAAUGCAAGUCUCGCUAUAUUCAAUGAUAUAUGGGGGAGCAUAUCUCUAAAUAAAUAUACAACACUGCAUUUGUUGGCCCAGAGAAAUGAAAUUUAGAAAUAACCAUUCUAUUUUCUUGAACUAACAAAUGUCAUCCACUUGCAGCAUAAACAUAAUAGGCUAGAUGGUGUUAGCAUAUUUAAUGCAUUGAGCAUCAAGAAGUUGCUCAUGAUUAAUAUGCAGCCAAAAGUAUUAAGUUGAAGUAAAAGUGAGAAAGUGAGUAUGUAUAGUAUUGAAAUCUUCAGCUUGAAACAUGCAAUACACUUUGAGUACUCUCUUCUUGAGCACUGGCAUGGUGUGAUGGUUUUGUUAUGAAUAAAGCAAAACAACAUCUACUGAGAUCAAAACCAGUCCAUAGACUUAGCUUAGUUUCAGAAAUAGCAGCAUGGCUGUUUGGUAAGGAGCUUCCUUCCCAACCACAUGCUUCUGGGUUCAGUCCCACUGUGUGGCACCUUGGGCAAUUCUCUUCUACCAUAACCUUAGGCUGACCAAAGCCUUGUGAGUGGAAUUGGUAGGUGGAAACUGAAAGAAGCCUGUCAUGUGUGUAUGUGUGUGUGUGUGAAAGAGAGAGAGAGAGAGAGUGUGUGUGUGUAUGUGUUUGUGUCUGUGUUUGUCCCCCAUUUCUGUUUGACAACUUGUGUUGGUGUGUUUAUGUCCCUGUAACAUAGUGGUUCAGCAAGAGAGACGAAUAUAAUAAGUACCAGUCUUCAAAACAUAAGCCCUGUUGUCCAUUUGUUCAACUAAACACCCUUCGAGGUGGUGCCCCAGCAUGGCCGUGCUCAGAUAACUGAAACAAGAUGAAUGAAAAAGAUAUACAGUAGAAGGUAAACCCCAAGUAACGUAUUUUACUCUCUCAUACUUAACACCCAUCUAACUAUAGCAUUAGUAGCCAAUAUAGCAUCAAUCUUCUUGACAUAAAAUGUUGCUUGAAAUGUGGAUUUAUUUCAUUAUAGAGAACAUUGAUAUUGGUACUAUGAAGUUUGGAAUUUUUAUUUGACAAGUCUUUUGUCUUAAAUGACCAAAUUAAUUAAGAUUACUCUAUAGAUGCAUUUGUAUUUUUCUACAGUCAAUAGAAUAUUCUGUAGAUGCCUUUAUAGCAUUUCUAAGUGAGUUACUUUCUUGUUCCUCACUUCCUUUACUUACCAUCCUCCAACUUUCUUUACUUGAAUGCUAUCUUUCUUCUUCAGUUUGCUGAAGGCAUUGGCUCAAUUUAUCUCACAUUGUUCUGAGCCUCCUCCUUCUUCAUUCACCUUGUAUCUCAGGCAUCUGACCUUCACACACCACUUGUCUUUCUGUUGUUGCACCUCUUUCUACAUGUCACCUCUCCCACCACCACUUCAACUUUUUUAUCAUUUACUUGCAGCUUAAGUGGCAAAACUUCUCUCUUUCUCACUUACAUUCUCAGACAAAGGGCAGAAUACCAAAACAUGAAAUCUCCCCCUCCUCACAUCAAGUAAACUUAUCAAACCUCUCUAAGAAUUCUUCUAUGGACAAUUGUUGCUGACACAGAGCAUCACUCUUUGCUUUGAAUUCUGGAUUUUACAUAAAAAAAUUUUGCAAUACAGAUUAUCAUAACAUUAGACCUCGAGGUAUAUGUCAAAUGAUGUGUGUUGAUUGCUUAUAUUUUUCUGUACAUUAGCUUUAGUGUACUAAAAGUGAUAAGCUAGUCAAAUGUUGAUGUUACAACUAAUGUAAAGUAAAUGGGGAAUUUUAUUGUUACUGUUUACUGUUCUUGUUCUUCCAUAAGUUAUAUGCACACACACACACACACACACAUACACAAAUGUGGAUGAUAACAUGAACAUGCAGUUAAUAAUUUUGUUUCAAAACCAUGUGGUUUCAGGUUUGGUCCUAUUGGGGGGCAUCUCACAUGAGUUUCUCUGCUAUAGUCUCAGGCUGCCUAAUGUUCUGUGAGUGAAAAUGGUUGUUGAAAGCUGUAUGGAUGCCUGUCUUCUCUCUCUAUCUCUCUCUCUCUCUCUCUUUCUCUCUCUCUCUCUCUCUCUGAUAUAUAUAUCUAUAUCUAACUAAUAGAUAUAUGCAUGUAUGUAUGUAUGUGUGUAUAUAUAUAUAUAUAUAUAUAUAUAUAUAUAUAUACAAACACACACAGACACAGUCACAUACACACACACACAUACAUAUAUAUAUAUAUAUAUGUCAACAAUAUUAUUAAUAUUGUUUAUAUUAUAUACUCCAGGAAACCUAUAUGGUUAAGGAAAUGUAUUGUAUUCAGAAUUAUCCAACAGAAUAUACCUCUAAUUUCUUAUCUUAUAAGAACUUUUUUGAAUUUAUUUGUUAACUGUUGAAUAAGCUAUUUUGAAUAGCUAACUGAGAGCAAACCAGUAAUCGCUUUUGGGUAAUCCUUUACUAUUUACGAAUGUGUGUGUGUGUGCAUGUGUGUGUGUGUGUGUGUGUGCAUAUGUGGAUGUUCGUGUGUGUGUGUGUGUGUGCAUGUGUGUUUGCAUGUGUCUAUUUCCCUGUCUAUGUUCAUGUAGAGAGUUUUUGUAAAAUGGUGCUCAGUGUUUAUGUCUUAUAAUCUAGUGGCUCAGCAAACAGAUCAAUGAAUAUUAUAAAUGAUUUAGGACAAUGCCACAACUUGAUAACAAUGAAAUAAAAUGCCAAGCUGGAUUUUGGAUACCCAAAACAAUAAGUGUUAUUAGGUGAAAAGUUUUGCAUAUCUUUACCGUUUUGCUUACAAAUAGAAUUUGUGAAGUGCUCCAUCUUUUACCGAACAACCUUAGCUUUUCAAGAUUAUUAUGUUUACUAAUGUAGCCUAGUGCAGCAAUAAUUAUUGGUAUAAAUGUGAAUCUAUAAUCUUAGUAGGAAAGUUAUAGUUUUUAAAUGAUUUCUUCAUAAAUUUUUCCUUUUAACUAAUUUUGGAAGAGAUGUUCACAUCUGGAAGGUACCUGAAAUAUCUGAUUACAUGAGAUCUUUCUUUUCUGUUUCAACGAUUAUUUCUGAUUUGUAAUGUUCGCAGAAAUUUUGAUAGGAAUGUUCUAUUAAUAAUAAUCCUUGUGUUAAUAUAUAUGCAUAUAUUCAAUAGCAGCGUUACUCUUUAUAUUUAUCUUAGGGCAGUCUUUCCUAUGGAUGGCAUUGCUUAUUGGUUUUGCAACAACCUGCUGCAAUGGGACGUUGUAUUUUGAUGAGAUUUUUGGGCAACUGCAAAUCACAUAUAAUAUCUUCCACAGAAAUAUAACUUAAUCAAAUCAACAUUUUGGAUUGCCUCUUGGAGCUUUAAGGGCUUUACACUCUCUUUUAUUGAUUAAGUAGUUCAUAGCUGUCUCCUGCUCUUGGAUUACAAAUGCAUAAACUUUGAAAUAUGACAUGGUACAGCAGUCAUGAAUUCAAGAGAGGCUACACUUUAUGUUAAUUAUUAGCAUGUUCCUCAAGUGUACAGGAAGUAUUCGCAGGUAUGCAUAUAUAUUUUUUUAUUUAAAAGCUUAUGCUUAAUAUGAUGAGGGCUUUAAAACACAUUUAAGAAUACCUUUUAAUUAAGUUUUAUAUUAUCUCUCUUUAUAAGUAAACAAUCUAAAGUGGAAAGAAAUAGCGUCAAUAAUUAAUCCAAUUAAUUGUUGCUCUAUAAUGUUGAUGUUAGGAAAAUUAUAAUAAGUCAUAAUACACAGAACAUAAUGACAAAAAAUAAGGUAGGUUGAUAAAUAGUUUUUUAACAGUAAAUAUUUUAGUUAAAACCUUGCCCCAUCUGAAAUUUCACCUUGGAUAAUUACUCUGCACUGUUUUCCAGCAGCUGUCAACUCGAUGCAAAACAGAGUUAUUCUCUCUUCCGUUGCCAGAGAUAUUAGGUUCAGUUGAAGUAGAAGUUGAUAAAAUUCAGGUCUUGAUUUAGCCAUUACUGGCAUUAUUUGAGAUUAACGACAGUUGAUCAAUAACAGAUGCAGUCAAACUGUCUCAAACAAUAUGACCAGAUGUCUUUAGCAAUAGGUUAGAUAUUGCACCCAGAAUGAAGCAUAGCAUUCAGUUUUAACUGUGAAAUUUGGAGCAAGCAUCUGAAGCAACAGCAAUCAAAAAAUUCUGUUUAGCAAGUUUCUAUGACACUGACCAACCAGAGUGCAGGAAUGAGUAUACAAGCAAUUGAUAUAUAUUGAUUUGUAGAUAAAUAUCACACUGGUCGCAUUGGCAACUAUAGAACUGAAUGAAAGCUGGUCAAGCUACAAGUAAUGUGAUGAGAUUUUUGUUAUGACACUUAGUGGUUGACAGAAUGGAGAAACUAUGGUAUAAAAAACUAUUCACUUCUUCAGUGAGUCCAUUAUUCAAGGUAGUUACUUUUUUGUUGUCAAGAACACAGAAGAACAAAGCUUUUGUCUUUCUGACGUUAAUCUGUAGGCUGAUUUAUAAUGCCUAUGUAUCCACCUAUGUAGCAUUAAUAGCAGUUCAUCACAGAAUAAAAUGCAGCUAACAUAUUCAAGAUUAGUGAUUGUUGAGGUGACUUUAACACCUGAAUGUAUUUUAGCAGCAUGUUGUGGUAUUCAGUCCUAUUUUCAAUUACUGAAACCAAGGUCUUCUUUUACUGUGAUUUGGAUGACUUUUUCUUCACUAUCCAUUCAGUAUUGAUAUCAAUGAUGAGAUGGGUGAUGAGAUGUACAAAGUGACUGUGUAAUUCAACAGAAAAAAGUUUCUCAUAUUAUAUCAUCCAUCAGAAAUUACAGGUCAUAACAUUUUGGCUGAGCUUUGUUAUUAGUUAUUCUUCUCCUCUGAAUCAAAGCACGAUCCAAAUUGAAUUGCUUACUAUUCUCUCCCCUCCAAUAGACUCAAAUGCUUAGGUGGAUAAUGUCAACCAGGAACUGACUGGAAUAUAAUCAAUUUGGAUUUUUGGUGCUCCCAUCAUUGGAGUUCUAACAGCUGGAAUUUCAUUCACUCUGAAACAUACUGGUCUUUGUCAACAUCUGAAACACUGAAGCAGGAAAGCAUGAGGCUGUUACAAAGCCCUUUCCAGAUCACUUUGCAGUCAUACUGUGGUACAAUAUUGAAGAUUUCAGUUGACCAUUUCAGUUUUUGUUCUUACUUUAAACUUGUAAUUAUUUCAUUCCACUGUAUUUGUCAAUUUCUAAGUUAUAAAAUAGGAUUUAUAAAAAAAGUGGAACAGCAUAAAUAAAUCUGGAUUUCAAUUUGAACUAAAAACACGUGUGCACAUACACGUACCCCACUCAAUCAUGCCUAUGCUUAUAUGAAUAUAAAAAUUCUAAAUGUAUGUGUGUGAGCAUAUCAUCAUCAUCAUCAUCACCAUCACCAUCUUCAUCAUCAUCAUCACCAUCACAAUCUUCAUCAUCAUCAUCAUCAUCAUCAUCAUCAUCAUCAUCAUCAUUUAACGUCUGUUUUUCAUGCUGGCAUGGGUUAGACUGACAAGCUAGAAAACUGUCAAGAUAGAAAACUAGACCAAGCUCUACUGUCUUCUUUGAUAUGAUUUCUAUGGCUGGAUGCCUUUCCUAAGACCAACCACUUUACAGAGUGUAUUGGGUGCCUUUUACAUGUCGACAGCAGCAGUGAGAUCACCAAGUGACUUGCAAGACAAGACCCCUCAUCUAUUGGCCGGGAAUAGUAUUGAGGGUCAACUAAAGGAGUCUUGCAUUAUUGGCCAAACAUGGUUAUAAGUGAGUGUGUGUGGUUGUGUGUGUGUGUGUAUGUAUGUGAGUGUGUGUGUGUGCGUGUAAAUAUGAAACACUCAUAUCUUUUACUUUGCAUCUUCAUUGGAACCCAAUUAUGUCUAAUAUCUUUGUUCCAGUCUGCAUCAAAUAUUUGAAAUAAUAUUAAUCUUAGUAUAUACCUAUCAGUGAAGGUGCAUGUCCUAGUGGCCAGGGUGUUGAAAUCUUGACUGUAAGACCAUGAUUUCAAUUCUCAGAUAUAGACUGCUUUGUGUUCUUCAACAAAGCAUCCAUCACUUCAUAUUGCUUUAGUUCCAUUCAGCUAAAAACUAAUAUUUGCAGUAGCUGGUGGGGUUAACUCUGUCAGACAGACAUCGCAUUCAUGUGUGGAGGUUGAGCGAGUUUUAUUGUACUCUGUUAGUCACUUAAUACACCAUAGAAAUCAAGAUAAGUUCCAACCUAAUGAGUCUGUAAAUUCUUCACAAACCAAAUUACUUAUAUAUAUAUAUAUAUAUAUAUAUGUACCUAUCAUCUGUGAACACCGAAAAAAGUAAUGCAGAAAUAAAACUGGAAUACACUGUGGACUCCACAUUCAUAUAUCUGGUUAAGAUGAUGCACUACAUCAUUUUAAUUUAUAUAUAUUUUAGUUCUUUAAGGCUUAGUCAGAAGAGGCAGGACAACACCCAUUGACUUUUUUAGGCCUUAAUGAAACUGAUGGGUGGAAGGGAGGAAUUAUAUCUUACCAGAAUCUUGUCCCAAAUACUUGCUGCUUGCAUUAGAGUUGACUUGGGUAGGGCACCUAAAUAUCAGGUGAUAGUAUUAAACUGGUUGAUGUGUUUUGAUCAAUGUAUCACAACACUGUUUGUAUUUAAAUGUAACAUGUGCAGAUAGUGGCUAUGUUUGGUUUUUAAAUGUAUGUAUGUGUAGGUACGUUUUCUCUACGAUGUAGUAAAGAAUGGACUAUCUUGCCUUUGAAUGUAUGUAAAGAAGGACUAUGAUGUCUGUGAAUGUAAUAUAGGCCACCGUUCCGUUCGUUCAUCCUCUUGUCAUCGACCGUUUGGUUCCUUCCUCGCCUGCACCUACACACUGUUGUUGCUGCCAUGCACCCAUAUGCAUUUGCUCACGUAGCCAGGACAACCUCGUCACACAUGCCUUCUGCACUCUCUUGCGAGUUUUUUUUUAAAAUGCAGGGGGUUUUUUUGCUAGUGUAGGCACUGGUACAUCCAUAUGCUUGUGAUUAGAGAUAAAUUUAUCUUUAAAUGUAUGAGACAAUAGUAGUGUGGCCUUUUGAAUGCUAUGCAUAUCAAUGUGUGCAUUUUUUAAAUCAAAGAUUAAUCUCAGAAAAAAUAUGGGAAAUGAAGUGAGGAAAGCUUAUUGUUCCAGAAAAUUAAUUACCUAAUUGCCUAGAGUACAACUACAAGUCUUGAAAGUUUAAAAAUAAAUAUAAUAUGGCUGGUUUAUUGGGGUUUGACAGAGAGUACUAUAGAAGUGUAAAUAAAACUUUACUUUUGUGAGAACUUAAGGAUAUUUUGUGGAAAUUUCCAUAUAAACAUAUUAGACAGUAACCUCCCCAACUACAAGUUGUUUACCAUGAUUCAUCAUAUUUCAUGCCACAGAUGUAGUAAGGCAAGGUUUUGGAAUACCUUCAUUUGUCAGGAUGCUCUCUAUGAUUAAUAGUAUUAUAUACAAAAAUGGAUAUCUGUUAGAUUAAGCAGCAAACUAAAUGCCAAAUGGUACUUAGAUAUAGCUAUUUACAUUCUUAGUUCAAAUCAUAUGAAGAUCAGUUUUACCUUCCAUAAUUCUGGAGUUGUUAAAAGAAAGUCUCAGUGAAAUACUUGGGUUUAUAAAUUCACCCUAACUCUGCCUGACAAAAUGUGGUCUUGUGCCAAUGUUAUCAAUAUUAUUAAUUUUAUCUUUAAUGUAGAUUUUGUAUUGUUGUCUGAAAUAUAGUGGUUUUGUAACAUAAGUUGCAAUGUUCUUUUUAUUUGUGUUUGUAUAAAAUAUACGAAUUGAAUCUGAAGAUACAAACUUUGCUUCAUUGCUUCAAAAGAUAUAUAGUCAAUAAGCUCAAACUUUUUAGUUGUUAUUGUUCAUAUUCUUUAUUUUCAGUCAGCUUUGAUCAAAUAGAGUAUAAGAUAAAAAGAGUAAAAUUCUGAGCGAUAAUCUCAGAGGGCUAAACACUUCAUUUCUUAUAUGUGCAUCAUUGGAACAUAAGGUCUUGACAUAAACCAUAGAAAGAAUUUAAUAAGAUAAUUAAUUGAUGAAUCAAAUAAAUAAAAUCAUUCUUCACAAUGACUUGCCUAAAUAAAAGUUUCUCUGUUUAUCUCAGUGUCAUUUACAUAAUCUACACCUCAAAUUUUGGUAAUUUUUUUGCAGCUAGAUAUCUGUUAUUUGCAAUUCUAAUCCAACUAAUUACAUUAUCAUUUUUAAUUGUAUUAUGUCUCUGGAAAUAUAUUUAUCUAACAUAUAUAUAGUUUCCUUAAAUUAAAUCCAACACAUAUAAGGAAAAACUAGUAGCCUAUUAGUAAAGAUAUCUUUCUGAAUAAUUUGCUUGUAAGUAAAUUACGAAAAAGGUCAUGUAUCAGGUCAAGUAUCUAAAAGUUAAUAUCUACUCCCGUUAUUUAGUACUAAAUUAUCUCUGAUAGCAAAGACAGACAAGACAUUCCAGCUGUAACCAUGUUAUAAGUGUAAAUAUUUACAUUGCAUUAUUCAGUGUGUUCUUGAAGGUAGGAUAGUGUUAUUUUAGAUACAUUAAGCUGCUAUUUCUAGAGACUUUUUGUUGGUUCACGAUAUUCACGAUAGUCCAUAUGCAAUCUAUGUAUAAAAGUACUCAACUUAAAUAGCUGAAAAUGUAGUUCUGAUAAACUAAUUUAUUCACACUAAGUUAACAAGUUGAAAAUAUUGAAAAGCAACCAGUUUUUUAUUAUUUUUGAUAGGUACAGAAAGAAAAGUAAAUUGGAUUUCUAAUCCAUAAAGAAUACCAGCUAAAGAUGAAUAAAUUUAAAAUUAACAAUAAAAGAGUUCAGGAUUGAGUUUUGUUGAAUUAAAUAUCAAAUCUUUUGUAAGCAGCAUGCAAAAUAAGGUGACUUGAGAAAUAAAAACACUUGAAAUAUUAGAACAUAGGUAUCGUGCAUAAAAAAAAUUUUAGCAGUGAAAUAUUUUUUUUUUCCUACUCUUACAAUAAUUACUUUCAUAAAAUUAAACAGCUCAGAUGUACCCCAACAUCAAUAAUUCUGAGUAGUUUACAUCAAAUUUAGUUCUAUGUUAUUGUAUAACAUGAACCGUAUAUUGCAACCCAAGCUUCAAUAACAAUGUAUUUCAAACAGUUGUGAUAAUACAAGGUGCAUUCAAAAAGUAUCCAACUUUAUCUUUUCCAGCAAAACUAAUAGCACGCAGGUGGGAGGUGAUGCCAUUCUUCCUGCACAUUCACAAAAAUUUUAAUGCUGAUAGGCUGCCUCAGUUCCUAGUUGUUACACCUUGAGUACAGACAUGUAGUGUACACUUGUUGGAUUUUCGUUUUCAUGCAAGAAGACCAAAUGCAUUGAGCAGAGAUAUUGCUUCAAGUUUUAUCAAACACUUGGUGAUACUCAAGCUCAAACCAUCCAGAAGACUCAGCAGGAUUUUGGCGAUGAUACUAUGGGCAAAACUCAGAGCAAUCAGUGGUACAAACACUUCAAUAUGGCUGCACCUCAGUGGAGAGUGGGGUACACUCAGGCAGACCCUCCACCCAGAAAAAUGGGAAUAAAUACAGGAUCAGUGCAUUCCAUUUCAAUGGCAGGUUUGUACAUGCAGAGUGUGUUGGCAAAAAAUGAAGUUGGAUACUUUUUUAAUACACCCCGUAAUCAAACUUUCCUGGUCAAGAACAACACACCACUUUUUCAACAGGUUCCCCACUCUCCCAAUUAGGCACUGUGUGACUUCUGGUUCUUCCCCAGACUGAAAACCAUACUGAAAGGGAAGUGAUUUGAGUUACAAGAGGAAAUUAUGACAAAAGUGACAGUGGAGUUCCAUAAUAUUCCAUAGAAGGCAUUCCAGAGGUGUUACCAGAAGUAACAGAACUGCUGGGGAAAUUGUGUAGACUCCUAAAGGGAAUAUUUUGAAGGUGAUUAAAUAAAAUUUGUACAAAAUUGUUUUUUUUCUUUAUGCCCAAAAUAUGAAUACUUUUUUAAUGCACCUCGUAUACAUUAACAGACAUUAAGAACCACCUGUAAAAUGAUUCAUUGUAUUUUAUUAAUGAGUGAAAAGAUUUGAUUUUGAUAUUUUAAUUGAUCGAAGUAUAUAUCUGGUUUCACAAAUAGUUAGGCAAUUUGGUUUAGAGCUUUAUCCAAACUAAAAGAUAGUGCUAGUGAUAGCACACUAGCUAACACAUUCUAGCUGAGACUGAUAAUUCAUUCGCUCAAAUAUUAUAAAAUUGCAGACCUACUUAGAAAAAUUUAUAUUUGCUAAUGCAAACAGUAUAUUAUUUAAUGGAGAAAGUUUUUAAAUAAGUUCUUUUGUUUUUAGUAUUUAAGAGAUAAAUAUUGUUAUAGAAAAGAAAAAUACUUGAAAUUCAUGAAAAAAUAGAAAAUAAAUUGCUAUACCUAUAGGCAUACAAUUUGACUUUUUAUCUAGAUUUGUUUGGUAUUUGAUUAUAUAAUACCUCUUUCAAAGUCUGAAGUUCUUCUUGCAUGUGAUAUUCAACAGUGUAUGUUAUUGAUACUGAAACUAGGAAGUAAUGUUAACUAAUAUUAGUUUUAAAUUGUGGCACAAGACCAGCAAGUCUGGGGGAGGGGUUAUGUCAAUUAUAUCAGCCAUGGUGCUCAACUGGUACUUAUUUUAUCGGCCCUGAAAGGAUGAAAGACAAAUGUUGCUAAGCAUUUUGCUUGGUGUGCUAACGAUUAUGCCAGCUCACUAACUUGGCAGUUAACUAAUAUUGGCUUUUUCAAAAGUGCUUUGUUCUUUUGCUCUCUAAUCUAAUAAGACUAUAGUUUGAAUAGUUAUAUUUGACAAUGAAGUCCAUAUUUUUAGGUAAGUUUAUAUGCCAUGAAGAGAAUAGGAAUCUGACAUUACCUUACAGAACCUUCAUCUCAGAGAGAGAAAUCAAUUCAUUUGAACAGAUAUAUGAAUUGCAUACAGACCCACAAACUUUACUGUAUAAAUUUUGCUAGCACAGACAACUGCCAGCUACUCCAGACACUGUUUUUAUGGAUAUUCAUCUUGUAAUUAAAAAGUAAAAUAGAUUAUAAUUUUUAUUAUGAACCUUCUUUGCUUCAAUUUUUUUUUCUUUCUUUUUUUAUAGUUUUUGGCAUAGAGAUGUAAAAUACCAAGCGAAGGGUGUAUGAAAUAAAAAAUAUGCCACAAAAUGUCUUAAAAAUUGAAGAGAGAAAUCAUCAGAAUAGAUAUUUUAAAUGAAAAAACAUCAGAGCCAGAAGGUUCUGAUGUAUUUUAUAUUCUUAUAUAAAAUAGGAAAGUGAUAUAUAAAAGCAGAAAAAGAAAAAGCAGAAAAGAGUUAAGCAAAUGUUAAAUAAAGCUUUUAAAACAACCGCACUUUCAGGUUAUAGAUCUCUGAUUUCUGUUGAAUAGCAUUGUGCUUGUAUUAAUGUAAUCAAAGUCUUAUACAUUUAGCAACAUAGCAACUGUUUAUUAUGAAAGCUGGGCGUGAGUUUUAGUGAUAACUUAAUCUGAGGCAUUCUAAUUGCUUUCUAAUCACAAUCAGAGAAAUUUAACUUAGGAAUAAAGGUGUGAACUUAGGUGAAAACUAUGAAUAUGACUGCAGCUGCAUAUAACUUUUUAAAGUUCAUUUCAUCGUACUUCAUUGCUAUUCAUGGUGAGCAUGCUAGGAUAUGCUUGAUGUCAUCUGGUACAUAUAUUUUAAAUUUCAUAUCAUUCCAUGUUAAGCAAUGUUUCCAUGUUUUAUUUUAUUCUUAAAAUAUGUGACAAUUUUAUAUAGCAUGUCUUUCAUCUUUUUGACAUAAUGAGUAAAUUUCUGCUCUAUUCAAUUUCUCUCUUUAAAAAAGCAAAAUGUAGUAACUGAAGUGUAGUUUCCAGAUACUAGAGCAGAAAACUCAAUAUAACAAAUUAAGAUUUUAAGCUGGAAAGUGUUAUUGAAUUUCAAACCCCAGGAUUUUGUUUUGCUUCUGACCAAUAGAUUGAAUCUAGUUGAAUUAUAUAACAAUAACAUACAUGAAAACAUAUUAAAAAUACUCUAAUUAAUUCCACUGGUGUAUCCAGUGGAAUUAAAUUAUUUUUCAUUAUGAAUAUUGUAUUUGAUGAUAUAUAUGACCAACCUAUUACCUGAAAAUUGGCUAAAACAUAGCCGUAGGUUAUGUGCAAAGUUGGGAUAGCUGGUUGACUAAUGUUUACAAAUGCCAGUAGUUCUAUUUCACCCAACUCCAUAACAUUGUAAUUCUAUUUACCCAAUGAACAUCACCAUCGCUAUUGCUGUCAUCACCACCAUCGUUACUCUUGCCAUUCUUACUUAAGUUAAAAGCAGGAAAAAUAUAGCUAGAUGUCCAGAGAUAAAAUCCUUCAUUCAACACCCAACACUUAACAAUAAUAAGCAAUAACGUUUUCUGAGCUUGUAUUCAUGUAAUUGUCUUUUUAUGUUAAGCUUGCCACACAUAUAUCUCAUUUUUAUAUAGAAAUAAAUUUUAGUUUUUGAACGAAAUUUGAAAUUAGGGAACUAGUGAUUACUCAUUAAUCAUUAUUAUUGCUGCAUGGUAGGUCACAUCAAUACCAUCUGUCAUGGUACAUUCAAAACUCCAGCUUGUGCACAUAAUUUGUUGUCAUAUGUGUAUGUGCAGGAACACUAGCUGGUUUUCCACUAAUCAUUUUGAAAAGGAUAUCCAAUGCCAUCAGGGGAAAGUGAAUAUAAAUAUUUUGUGUAUAUGUACAUAUGUCAAUAUUUAGAUUUAUUUCAAGAUUUCUUGCCAAUAGAGAAACCUAGAUCCAAGGCUCCUUCAUUGGAAUUUCGACGUCAACAACAGGGUAUUUUUGUUUGUAUGUAUGUAUGUAUGUAUGUACGUUUGUAUGUGUGUGUGCGUAUGUAUGUAUGUAUGUGUGUAUAUAUAUGUAUGUGUAUGUAUGUAUGUAUGUAUGUAUGUAUGUAUGUAUGUAUGUAUGUAUGUAUGUAUGUAUGUAUGUAUGUAUGUAUGUAUGUAUGUAUCUGUGUAUGUAUGUAUGUAUCUGUGUAUGUAUAUAAAAUUGUUGGAUACUAUUGAAACAGCAUUAAAUCAAAAUAACCAUCUGUAUAUCAUAUUAAAUGUGUAUACAAUGUAGAAAGUAUGUUGCUGUAGCUUUUGCUUGAGGCAAAUAGUCUCUUCAUAGACAUGGGUUUACAACACAAUAUGGAUCAAAGUAAAACAAACUUCAUCACAGCAGUAACUCAUGGGAGCAUUAGAAGUAUUGUAACUUUCCAAACCCUACACAAGUAAACUGUUUAUUUAUGGAAAACUUGUAAAGUUACAGAUACAGUCUGUAUAUAUAUAUAUAUAUAUAUAUAUAUAACUAUAUAUAACUACAUAUUUCUCCAAGCACCAUUCAAAGUUAUGGGUUUCACUUCAUCCUAUGAAUCAGUUACAUUAUCCACUGCAUCCAUUAUGUUGAAAUUCUUCCAGAAGUCCAAACAAUCCGUAAGUAUUUAGCAAUGCAUGCAGAAACACUUACACACUCAUAUGUAAGAAUAUGCACACAUACAUAUACACAUGCAGGCAUACAUACAAACAUAUAUAAGAUAUAUAUGUGUGUAAAUUUAGAUAUGUAUAUAUGUACAUAUAUAUGUAUGUAUGUAUGUAUGUAUGUAUGUAUGUAUGUAUGUAUGUAUAGGGAUACCCUUACCAAGAAAUUUGAUGAGAGGGAGGAGGAGCUACAGUUCUGUGACAUAAAAGGCAGCUGGAAAUUCCUGAUAGACAGCUUGCUGAGUGCUACAGACCAAAUCUGUGGCUAGUGCAAAGUCCCUUCCAGACCUAGGGUAACAUGAUGGUGGAACAAUACUGUAGACAGGAACGUUAGAGCAAAGAGACAGACCUUCCAGGAAGAUUGGGGGUCGCAGGGGAUGUAUCAGAUAGCCAGAAGGGAAGCUAGGAGACAGGUAUAUAUAGCCAAGGGAGUAAUAGACAAGAAGAAAUUUGCCAGUGUUCAGUGACAUAAGGAGCAAAGAACUGGGGUAUUUCAGAUUGCAAGACAGUGUGUGAGAGAAAACCAUGAUGUCAUAGGAGAGAAAUGUGUCUGCAUGGAUGAUGGUGCCCUUGCGUUUAAUGAUUCUGCAAAGAAAGAGGCUUGGAGAUGCCAUUAUGAAAGACUGCUGAAUGUGGAGAAUGAAUGGGAAGUGGAGAGUCUGCCAAAGGUUGACCCAAUUGAUUGAUCAGCUCCCGAAUCAACAAUACCCUGGUAGAUGAAGCAAUUAAGGAUAUGAAGAUGAGGAAAGCACUUGGCCCAUUCAGCAUGUGUCUUCUACUAUAGCUUGGGGCUGACUAAAACCUUGUGAGUGUAUUCGGUAGAAGGAAACUGAAAAAAUAUUUUUUAUGUAUAUGUGAAUACAUCUAUGUGUAUGUAUGUCUGUGGGUGUAUGUAAAAUGGCUUUACACAUGAUUGUUUUGUAUUUGUAAGCAGUCACUUUGCUAACAAUGUUGGUUACAUGCAGUCCACCAUAAAACAUGCCCAAGCUGUUUGUGGUCUGUUAGACAGUGAGAUUAUUACCUCACUUUGAGACAAGUGAGAGGUAGUGAAAGCAAAAGCAUGCAGCUGUAGAAAAUUUGCUUCAAUGAAUUCUGUACAACCCAUGCAAGCACAGAGAAGUGGACAUCACAAUGUGUAUGCGUGUGAGUAUGUGUGUGUGUGUGUGUUUGUGUGUGCAUGUGUGUGUGUGCGCAUGUGAGUGAACAUAUAAAUUAUUUUACUUGUUUCGGUCAUUUGAGUGUGGCCAUGCUGGAGUACUUAUUCUAUCAGUUUCUUUUGCUGAACCACUAAGUUAGUGGGAUGUACACACACCAACCCCAGUUGUCAAGUGAUGAUGGGGAACAAACAGAUACAAAGACACACACAAGUAUAUAUAUAUAUAUAUAUAUAUAUAUAUAUAUACACAUAUAUAUAUGCAUAUACAACUGGCUUCUUUCAGUUUCCGUCUACCAAAUCCACUCACAAGGCUUUGGUUGGCCUGAGGCUAUAGUAAAAAACACUUUCCCAAGGUGCAAUGCAGUGGGACUGAACUUAGAACCAUGUGGCUAGGAAGCAAGCAUCUUACCACACAGCCAUGCCUGUAUAAGAGUAUGUGGAUAUAUAUGUGUUUAUUUUAUGAACAAGUAUCUGUAUAUACUAUAUCAAGAAUGAAUUGCACAAUAGAAUUUUUGAUGAGUGGUUUUCCUUUAUAUUAGUUCAUGUGUUGUGAUUGCCAAGGAAAGGCCAUUAGUAUAUUUUGUAUUAGCAUAAUAAACACUGAUAUAUGUUCUAGAGCUUUUGAAUUAGUUAUAAAACUAACGAAUAUAUAAUUAAUCAAGAUAAUUAAUCAUAACCUCUUCCACAGCUUUAUUGACUGUUGGCACUUUUGUGUUAACAUUUGUAAUUGAUAUUUACCGUAGCCCAUUAUAUACAUUUUUUUCUUUUAAAAUAUUCAUGCUAUUCAGGUAAUUUUAUUUAUUAAUCAGAAAAUUAGUUUUAUUGUAACCAAGGACACAUUAACAAUACCCAGUGUGUUAUAGAUAAUGAAUUCAACCCUGUAGAAGAGAGAUACGACAAAAAAAUAUAUAUAUAUUUUAUCUUUUACUUGUUUCAGGCAUUGAAUUGUGGUCAUACUGGGGCACUGUCUUGAAGGGACUAGUUGAACAAAUUGACCUCAGUAUUAAUGUAAACUUGGUACUUAUAGUAUUGGUCUCUUUUGCCAAGCUACUAAAUUACAUAAACAAACCAACACCAGUUGUCAGGUGGUGGGACAAGUAAGACGGAUAGCUGGCAGAAACGAUAGCAUGCCAGGCGAAAUGCUUAGCAGUAUUUCGUCUGCUGCUACAUUCUGAGUUCAAAUUCUGCCAAGGUCAACUUUGCCUUUUAUCCUUUUGGGGUCAAUUAAAUAAGUACCAGUUACGCACUGGGGUCGAUAUAAUCGACUUAAUCAAUUUGACUGUCCUUAUUUGUCCUCUCUGUGUUUAGCCCCUUGUGGGUAGUAAAGAAACAGGUGGGACAAGCAUGGAAACAAAGACACAACACACAUACAGUUUCUAUUGACCAAAUUCACUCAUAAGGCAUUGGUUGGCUUCGAGCUAUAGUAGUAGGCACUUGCUCUAGAUGUGGCAUGAUGAGAUGAAUGCAUGUGUGUGUGUGUGCGUGUGCAUGCACAUAUACAUAUAUGUAUAUAUAUGCAUAUAUAUGAAGGGGUUGAUGAAAAGUUUGAGCUUUGUGUAAAAGAAAAUAGAGGAUGACUUAAUUAUGAUUUUGUUCAAAAUAUUCCCCUCGCAAACUCACACACUUAUUGCAAUGGUCCUUCAGUUUUUGUAAGCCCUCCAAAAGAACUCAGAAGGUUGGGCCUCCAACCAGGCCUUUCAUGAUACCCUUAAAGCCAGGUACUUUUCAGCACCCCCUCGUAUAUGUAUGUAUGUAUGUAUGUAUGUAUGUAUGUAUGUAUGUAUGUAUGUAUGAAUGAAUGAAUGAAUGAAUGAAUGAAUGAAUGAAUUGGAGGCAUUACCAGAAUGGUUUCUGAUAAAAUAUUUUUAUUUUAGUUGGUAUCAAGAGACAUGAUAUAUAACACUGUAGUUUUUCCAAUUUUCUUGCCAAUGUAUAUACACACAAGCAUAAGUGGUAUUAAAAAUAUAAUUGCAUUCAUAGUCCUUUACUUUUAGUUUGGUACAGCAUUCUCAAGAUUUGAAGACCUAUUUGGCCACUUCUUCUAAAUGAAGUGAUCAUAGAGCAUUUUGUUUCUAUGGUUCAUACAAGAUGAAACUAAGAAAAUCUUGAAAUGCUAAUGAAAUUAGGAAGUAUAUUGCUUUAAAUUAAGCGUAUGAAAAAUUUCUUCUAAAGAUGUUUGCAUUGAAACUUAGUCAUCUAUACAACUCCAUCUUUCUGAGAUGAAGAAUUUAUAGUAUGUACACUGUUUACAUUAGUGGAGGCACAUGACCUAGUGGUUGGAGCAGUGGACUCACAUCCGAGAGCUUGUGGGUUCAAAUCUCAGACCAGGCGAUGUGUGUGUUUAUGAGUGAAACACCUAAGCUCCACGCAGCUCCAGUAGAAGGCAAUGGUGAACUUCUGCUGACUCUUUCACUACAACAUUUUCUCACUCUUUCCUCCUGCAUCUAGCAGCUCACCUGUAACGGACUGGCGUUCCAUCUAGGUGGGGAACCUCUGCAUUAAUGAAACAGGGAAACUAGCCCUUAUGAGCCAGGCAUGGCUUGAGAAGGAACAAACAUCAGCAAUACACGGUUUACAUUAGUCAGACUGGUGCCCUCAUCUUGAUUGUUGCGUCUACUACAUUUUGGCUGUUGUACACUCAAGGCUGGAAUGUACAAUAUCCUAGAUGUGGUGAAAGUGACUAUCAAGAUGAGGAUACCAGUCCUGAUAAUGUAAAUAGUGUACAUAAUUAGUCAUCCAUGUUGAAAGAAAGGUGUUACCUUUCUAUAUGUAUCGAAUGUACAUAUGUGUUUAUUUACAAUAUGUAACUGUGUAGGUUCAUCAACCAAGUUUUACUUUCUAGUCAUUGCACUUAACCUUUUCUACUCUAGACACAAGGCCCGAAAUUUUGGGGGAGGGAGCCAGUCAAUUAGAUCGACCUCAGUACACAACUUGGUACUUAAUUUAUUGACCCCAAAAGGAUGAAAGGCAAAGUCAACCUUGGCAGAAUUUGAACUCAGAACAUAAAGUCAGACAAAAUACUGCUAAGCAUUUCACCUGGCGUGCUAACGUUUCUGCCAGAUGACUGCCUUCAUUGCACUUAAUCUGAUAAUAAUCUGUCCUCUACAAUACAUUGUUGAUAUCUAUCAUUCUGUCUCUGCCCCCUUCAUUCCCUUCUUUUGCCUGUUCUCCUCCUAUCAUUCUAUCUUCCUUCAUCAUGUUUAUCAUGUUAUUUCUAUUCAAUCUCCUUACCAACAAGUUUCAUGUAGUUUCCUACUACUUUUCCUUUACUCUAUUCUCUAUCACACUCUCAAUCUUUAUAUUACUCUCUCAUCUUUCUGCUGGGGUCAAGACAGUCCUUUGGUGCUGCUGAGCAAAUGAACGGAGAUUGCACAGUUUAGAGAGGACCCUUUACUUUUGCAGGCUACAAGAAAAAUUCUUUCUGGUGCCACAAUAAAAAGCAACUAGUACAAGUUGUUGAUGAUAUGAAGAUCAACUAGCUAAAAGAAAACCUCGCUGAAAAUGGAAUGUAUAAGCCAUCCAACCCAUAUCAGCAUGGAAAAGUGGAUAUAAAAUGACAAUGAUAAUGAUGAUGAUGUUGGAUCAUCAUUAUCAUAGCAUAUGCAUGUCUGUGUGUGUCUGCUUAUGCUCUCACCAGUCUACAUGUGAAUGUUGUUCAUAUUGUGUCUCAUUAGGCAUUCAUUAUAAAAUAUCAAUAAACAGAGGCUUUUGAAAUGAGUACCAGAUGGUACUCGUUUGUGUUAGUCUCAAAUUGAGCCACAAAACACAAAGAAGUUCACCAGUAGAUACAUAUGCAGUUUAAUGAUUGAAACAAGUAAAGAGAUACAAGGGGAAAUGCUUACAUAUAUCUUUCUAUGUUUGGCAUUGCUUUUCUCUUUCUUGAUGUCUCUGUCUUUCUCUUCCCUUCUCUCUCUAUCUAUCAAACCAUCUAUCUACUUAGUUAUGUCUCUGUCUGCUUAUCUAUGCUUGCAUGUGUGAAUAUGUGUAUAUAAAUAAAUAUAAGAUCCAAGGAUCGAGGUGUAGGAAGAAAGUUAGCUUCAAGCAAUCCAUAGUAAGUAUUAAAAAACUGCUUUCAGAGACAAUAGUGGUUUAUUGAGACAGAAGGUUGUGGAUUUGUUUCUUAUCAAAGUACAAUAAAUUGAAAAAAAGGUCUUUUAUGAAUACAUGCAUACAAAAUAUCCAUCCAUACAUGCAUACAUACAUAUGUACAUAUAUAUAUAUAUAUAUAUAUAUGUGCUCCCGCCCACGCUGCCACAAUAUAAACUUCUUUUAUAUUUCACAGUAGGCAACUAGGGUUGCCGGGUAUGCAAGUAAGAAUACAAGAAUUAAGGAAUGGAGCACAUAAGAUCCGGAUUACAUAAGUCACAUAGCAAGCAGAACCUUGGAACUGGUAAAUAGCCAAGCGAGGUGCAUACUGCAGGCUAAUAUCUUGAUUACAUGAAAGUUUACAUUGUCACAAAGAAGUACAUGGUAACACAUGUACAUCCUUCCAUGUGUUAACAUAUACCUCCUUGCAAAAAUAAUUUUUCUUUAAUCACGAUAUCAUUGGCCUGAAGAGUAGCCAGCAGUAUACAUCUCACUUGGCUAUGUACCACUUCUGAUGUUCCACUCGCUAUGAAACAUAUGUAGCCUGGAUCUUAUCUACUCCAUUCAUUAACUCAUAUGUGUACCAUUGUUGAUUUUUUUUCCUCUGUCUUCCCUUCUCUGGAUCUUUCCUUCUCCUAUGUUUCCUAUGAAGAGCUCUGCUCGAAACGUUAGGCCCUCCUUCUUUCCUUCUUUCCUGAGCGUCCAAUAAUGCUAUAUUUGUUCCACGUUCUCGCGUUGUGUUUUUUUUGUGCUUUCUUGUUUGGAUUAACUUUAACAACUAUAUAUAUAUAUAUAUAUGUAUAUAUAUACACACACACAUAUACAUACAUGCAUACAUAUAUAUAUCUAUAUAUCUAUAUAUACACACACACAUAUAGAUGUAUAUAUUUAUAAGCAUAUCUGUAUAUGUAUAUACAUACAUGCAUUAAUAUUCUUAUAUAUAUAUGUGGGGGGGGGGGUAUAUGUGUAUAUAAUAUGUAUAUUUCUCUGUGUGUGCGUGUGUGUGUGUGUGUGUGUGUGUAUAUAUAUAUAUAUAUAUAAAUGAGACCCCCCACUUCGGUCAUGACUAACCAUGUGAUUGCACCUAGAAAGUUCCCCUCCCAGGCACAAGUACAGGCAAGGUUGUUUAUAGAAGACCAGCAGUCACCCAUGCAUACUGGCCUCCCCUCUCUACGCCGCAAGUGUUAUCCAAGGAAAAGGCAAAAGCCGAUACAGCUUGGGACCUGUGACAUCACAACUCAUUUCUACAGCUGAGGGAACUGGAGCAAUGUGAAAUAAAGUGUCUUGCUCAAGAUCACAACACGCAGCCCGGUGCUGGAUUUGAACUCACAACCUCACAAUCAUAAGCUUGACACUCUAAUCACUGAGCCAUGUGCCUUUAUAUAUAUAUAUAUAUAUAUAUAUAUAUAUAUAUUUAUACUAUUUAUAUAUAUCUAUACUAUUUAUAUAUAUUUAUAUCAUUUAUAUAUAUAUAUAUAUAUAUAUAUAUAUAUCCACAAAUAUAAAUGUGUACGAACAGCCAUGCUACAUGGCAGUGAAACAUGGGCCGUGACUGCUGAGGACAUGCGUAAGCUCGCGAGGAAUGAAGCCAGUAUGCUCCGAUGGAUGUAUAAUGUCAGUGUGCAUACUCGACAGUGUGUUAGUACCUUGAGAGAAAUGCUGGACCUAAGAAGCAUCAGUUGUGGUGUGCAAGAGAGACGAUUGCACUGGUACGGUUAUGUGGUGAGAAUGGAUGAAGAUAAGUGUGUGAAAAAGUGCCAAUCCCUAGCAGUUGAGGGAACCUGUGGAAGAGGUAGACCCAGGAAAACCUGGGACGAGGUGGUGAAGCACGACCUUCGAACUUUAGGCCUCACUGAGGAAAUGACCAGCGACCGAGACCUUUGGAAAUAUGCUGUGCGUGAGAAGACCAGGCAGGAAAAGUGAGUCCAGCCCACUUAUGCAUGCCUUUCCUCCCUUGGACACACAAAGACCUGUUGAGGCAAGCGAAGUCAAUAUCGAACCUCAUCCGACGACAGGCACCCAUGCUUGUGAAGACCUGUUGGGGCAAGUGAAAUCGAAAUCGAAAUCGGAAUCGAAAUUGAACCAAUCCUAUAACUGGCACUCGGCAGAUGCCAGGACCCCUGAACUGGUGGUACGUAAAAAGCACUAUCUGAAUUGUGGCCGAUGCCAGCGCCACCUCGACUAGCUUCCGUGCCGGUGGCACGUAAAAAGCACCAUCCAAAUCGUGGCCGAUGCCAGUGCCACCUCGACUUGCUUCCGUGCCGGUGGCACGUAAAAUGCACCAUUCCGACCGUGGCCAUUGCCAGCCUUGCCUGGCACCUGUGCAGGUAGCACGUAAGAAGCACCCACUACACUCACGGAGUGGUUGGCAUUAGGAAGGGCAUCCAGCUGUAGAAACAUUGCCAGGUAAGACUGGAGUAUGGUGCAGCCUUCUGGCUUCCCAGAUCCCCGGUCGAACCGUCCAACCCAUGCUAGCAUGCAGCAUGGACGCUAAACGAUGAUGAUGAUGAUGAUGAUAAAUGUGUAUAAAUAUAAUGCACAGAAAUAUGUCUACAUAACUAUUUUAUGCGUAUGUGUGUGUGUGUGUAUACAUAUACAUAUAUAUAUACUUGGUACCAUCAAUGCCAGCAUGGAAGGCAGACAUUAAAUGAUGAUGAUGAUGAUACUUUGUUUUAUGGUAUAUAAAAUACAUGCUUCCCGAAAGAAAUGUCUCAAAAGAGUCAUACUGGAUCCUUUGUGCAAAGCUGGGCCUCCCAUGAUCUUUACUGCACUGAGAACUUUUUCCCUGAAUGUGCACUGCUGUUAGAUGCCUGCAUAUCUUUUAUGCCAAAAAAUAUGGCAUAAAAGAAAACAUUUAAAUACACUAACAUUACAUAUUCAGCUGAAAAUGUUUACUUCAUUUUUAUUUUCUAGAUACCACAAAUCCUCUGCAUCCAUAGCCCAAGUAUCAUUACCAUGUAACAUGAAAGUGUAUAUAUAUAUAUAUAUACAUAUAUAUAUAUAUGUAUAUAUAUGUGUGUGCGUGUGUAUAUAUAUAUGUGUGUGUGUGUAUGUAUAUAUAUGUGUGUGUGUAUGCAUAUAUGUAUACAGGAAUGCAUGCAUAUAUAUCUAUAUAUGUAUGUAUAUAAGUAUGCAUAUAUAUAUGUAUGUAUGCUUAUAUAUAUGUAUGUAUGCAUGCAUAUAUAUAUAUAUGUAUGUAUGCAUAUAUAUAUGUACGUAUGCAUAUAUAUAUAUAUUUACAUAUAUAUAUAUAUAUACAGACACACACACACACACAUAUAUAUGUAAAUGUCAGACAAAGAGAAUGAGUACUCAACACCACAUUGGUGGAUAAAAUUUCUUUAUUUGUGUAUUAAGUCUACCAUUGGUUUCAUGUUAAGAAAAAUAUCUUAAUAUCUUAACAAUUUUUCAAGCCUAUAACAUGGAGGUUCUCUUUCUCUCUAUCUGUCUAUCUAUCUAUCUAUCUAUAUAUAUAUAUAUAUAUAUAUAUAUAUAUAUAUACCUGGCACUCCAUCACUUAUGAGGUUGAGGAUUUCAGUUGAUCUGAUCAAUGGAACAGCCUGCUCAUGAAAUUAAGAUGCAUGUGGCUGAACACUCCACAUGUACCCUUACCAUAGUACCACAUGUACCUUUACCAUAGCUAUCAGAGAGAUUCAACCUGACACAGAGUGUGACAAGGUUGGCCUUUGAAAUACAGAUAUUACUCAUUUUUGCCAACUGAAUAAACUGGACCAACAUGAAAUAAAGUGUCUUGCUCAAGGACACAACACGUCACUGGGAAUUGAACUCAUGACCUUAUGAUUGUGAACCAAAAAUCAUUUACCACUAAGUCACAUGCUAUCACACAAUACUUAUAUAUGAGUGUCACUAUCAUACAAGAGAUAUCCUCAUUUCCAAAUUGCCCGUGAAAAUAUAUCCUGCCUCAGGUGAGAUUUGGUGACAGGAAGAACAUCCAGUUGUAGAAAAUCUGCUUCAACAAAUUCAGUCUGACCCAUUCAAGCAGGAAAAUCUAGACAUUCAAAUUAAAACAAUAAAAAAACCUUUCUUAAAAGCAAUAACUAUACCUAUUUCUUUACUACCCACAAGGGGCUAAACACAGAGAGGACAAACAAGGACAGACAAAGGGAUUAAGUCGAUUAUAUCGACCCCAGUGCAUAACUGGUACUUAUUUAUUCGACUCUGAAAGGAUAAAAGGCAAAGUUGACCUUGGCGGAAUUUGAACUCAGAACGUAGCGGCAGACGAAAUACCGCUAAGAAUUUCGCCCGGCGUGCUAACGUUUCUGCCAGGUGCAUACACAUGUUUAUAUAUACUCAACAUAAACGCUGUCCCAUCUUAACAUUUUUCAAACUUAAUUUGUCUAUCACAAUUCUUUCUUCUCAGUGUCCUCCAACAUCUCCAAAAUAUUCAACAGCAUUAAAUCUAUUUUGUUUGUAGUAUCAUUAACCCAUUUUGUAAAAGUGCAUCCUCUACAUUUGACAGUUGAAAAUAUUUUGCUCACAUUGAUUGCCAAUAAUGAAAUGCCCUAAUAACUUAACAAGAAAAAAAAUCUGUAUGGUUUUGCUAAUUUCCAGCUCCUUAGCAAUGUUUUUUUACCCAUAUUUUAAUGUAGUAUUAGGAAAUGCUUCAAGAUUUGCCCAGCAGCAGUCGGAAACAGUCAAGAGGAAGCAGUGUGUAGAACAUUCUGAAAAUCAUCCCCAUUAAUUAUAUAAAUUUCUCGCCCUUUCUCUCUCUCUCUCUCUCUCCUUCUCUCUCUCCCUCUCUCUCUCUCUCGUUCUCUCUCCCUCUCUCAGAAAUAAGCUAAAAAUAUUUUUUCAUGGAUUCUAAGUUUUGCUUUCUGAACUUAGAGUAAUAUAGUAUUCUGGAAUUCAAACAGAGCUGAAGCUUCUCUGUAUAAACAUGUCAUCAUCGUCAUCAUUAUCAUCAUCAUCAUUAACAUAUUGAAUGUCAUCAUUUCAGGCCAAAAGACAUUUUCUUUCAAGUCAUUUCUUAUCUAUUUGUCCAAUAUCUUCAAAAGCUAUUGUUGAAUGAGCCAUAAUUUUAGUUGACAAAAUUUUAGUUGACAUUUACAACUGAGUGUUUGUUUGAGACUUUAAGUUUCAAUAACUGAAUAUCGUAUCUAAGGAAAAUAAAUGGUAAUAUUUUCUUUUCUUAGUUACAUGAAUAUUUCUUUUUGCUAGGAAAUAAGACAAAUAUUUGCAUGGAUAAUUGUGUAGUUAAUUGCACUGAUCUCAGAUAUUGAAUUUUAUUUUUAUCAACUCUACAACAUAGCUAUAUUUAAUCUCAGAAAAUUGAGGUACCAAACUAAUCAUGAACAGAAUAUUUCUCUUGGCUCAGUCAACUCCACCAAUGAAAUCAUGUAGAUUUGAAAGUAUUUAAGUUUGAAAGGAUUAAAUUCUUAUCUAGCACAAUUUAAGUGUUGCUUUAUUUGCUUACUAUUGGAUAUGAAUAUUUUGUGCAUAGAAAUCCUUGAUCCUCUUUGUUAUCCACUGAGAUUAGACUUUUGAUUAGGAAUUUAUUAUUGAACAACACACUAUUUAUAUCUGCAAUAAUGAAGGGAUUUAAAUCUUUUAUUGACAACUCUUUUCAUUUCUGAUUGAAAGUAACACUUGAAUCUUUGUUAAUAUAAUCAAGAAUUCUUUAAAUUUAGAUAUUAAUAAAAUAUUAAAAUGUUAUUGCCAUUGAAAUAAAUUUCAUUACCUUCCUGUAAUAUUUGCAGAAAAUAAUUUAAUUUUUCAUAUUAAAAGUUUUAUUUCAGGAAGCUUGUUCAUUAAUUGUGGUACCUUCAUUAAAUGUAUGUUGAAAACAUCUGAAAAAUGAAUUAGCUUAUUGCUUAUAAAUAAUAUCUUGCCUAAUUUUACUCAGUUCAUUCAAUUUAUUUUAAUUUUAUUGUUUUAAACCACCCACUUCUCAUCUGUUGAUAACAUUUAUUUGAUUAAUUUGUCAAUACUUUACCCAACUAUCUUCCUGGUAUACUCAGAUAUUAAAAAAUUCUCUUUAAUAUUAUUGAUAAAAUUUUAAGUUUAUUUUAAUGUUUCUGGUGCUUAAAUUAUGCACAUUGUGUGUAUAUGUAUGCAUACAUGUAUAUGAAACAAGCAAAUUAGCUGGUUAGAAAAUUUCUAUAAGAAAUGAAAGUUGUAACUAUAUUGAGAAGUAAUGUUUAUUGCCACUUCAACAUGGCUGUUCCAUAGGAACUGACAUUACUACCAUUUUAACCCCAGGAGGAUUCCUCCUCCAGCUGGUUAUUUGAUGUAAUCUGCACCCAAUAUAUAUUCUUUUCUACUCUAGGCACAAAGCCCGAAAUGUUUUGGUGGGGAGGGGACCAGUUGAUUAGAUCAACCCCAGUAUGCAACUAGUACUUAAGUUAUUGACCCCGAAAGGAUGAAAGCAAAGUCGACAUUGGCAGAAUUUGAACUCAGAACAUAAUGACAGAUGAAAUACUGCUAAGCAUUUCGCCUGGCAUGCUUACGUUUCUGCCAGAUCACUGCUUUAUGUACCCAAUGUAUAUUGCAAGCAGAAGAGCAAACCCCUACCAUCUUCCAACAAACCCCUAUCAUCUUCCAGCUUGAAACCAUAUGGUCUGGUGGUCCUGUCACUGGAAGAUGGUAGGGAUUCACUCCCUCUGUAGACUGUAUAUACAUGUCAGUGUAUCUUAAAGUUAUAAAAUAAUUUAUAAUUUGAAGCAAUUAUGUCAGACAGAAAAAUGGAAGUCUUCUUUGAAUUUUUAAAUGGAGAAGUUAAGCAUGUAUUAUUAACAAAUUGAAAUUAAUUUAUUCUUCUUUUAUUUAAGGUUAACCCUUUCAUUACUGCAUUUAUUUUGAGAUGCUCUGUAUUUCUUUCAAUUACUUUAAAUAUUACAAAGAAUUUAGUAAAAUAACUUAGUUAUCAUUCAGCUAGUGUCAGGAACAUAAAUUGUGAUUAAGAUUUGGUGGAAGAUUUUAAUUCAAAACUUAUGAAAACAAAACAUUUGUACUAAAGAGACAGAGCCGGUUUCAGCCGGAUUGGUAAUGAAAGGGUUUUAAAGUAGAAUGAUUGUUGAAUUUGAUCUGUUAUUAAGUGCUGUGCCUUAUCCAAGACUGCCCAUGCAAUUAUGGAAGUUUUUGAUUUCCAAAUUUGCUAUGAAAGUACUAUGGCAUUUUCCAGAUGGCAUGUAUCUAGAGGAAAACAUCACCAAGGUGAUAUCUCCACCAGCAACACACAUCAUCAAACUGUAUAGCAUAUAAAAACACUCAAGAGUCAACUGCAAUAGUAGAGUGACUUGGUCUGUCAACAAACUCUAGAAGUAUAACAAAGUAUAUUUAGAAAUCAAAACCAAUAGCAAAGCUGCCAGCUUUUCAUGACCAAUAUUAGAUAAAGAGUAUGACAUGUAUCAUUCAUGACCAAUAUUAGAUAAAGAGUAUGGCACUGUAUCAUUCAUGCAGCUUCUGCCUCGGUAAAACACUUAACAUCAUCUAACAUCCAACUCCAAUCUAUAUAAAUAAAAUCAGUUUUGGGGGACUAACUCCAACACGUGUCAGUCCAUUUUAUUCACUCGAUACACCCUCCUUUUUCUCCCAUAUGAGACUGACAAAGUCAGUCUGUUUUAGCCACUCAGUAUACCCUUCUCCUCCCUCAACGUUAGCAUUCCAAUAAUAAAAAUAAAUAAAUGAAAAAUAUGAUGCUGAUUGUGUGUGUGUGUAUGUGUGUGUGUGUGUGUGUACGCGUAACUGUAUGAGAUUGUGUGUGUUUAUAUACGUACCUAACUGUAUGAGACUGUGUGUUUGUGUGCGCACACAUGCCUGUACCUGUAUGAGACAGUGUUUGUGUGUCUCCACAUAUCCAGAAAUAACCGAAGUAUUACUUUACAUAUUGUGCGCAUGUAUAUAUGAUAUAAUGAAAGAAAUUGUUCUAUUCAGUGCUCAGAUGCACCACAACUAAAAAAAAGCCAUCAGAUGUACUGUUGGCAGAUUUCAGGAAGCAUGGAAGUUUUGAAGGAUGCAGUGUCUCAACAGCUAACAACUGAUGCAGAUAGUUUAUUCCAUCCUUCAGCAAUUCUGAGCGUGAAAAAAAUGUUUCUGAAAGUCACGGGGAUGCUGUGUUGUUUUUUGAUGUUAUAAGCAUGUCCGCCAGUGUUUGUCAUAUGGUUUUCAAAAAGGUGCCCAAGGUUGUUGUUGGAAAGAUGGUAGAUAAUAUUGUUUUAAAUAAAAGGAAUAAGCUAAUAUUACCAGCCAAGAGAUGCCAAAAUUGCUUUUCUGAGAAUGUCAAAUAAUGUCACCUAUCUUAAAUGUAUAAGAGGUGAUAACUGAUCAUCUAUACCAAUUACACUGCCUAAAGGUAUCUUAUUACUUUCAAAUCUUCAGAGCACUGUCAGCUAAGUGAUCAGAGUUGUGGUUCAGGAAUGUAACUGCUGCUUAUCUCAUAUAAAGUAGCAGUCGCAAUUGUGUGCGGGUACACACACACACACACACACACACACAUACACACACAAAUAUACAAACACACACAUGCACACACAUACAAUACCCAGUGUGUUAUUGAUAAUGAAUACAACCCUAUAGAAGAGGGGUAUAACAACAAAAUAGGCUGGCAUUCAUAUAUGACUAUAUAUUUAUCUUUUACACACUCACACACACACACACACACACACACACACACACACACUAUACAGAUAUAUGCAUUACAUUCACACACAUAUUUCAUCCACAUGCACAUCCUUUCUACCCUUGCUCCUGAAGUACCUAGUGUACUCUGAAAGUAGUUGAACAAGCCCCCACUUUGGCAACAUAGCAUGGAUAUCCAUCAUUCACUCUUGCCAUUUAUCCACCACUCCCUCUCUCUCUCUCUCUCUCACUUUUCCACAAUCUUCUCAUCCCAAUCACUCUCUUCUCCCACUCAUUCUGAUUCUUCUUCUGCCAUCACCUGGCCCUUCCAGUCAUCUCCUCAGUCACUUAACCCCAAAUAAACAAAAUGUUAACAAUGGUAAUAUCUCUCUAAUCUCCAAGGUAUGAGACAACCUUAUUGUUGGUUCAAUGAAUCCAUUCAAGCAAUACAUGCUAUAAAGUGUGAUUUAGAGUUUGUCUGACCUGGCAACUCCUCUAGAGCUAGUGUCACAAAAAAAGCACAGAGUUCUUUUUUGUGGCACUAGCAUUCUGUAAAGUAGUUGAUGCACUCUGUAAAGUGCAUUCUGUAAAGGAGUUGGUGAUAGGAAGAGAAAACAACGACAGAAACUAAAUGAACAUUGAAAGACGUGCACAAGCAAGGAAAGUGUACAUAAAGUUAUAUAUACAAUAUGUUAUUUUAUUCUUUUAUUUGUUUCAGUCAUUUGUCAAUGGCCAUGCUGGAGCACUGCAUUGAAAGGUUUUAAUCAAACAAAUCAACCCCAACAUUUGAUUUUUGAAGCCUAGUAUUUAUUUCAUUGGUCUCUUUUGCUAAACCACUAAGUUACAGACAUAUAAACACAUCAACACUGGUUGUCAAGCAGUGAUGGUGGGACAAACAAAUGCACAAAAACAUACAUAUAUAUAUAUAUAUAUAUAUAUAUACAUACAUAUAUAUAUACAAGAGGCUUCUUUCAGUUUCCAUCUUCCAUAUCCACUCACAAGUUUGGUUGGCCCAAGGUUAUAGUAGAAGACACUUGCGCAAGGUGUCACACCAUACAUACACACACAUACACAUAUACAUGCAUGUGUGUGUGUGUGUGUGUGUACAGGCAUGUGUGUUUUCUUUUUAACAAUAAGCACUUCCUUUCAAACUGCUUUCUAUAUAUUGAACAGAACUCUUUCUAUUUCUUUUCUCUACUUGGUAGGAAUUUGGGUGUGCACCAAAUAUUUAUGGGAUGUUUGUUUUAAAAUCCUUUUCAUUUGCAAUUCCCCAAAAAUGACUAAGAAAUAAUCCAUGUUACUUAUAUUCAUCCAUACAUAAGUAAUUAAAAGCCCUCAAACAUAUAACAUUUGUAUUUUCUACAGAACAUGAUAAUGUAUUGUCAGAUGUUUUUAGUACCUACAGAAUUACUAAAAGUAAAAAUAUAAAAAUUGAAUUAAUAACAUAAAUAUAGCUUAUAAUGCUAAUAACUAUUAAUCAGUCUAUUAACAUUAUGCUAAUUUACUAUGGAUAUUUCUAAUGAAUAAUUUUUGUAUCUUUAUUCUUGCAAAUAUUAGGCAACCAAUAAGUCAUACCUGUUUCAACCAGUAAUUGUAUUGCAAUGAGUUAGGGAGUAGAUGUAACUGAGAGCUGGACACUAGGUUAAAACCAUAGUAAAAUUUUAUUUCAGUCCUUUAUGUUUAAAGUUUAAACCCAACUGAUAUUAGCCCUACUUUCCACCUCUCUAAGACUAAUUAUUUAUAAUAUUUUUGGUUCAAUACAAUUAGUUACACUCACCUUUUCACAAACAAACAUUAUACCUGCUAUUAGUGCCAUGGAAAUUCCAGCAAUCCUGUAGUUUUCAAAAUAGCCAUGUAAGUUCAUAGAGAACCAUGAUAUGCAUUCUUUUGAAAUGAUAUGUUUUUAUAAAGCAUUUGUUUCUGGAAAUGGUAUAAAUUCUUCAUUGUUAGUACUCAUGAAGCAGUCUCACAAGUGUAUAUCUUUGAAAAUUAUAGUCUUUCUACUUUUUUGAGUUAUAUAUUAUUUUUUUCUGCGUGUCAAGUGAUAAACAACUUUGGAAUGACUUUGAAGAUAAUCAAUCAGUAAUAUUAUCUAUCUUGCUAUAUUUUGGUCAUACUGGUGAAGCUUUAACAAAUAAUCGUACUCCAUCCUUAUUUUCAUAUUUGGAAAUAAAGCAUAUGACUGGCAUUUUAUUCACAGUCCUAGUAAUGAACUACCAUAGCUGCUCCACUGAGCUGUAGAAUCCUAGAAAUGUAUGUAUAUAUUAACUUAAAAUAUUCAUCAGCAGUAUUCUUUACAAAUAUAUAAAUAAUAAAUGUCAUAUCUUGUCAUAUCUAUAACAGAAUAUGUUUUCAAUUUUCUUAUACUGUUGUCCAGUCGAUUGUCUUAUAAAUAAUAUAGAUUUUGUGUAUAUAAUAUAUUAUAACUUCAGUUUUGUUCCAUAGUUAACGUGCUCCAUUCAUAGACAGUAACAGAAUAAUUUAGAUUAAAAAAGCAAUGUUAAACUAUUGACUAAAUAAUUUUCUCUAUGUUUCUGUAGCAGAGAAUACAAAGUUUAUUUUUCAAUAAGUAGUUUAAAAUCAAAAGGUACAUUUUAAGGGAUUUAUAUUAUUCAAAAUUAAUUUCUUGGUUAUAUUAAUUUCAACAAUGUCUUGCAUUUAGCAAAAAAUGUUUUUUUUAUUUUCUUUUGCUUAAAUGUUGUUAAAUAAUAAUUCUUGUAUUUACAAUAAUAAUAGUAAAAUAAAUUUUGCAAAAUUGUUGAAAUAGGUUUUCCUUUCAUAUUGUAAAUUUGUCAAAUAUUCUUUUAUUUUGCCAGUGCAAUUCUCAUGAAAGUUAUAGCUAUAAGUUUUUAAUAAUGAAAUAGAAUUCCUCUUUGCUUUGAAGUAGUAUAACUCAAAACUUAUUUCCUUAAAAACAAUUCAUUUUAAAAAUUUAUAUAUAUUUAUCUUCAGUUAUUGAAUGCAGUAAUUUUUUUUUCAAAUAUACACAUUCUUUUGAAAUAGGAAUACUUUUAAUACAGAUAAAUGUGUAUUUACAUUUCUAUUAUAGUAUGGGAUAUGAAAAAGAAAUAGGAAAUAUUUAUUAUAUGAUACCAAUACACAGGCAUACAAAAGAUUUGUAAUAUCAUAGGUAGUGCAAGGCAUGAAUUUUUAUAUUUGGAUAAUACCACGUACACUUAAAUCAUAAUAUAGAAAAUAAUGGAUUGUAAUAUCCUGAAUAUAUGACAGGAUGUGAUAGUUUGUGGAUGACAUUGAGUAAAUUGCAUAGAUACCUGAAUUGAUGAGAGAAAUUUUUCGAGGAAGUCAUUACGUAGUCCCUUGGCCUGCAAAAAAUCAAAACCAAAUGUUCAUUAGAAACUAUCUUACCAUCUUAAAAAAUAGUUAAUCACACAAGAUCAAAUAAUGCUAAAUAUAAUAUGUCAGAAAGGAAGAUAGUAUAAUCAUGUCUUAGAGGAUAACUGGAUGUUGUAUACUUGAUUCAGGAAAAUAUUUUACAUGUGAAGGCAAUGACUACAAAUCUACACUGAGAAGGCUUUUAGACACCUCUAUGCCUUAAAAAGUUUUCAAGAUCACUCACAAACAGCCUCAAGCAAAAACAUAUAAAACUAAUUUUGAUAAACAUGUGACUUUACAGGUAAAAUAACACUGAAAGAAGAACAAUUGUCCCUCCCAACAUCACAGAAUCACACAGAAUACAUUAAAGAAUAAAUGUCGCCCAUACAAAAAUACUAUAAAACUUCAAAAUUCACAGAUACAAUUAAAAGUCCCUUUGUGGAACUAGAGGAUCAUCAUCAUUCACAGCAGUUGUACUUAUAGUUCUGAAAACAUUUUUUACUACCAGAACACAGAAAAGCUUCAUUCCAGAUUAUACUCAAAUCAGAUAAGACUGAUUAUUCCACAAUGGGGUUGGUCUAAUACAUGAGAACAUGCAUUCAUUAUUGUCUAAUUAUAGAAGCAUCUAAGCCAUGUAAAAAAACAUAACCCAAUUAUACAUCAGAAAUAACCAAUCUUAUAAAUAUCAGAGAUAACUUGAAAUACAAUAUCUCAAAGCAGCAGACAACCAAAAUAAAGCUCAGCAUCAAACAACUAAAUAAGGAAAUAAAUGAAUAAAUAAAUCAUAUGAAAAGCAAAAAGUGUCAUACACUUGUAUCAUAAACCACAAACCUAGCAGAACAUCAUAUGAAAGAUAUUAUAGCAUCAGAAACAAUGGACAAGCUAUGUUAUGUGUCAUAAUAACAACUUCAGUAUACCUACACUACAAAUCCAAGCAAACGCAUUAGACAUUUCUUAAAAAUCAGCCACCAAAAUCCAUAAAGUGAAAAAUACACACUUUCUACUUAAAUUCUUUUAUCUUUUAUUUGUUUCGGUCUUUAGAUUGUGGCCAUGCUGGGGCACCACCUUGGAGAAUUUUUAGUAAAAUGAAGUGACCCCCAGCACUUAUUUUUUUAAAGUAUGGUGCUUAUUUUAUUAGUCUUUUUUGCCAAACCACUAAGUUACAGGGACCUAAAUACACCAGCACUGGUUGUCAAGGCAGUGGUGGAGGGUCAAACACACACACGCACGUGCAUAUAUAAAAUAGUCUUUUGUCAGUUUCUGUCUACCAAAUCCAUUCAUAAGGCUUUAGUUGGCAUGAGGAUAUAGUAGAAGACACUUGCCCAAGCUUCGACACUGUGGGACUGAACUAAGAACCAGGUGGCUGGGAAGCAAGCGUCUUACUACACAGCCGCACCUGUUUCUAGACCAUAGAUUUAAUUUUGUUCUUCCAACAGACAUGUAAAAAGCAAAAAAGAAAGGUAAAAAAAAUUCAGAAACCUCAAGGCAAGUCAAAAUCAAAAGUACUCAGCUACCUGGGGCCUGGAGAAAUCAUUACAUUCAUCUACAAAUACUUACACCAGCAUUGUGCUGAGAUGAGCACCACCAACAAUAAGUACAAAGCAGCAGCAAAUGUCAUGUGCUGACCAAGUCUACCUUGCUACCCAACAGUUGCUACUCUCAGAAACUAUGAGUAUACAAGACAAUUGAGAUAGUGCUAUAAAUAUCCAAAAUCUAACACUGCACCAGUUACAAUUUAUCAGUGAACAUUGGGAAUAUGUAAUGUGUUCACUCUUUAUGCAGAAAUGAUAUAAGUAGAAAGCAGCAUUUGUAAGUCAGGUUUCAUUGUUUGACUAUUACUUGCAUAUCAUAAAACUGCUCAAUCUGGGCAGACCUAGGGUUGCACAACAACAAUUCACAAUAUGUACUUGUUUUGGUGUUAUGAAAAUCAAAGUGAAGCCUCACUGGUCAGUACAGUUUAAGCCUUGCACUCAAAGCAGUUAGCAUGCAAGUUCCAGUCAGUCAGUUCAUCAGUUAAACCAAUAUGCUAAAGUUGACAUUUAAAACAGCUAAAGUCUGUAAAGUGUACAGUGAAGAAUGAAUUGAUAUUAAACAGUGUUAACUGAAGCAAAAGUUUAUAAAUAGCGUAUGGGAAAUGUGGGUCAAUAGUUUGUUGUUUGAAUGACCAAAUGAAGCAGCUAGGAUUGUGGAAACUAAUAUUGAUUCCCUACUCUUGUACAAGACUACAUAUUUCCUGGUAAAGGUGUAGUCAAUUUAAACCACUCCUGCAGUUUCCUGGUACUUGACACUGACAAGAUAUCAUCUGAGAAUGUAAAGAGAUGCAACUAAAUAUGACAAGGCAUUCAAUAUUUUAUUUGACUUAUUCCCACAUUUAUUACCUAUUAAUGUCAAAACUAAUGAUUGUUUUUAAUUUAGGCAGAAAGCCAGUAUAUUUGAGGGGAAUGGUUAAGUCAACACAAUCAGUCCCAGUAUCAGUCCCAUUAAUCUAGUUUAUUGACCACAAAAGUACAAAAGACUAUGACAGAAUUUGAACCUAGAACAUAAAACAGAUUCCAUGAAGUAAUUUUCUUUCCUAUACUCAAAUGAUUUUGUCAGCUAACCUCCUUAACAUGAAAAACACUAUUGAAAGCAACAGUGUAGGAAUUUUGAAUAGGUAGAAGUAAACAUUUUAGUUAAGUUUCCAAUGUGUUCCAAACAUUGAUUCUAAUUAUUAUGUGAAUUAUUUGAUUGUCAUGGUUUCAGCAAGACAUUUAUUCAUCAAAUCAUACUGCAAUUUCUGCUUUUGAUCAUAAUGGGGAAAAAUAAGCAGUUAUAUCAAUGUAGUGUCAAUUUGUUCAGAAAUGAAUUUGUAGUUUUAAAGCUCAAAAUAUACUUAUUUUUAUAUUUUAUUGAUCAUGUACACAUUGAUCAAAUGAAAUGGUUUUUUUUCAAUGAAGUACUUGAACAAAUUUGAAUUUGUCCAUAAAUUCUCUUUUUUUUUCAAGCUUAAUGUAAAAAUAUUAUAUUGAGAGAUCUGGCGGACUAUAAUUAAAUUUUGCAAAUGGUUACAGUUUUCAUAAUCACCUAAAACAUGUUUCAAUUAACUAAGGACCACAUUUUAGAUGAAUUAUUUUUUCAGAAAUCAAUUGGUGAUUCUUAAUCUGCAUAUUAUUCAGGGUUUGUUUUCAUUCUAAAACACAAAUCAUGAAGAAAAUCAGUUCUGUAAAAUUUAAACAUAAUGAAAUGCAACACACUAUCAUUACACAAAUUUUUGGUUCUUCUAAUUUCCCAAAGUGAUCAUAAAUCAAACUAUGCUCUUUUUGAAAGAAUCCAAGCAUACAAUGAUUGUUUUACAGUCAUUUUUCCAGCUUGUUUCCCAGUACUGAACAUUCAAGAUUUGAAUAAGUGUAUUAGAUAAAAAGAGGUGAUCAGAGCUUAGUACCCUACCCAGUGAGCUUUUCUAUCCCAUAACUCAAAAUUGGUGCAUGAAUGUACAUGUAAAGCUAACACAGUGUAUUAUGCAUCUUAUCCAGACAUUACUGUUGUUAUCAUUGAAAUGUUUAAUACCUUGCUCUACUAGAUAAAAGUGGCAACUUAUAUAAUGAUUGGUUGAGCUAGCUGUUCGUACACAUGCAUCAUACAGUCUGCCUUUUACUCUGAGCGAGAGGCCUUUAGUCACCAGCAGAGGUAAGAGCUCCCUAAACUUUGCCCAGGCAAUUGUUUUAGCAAUUAAUUUAAAGAGAACAAAGCCAUUAAAUACAUCUAUAAGCCAGUCAUAAUUCUCUUUAGCAAUUCAGAAUAGCUACCGAAAAAUAAAAGCCAGACAGAAGUAUGUUUAUACUGAUACAUUAGAGUUCCUGCCACAUUUUCCCAGUUAGUUGCUGCUUUAUGUGUCCAUAGCUACACUGGGUACAUCUUAUAGAAAAUUUCUACCUACACCUUUUCUACAGAUCGAGUCAGGGCCCCAUAUUUGUGGGUUUUCUACCUUUCUACUUAUUAGUACUUUGGUUUUAGCUAGGUUGACUCUAAGGCCCCUCGAUUCUAAACCCUCCUUCCACACCUGGAACUUCUCCUCCAGUUCUGAUAGUGACUCAGCGAUUGAUUCUAAUUAUUAUGUGAAUUAUUUGAUUGUCAUGGUUUCAGCAAGACAUUUAUUCAUCAAAUCAUACUGCAAUUUCUGCUUUUGAUCAUAAUGGGGAAAAAUAAGCAGUUAUAUCAAUGUAGUGUCAAUUUGUUCAGAAAUGAAUUUGUAGUUUUAAAGCUCAAAAUAUACUUAUUUUUAUAUUUUAUUGAUCAUGUACACAUUGAUCAAAUGAAAUGGUUUUUAUUUCAAUGAAGUACUUGAACAAAUUUGAAUUUGUCCAUAAAUUCUCUUUUUUUUUUCAAGCUUAAUGUAAAAAUAUUAUAUUGAGAGAUCCAACUAUAAUUAAAUUUUGCAAAUGGUUACAGUUUUCAUAAUCACCUAAAACAUGUUUCAAUUAACUAAGGAACAUUUUAGAUGAAUUAUUUUUUUCUAGAAAUCAAUUGGUGAUUCUUAAUCUGCAUAUUAUUCAGGGUUUGUUUUUCAUUCUAAAACACAAAUCAUGAAGAAAAUCAGUUCUGUAAAAUUUAAACAUAAUGAAAUGCAACACACUAUCAUUACACAAAUUUUUGGUUCUUCUAAUUUCCCAAAGUGAUCAUAAAUCAAACUACGCUCUUUUUGAAAGAAUCCAAGCAUACAAUGAUUGUUUUACAGUCAUUUUUCCAGCUUGUUUCCCAGUACUGAACAUUCAAGAUUUGAAUAAGUGUAUUAGAUAAAAAGAGGUGAUCAGAGCUUAGUACCCUACCCAGUGAGCUUUUCUAUCCCAUAACUCAAAAUUGGUGCAUGAAUGUACAUGUAAAGCUAUAUCAAGCUUAUAUUCUCCUUUUAGACAUUACAUGUAUUAUCAAAAUGUUUAAGACUUUCAGAUAAAAUGGCAACUUAUAUAAUGAUUGGUUGAGCUAUUUCAGCCAUGAACAACAUAUAAUAAUUUGAUAAAACAGGAGCUGCAGACAUUGAAUAAAGGAUAAAAUGUUAAACAAUCUCUUGUUUAUGUUUGCCAAGUUUCUAUAAACAUAGCUGCAGGCAAUUGAUUCUUCCUGCAAAGUUAAUUUGAAACAGAUAACAAAGCCAUUAAAUACAUCUAUAAGCCAGUCAUAAUUCUCUUUAGCAAUUCAGAAUAGCUACCGAAAAAUAAUAGAAGCCAGUGCGGUAUGUUUAUACUGAUACAUUAAUGUUCUUUUGUUGUAGUUCUCUUUAGGGAACUACAAACAAAAGAAAAUUGCAGUUACCAGAAGUCAACCCCAUAUGUGCUAUUUAGUGAUGUGCAUCUGUUACUACUGAUGCAUAUUCAUCUAUAUUCCUGUGAGGAUAAGACAGUUGGUUAAUGACCAGUGCCAUAUUACUCUAUCUUUUGUUGUGCACAAGGGCAAUAUCAUAACUCUUUACUUACACUACUUUGCAUGACUGACACUCCAGAUUACACUUCUGUAUCACUGUUCAGAGAUGAAGUUAACAGCAUCAUGGAAUUGUAAAAAUUGCAAAACUACCUGCAAAAGAAAAACUACCACAUCUCAGUCAUACAAACAUUGAAAGAUAUAUAUGUACACAUAAACAUAUACACACUCACAAACACAUGUGUAGUGUGUCGUGUGUGUAUUCUCAAGCCUCUGAACUACAAUUAACUGAACUGCUCUCUCCAAAUACUCAACUGUCAUUUUUCAUUAAUGGCACAACUUCAUAAUGACUGUAUAUAAUUGUAUUCUGGCUGUAUUUUAGUCAUAAAUACCAACAUUUUCUCUGAAAUAUGAUGGAAAAUAUAUUCGAUUUAAUUGUUUUCAUUGAGAAUGCAUAUCAGGAAAACAUCAUUUUCUUGGCAGCUCAAUAAUAAAUUAAUCAAAACAUUUUCUAUUAUUCUUCAUGGUCUAUACUUUAAUCCUUGGUGAAGAAUUAUUUAUUUAUGUAAACAUACAUAUUGAAAUAUGUGUAUGAAAAAAUGAUUUUCUGUAUACUUCAUUUUCACUUCUUUGUGUCCUUUUAUGCCAAGAAUGGAAAAUACAUAGAAUAGGGUAAAUUAAAAUUAAAUUUCCCCUGCAAUCUUGAUUUAUUAGAAAUCAAAACAAAGCAAGUUAUUGAUUUGGGAUAUGAAAAGGCACUACAUUAUGGUUAAAUCAAAUUUUUAUUUAACCUAGUUCAUAUAGGUAUGAUUUGUGCUAUUACAAUAAUAUAAGCUGUAAAUAAAAAGAUAAAUUUGAUAACUUUUAGUGACAUUACUUGAAAAGGGACAAGAUCCUGAAUGAUGCUAUUGGGUUAACAAAACAACCAGUUUUACUUGUUCAUCAUAUAUGGUUUCUGAUUUAAUAAUGAUAAUGGUUUAUGAUAAAGUUAUAGAUGAGUGAAUAGUUUUAUAUCAAGCUUAUAUUCUCCUUUUAGACAUUACAUGUAUUUCAAAGUGAAGACUUUCAGAUACAUUAAUCUAAUCUCAUUAAAAUUUAGGCUCUAUUUCUAUUUAUGUAUAUAACUAAUUUCCAUCAUAAGCUGUAACUCAUCUUCUCGGCAAAUAAAGGAUAAAAUAAACACCAGGUCUCUUGUUUAUGUUUGCAAGUUUCUAUAACAUAGUGAGAUUUGAGUCCUGAUUCUUCCUGCAAAGUUCUCCUUGAAACAGAUAACAGAUGUUUCAAGCAAAGCCCAUUUAUAGUCUUUCUGAAGACAUUUGCUUGACCCCUGAUUUCACUAACCAUUAUAAGUAGGUAUGAGUUUGUUUAUUUUGAUUUAUAUAAUAUCUGAGGAUUUCCAUCUGCAGCUUUUUUUUUUCUGAGGUAGUUUUGGUGAAGUAUUGUGAGGUAUAACCUUAAAGAAGGCAAGAAGGCACAAAAUAAACUACAAAAGGAUAAGAAAAGGAAAGAAAAGUUGCAGUUUUGCCUUGUAUUUCUAUAUUUUGGGGUGAAGGCCACUUCUUCAGGACAUUUGGAAAAAGCAGUAGUUGGAAAAAGUCGUUGCUCAGAUGUGGGAGAGGUAGGGGAAGAAGGUGACCCUGAAAUAUAGAAAUACAAUGUAAAACUGCAACUUUGUUCUGUUUUCUCUUCUUUUCCUUUUGUAGUUUACUUUUUAGCUUCUUGCAUUAUCUGGCCUUACACAACAACCUUCUUUAAAUGUAUUAUUCUGUUUUAUCAAACCAGAUUAUCAGCAAAAUUUACCAAAAAUAGUUUUUUAAUGUGACAACAAUGUACUCAACAUAUGCCUGAUAUUUAUUUACUGGUUCUUUGCUCAAUUUGUAAUUUCUCUCUUCCUCACAUUAUUGGUCAUCAUUCUCACCCUUUUAAGUUUUAAAUUUUCUUACUUUUACGGACUUUCUUCUUCUUGAAAUUGGUUAGUACCCUUUUCAUCUUUGGCAAAAGACAAUGAGAAAUAAAUUCUUUGUUGAUAUCUUAGAAUUUUUAUUCUAAGUGAUAAUGACUUGCUUCUUCAGUAACAUGAUUUAAAUAACAUGAAAUAAUUCUUACAUUAUCAGAAAACCACACCUCUAUGGAGAAAGUGCUGAGGACAGCAGUGCCAAUUGUACUGAUAUUCACAACCCCUGAGGUUGAAAGCAAAAGCAAAUUCUGCUCUAGUACAAUUUGUGAUACAAAUUGUAAGUGACAACAAAAUACUACAAAAUAUUUUGUGCCAAACUCUAUCAUUUCUUCUACUUCACCAUCUUAAAUAGUUUCAUUUAAUAACAACUUGUAUUUUUGAUUAAAUAUCGCCCCUCUUACCACUGAAUAGUUUCACUUAGAUUCCUAUAUGAAAUCUUUGCUUAUGAAAAGAACAUGUAAAUCAAAUUCUGUUAUGAAAUAUCAGUAUUUAUAAGGAAAACCACUAUAAUCUUUAUUAUUUUGUUAAAAACCUAUUACGAUUAUACAUUUUUUAUCAGAAAUUAUUUCAUCAGCUCAGAUUGAUUUUCUCACACUUAAGCAAUCAGUUUCUCUCACACCAUUUAUCUAGGAGGUCAAACACGCAAGUUCUUAUAUAGGAUUUUCAUCUUAGAUCUUUCUUUAGUUUUCCUUGUCCAACUUUGUUCCAGCAUUAGCUUAUAAUACCUUCCAUCUUCUUGCAUCUUCCAUAUGUCACUUCUCAUAGAUGUCUUUCCUACUUUCAUGCACAUUUGUUAAUACUUUCUCAACACUUGAAAAUAUAAAAUUUUCUAGUACAUAAUACAUAAAAGACACAAAUUGUCAAGAAUUAUAGCAUUAGUAGUAAACAGUGUCUGGUGAGACUGAUGAUGAUCUGCAUUGGCAAAAAUUUUGCAGUAAUGUUUAUGAACUUUGGUAAGUUUUAUUCUAUGGGAAGAAGAAAAUCAUCAGACAUUUCAGGAUAAUUUUUUCAUUUGAGAACAUUUCAAUUUCCCCCAUUAAAUGAAGGGACUGUCCCAGAACAUUAUAUUCCUCUUCUUCCCCUAGCACAUGAACAUUUCUACUAAUUCUACAGUGAAGCUUGAGUUUAGACAUCACCUUUCAAUAAAACUUUAUCAUGAACUACAGUUGUAAAUAAAGAGCUGAUCAUUGUAUUGUGUGGAUGUAUUCAAGACCUAAAUUCAUUGGAAGAAUGAAUAGCAAUAGCAUGUACAGGUAAAAUAACUGACAGAACAAAAUACUUUAUUACUAGUUCCAUGGUUGAGCCUGCCUCAAACAUUAUUUUAGAGUAAUUCUUAGCAAGACAAUUUACAUUAACUCAGUUCACUUAAUAGUCAGAAAUCAUUGCCAAGAUUCUAGGCAAAAUGUCAACCAGACAGCAACAUUGUACAACCUUCGUAGUGUUUUAAGGGGUUCUUUUAAGAGAUAGGGGUCAGAUAUGGCAUUAAUUAUUUUUUGAAUUGGUGCAGGCAAGGCUGUGUGGAUAGGUGCAAGCAUAGCCAUGUGGCUAGGUGUAGAUAUGGUUGUGUGGUUAAGAAGCUUGCUUCCUAGCCCUGUGGCUUAGAGUUCAGUCUCACUGCAUGACACCUUGGGUAAACGUCUUCUACUGUUGCCCUAGACUGACUAAAGUCUUGUAAGUGUAUUUGGUAUAUAGAGACUGAAAGAAGCCUAUCAUGUGUAUAUGUAUAUAUAUAUGUGAGGGAUGUGUGUAUGUAUGGAUGUGUGUUUGGGUCCCCUAGUCUUGAUAUUGCGUAAUGGUUGUUAACAUCAUCCUCAUCCUCAUACAAGCAAUACCAUUCCUUUCCAAUCGUCCAUGAAAACCAUGUCUGGCCAAGGGAAAGUAUUACUCUACAUGGAAACAAGUAUGGGUUGGUGAGAGAAAGGCAUCCAGCUGUAGAAAAUCUACCAUAAUAAAUUCCACCUGAUCCAUGCAAACACAGAAAAGUGGAUGUUAAAACAAGGAUGAUGAUGAUCUGCCCUGACUGAACUAUCUCAUCGAUUUUCAGGCAUUAUGCAUCCAUGACCACAUUAACUAUGAUAUCUUCCCUCUUUUAAAAUAGUAGCAUGCAAUUUGAGAGAGAAUUGGUUGCUUGUCAGGUAGAUUUUCUCUCUAUGGUUUCAUUCUCUCUUGUUUGGGGCUGGAGGUAGAUUCUUGCUCAAAAUAUAUUGUUGAAGUACUUGAAUGGUCUAUUUACAAAUCAUUGUAAACGUGAAAAUGUUAAAACUUGGUGUUUAUAAACAAAAUGAUUCAGAAAUUAGAUUCUAAUGGUUUAUUUCAAAACUUCAAUUUGUGGGAAUCAUGCCAGUAACAAGGAAAAACCAAUGGAAGCUUAUCUUUUUAUUUUUUCUUUAUUAAAAAUAAAAUGAAUUUUGUAUUACAAGGCUUCAGCAGAACAAAAUAUUCUUUUUCUAUAUAUGGAUUAUAUUCUUUGAUUGGUUUUAUAUAUAUUUUUUAUUAAUGUUAUCAUUUUCUAUCAUGAUUCACCAAGCAAGAAAAAUAUUUACUUUGCAAAUAGAUAAUCAUAGAAUUAAAAACAAAUCUUUUAAAGCUUAGUAUUCCAAAAUAAGCAGCUUGAAAAAUGGUUUCAAAAUUUCCAAUUAUUGAGUGUUAUGAUUGUAAAAAGACAGAGAUUUUCAUCAUAUAUUUAUCAUAUAUUUAGAGAAAGAUUUAAUGAAGAACAUUAAAAUGAUAAUUUUCUUUUGUUUCUUCUCUAAUCAUUAACCAAUUGUUGCUUGCAAAUUAUAUCUGUUAAUUACACUGAUAACAAUACACAGAUUUUUAUAUUGUAUUAGUAUAGUUUUAGCUUCAUGGAUUCAAAAUUAAUAAACUUUAUGAAAAGUUUGCAAAAAGGACAUUAAUAUGUUUCCUAGAUAUACUUUUAUAAUGUAAAAUUCAUUUUUGUGUUCUUUGUACAAUAUUUCACUGAAGUUAUGCAAUAAAUAGCUGAAAAUACAAAGGCUUGGCCAAAUAUAUGAAUUAAAUGCUAUGAAUAUAAGUUUUAAAAAUGUUAAUGAUAUUUACCAUUUGGAUACACGUGAUUAUAGCUAAAUGUAUUUGUAAAACCAUUCUCUAUAUAUUGGUUUCAAAUUUUCACACAAGGGUAGUAAUUUUGAGGGAGGAAGUAAGUCGAGUAAAUUGACCCCAGUACUCAACUGGUACUUAUUCUAUUAACCCUGAAAGGUUGUAAAGCAAAUUGACCUUGAAGGAAUUUGAAUUCAGAACAUAAAGAUGAAUGCAAAACAGCUUAGCAUUUUGCCCAGCAUGCUAAUGAUUCUGCCAACUCACCACUUUGUCCAUCUGCUUUAUAUAUAUUAAUAUAAUAGUACAUUUCAAUAUACCGUUUGUGUAAUGCUAGGGUAAGUCAUCAUAAUCAUUAUCAUCAUCAUAAUCAUUUAAUGUCUGUUUUCCAUGCUGGUAUGAGUUGGAUGGUUUGACAGGAGGUGGCCAGCUGAAGAGCUGCCCAGGCUUCAUGUCUGUUUUAGAAUGGUUUCUAUGGCUGGAUGCCCUUCCAAAUGCCAACCACUUUAGAGUGUACUGGAUGCUUUUACACAGCACUGGGUGAGUGCAAGAUUAAGAAUGCUCAGCUCAAGAGGGAUGCAGCGUACAUGCCUGUAUGCAAAGACAACCAUACUUUUUCUUUGCUUGACAUUUCUUCUCAAGCACAGCAAACUACCAAGAGUGUCAGUCCUCUGUGAGGCUCAAUAUCUAAAGAUCUUUUCUCACCACUUUGUCUCACAUCUUCCUGGGUUACCCUUUCCACAUAUUUCCUCCACAAUUAGAGAUUAGCACUUCUUGAUGCAACUCUCUUCAUUCACAUACAUUACAUGACCAAAUCAGUUCAGUCUUCUCUCUUGCACACUACAUCUGAUGCCUUGUAUACCCAGGUUUUUCUCAAAUCACUUGCACUCUGUUGUAUAUGGACACUGAUAUUACCCAUCCAGUAAAGCAUACUGGCUCCAUUUUUUUCAAGCCCUCACAUACCCUCAGUAGUCAUAGCCUAUGUCUUACUGCCAUGCAGCAUAAAUUUCUCAGUUGUAGCUUGAUAGAGAAGUGUGGAGGUAGUUACAGUGCUGGCAGAGGCUCCAGUAGUGACAUUGGUGUUAAUAACGGUGAAAAAGAUACCUAAAUAGAGAGAGAAAGAGAGAGAGAGAGGUGAGGAGAAAAGACAGUGAUGGAAAUAGAGAACAAGUGCUGGAGUAAGAGUAGGAGUUAAAGUAGCCAUACAAAAGAAAGUUGGUGAAAGUGAUAUGAAGAUUUAAAGACUUUGAAGAAGGGAAGAAGGGAGAGAAGAAAAGUAUCAAGCUGUAACAAAGUUUGUAACAUCACAAUGUCUUUAGUCAUUUCUUCUCUUAUACUCCUCAGUCUAUCACACUCACCAUUGCUGUUGCAAGUGCUUUAGAAGUAUAUUUUGAGUUGAAAGUAUUAUUUUGCUGCAAAUGUAGAUAAAAUACUUAGAUCUUCUGUAUACAUGUAUGUCAGUAUGUGUGUGUGUGUAUAUAUAUAUAUAUAUGUAUAUAUAUAUAUGUGUGUGUGUGUAUGUAUGUAUGUAUGUAUGUAUGUAUGUAUGUAUGUAUGUAUGUAUGUGUGUGUGUGUGUGUGUGUGUAUGCAUGUGCAUGCAUCUGUCUGUGUGUGCAUACAUCUGUGUGUGUGAGUCUGUGUGGAGGGUGCAUCUGUGUAUGAGUGUGUAUGUGUGUGGGUGCAUGCAUCUGUGUGUGUGUGUUUGUGUGCGUGUGUGUGUGUUUGUGUGCGUGUGUGUGUGUAUGUGUGUCAUGUAUGUAAAAACUGAAUGAGACUCAGCGAUACAAAUUAAGAUGCAGUUGUGUAAAAUAUAUUUGUAAAUAUCAUUAGGUAAUUGUUGCAAUUAUAAUAAUAUAAAUAAAUGAAUUAAAUACGGUAUAUAUCCUUCUAUACAUUCUUUUGCUAGUCAUUGGACUGUGGCCAUGCUGGAUCACUACUUUCAAGAUUAAGUUAGGCAUAAUUAUUUUUAAAUUUGGAACACGUUUUAUCAAUGUUUAUUUGUAGUGCAUCAGCAGCAUAACUGGUGUUAAGUAUCACAAACACACACACAUUCACACACCUAGAAUUAUAUAUGUGUGUGUGUAUGUAUGUGUGCAUGUAUGGUUAGAUAGAUAGAUAGAUAGAUAGAUAGAUAGAUAGAUAGAUAGAUAGAUAGAUAGAUAGAUAAAUAGAUAGAUUGUAUGUGUGCAUCAAAGGUGUGCAUAAUAUAUAUAUGUUUACAGUUUACACACACACACACACACACAUGCACACAUACACACACAAUAUCAUCAUGCAUAAGAAGGAAUGUAGCUUCCAGAAAUUCCAAAAUGCAUAAGAAGGAAUAUAGCUUCCAGAAAUUGUAUUUCAUAAGACUGCACAUUUAAUACUACCUAUAUGGACUGUUAUAUCAUCUAAAUAAUCAAAUGUUUCAAACAAGAUACAACUUCAAAAACAAUUGCAUACUUCAUGGCUCUUAAUAAAUUUCCAGUUAUCUUAUAAGUUUUCAAAAUAAUUGUGGGAUGUUCAUGGGUACUGCUAGCUUAUUCUUAUAAAAAUAAAAUGAAACAUUUUCCCUUUCCCCUUUUCCUAUAUAAAAAGUACUUUUGUGACAUCAGAAUUUAGUAGCCAGUCCAGAAUACAACAAAUACAUGGUUGAUUGAUAAUACGAGAUGUAAAUUUUAUAUGCGAAGGAAAUUGAUAAAACAAAAAAUAAAUAAACUCAGGAAAAACCAAACACUUUAGUAUGUAAAUUUAACGAUAUUGUACAUAGAGUUACACCCCAGUUUCAAUGCAAAAACUCACAUCAAAUUAUAAAAAACAUUAGAGAAAAUAUUAUGGUUAGUCUUUCUGGUUUUAUUUUUUUCCACAUUCAAGUCUACAGUAUAUUUAGAACAGUAGAUAAUUAACUGCCAGUGAUUUUUCUUAAAUCUGGAACAUAUUCUUAACAUUGAUUCUGUGGCUCAUCCUUUUAGUUUUCUUCCUAAAAUUUUCCCGUUGGCACUGAAAAUAAUUCCUAUAUUUGAAAAUAGCUGUAAAGCAUCAUUUCUACACCUAAUGUUUCUGAUUAUCUUUCAAUCAUUUCUGUUGUUUUUUAAACUAAAAUUUCUCUUAACUUUACUGUGUUACUGAAGAAGCCCUUCUGCUAUUGCUGACAUUAUGACCUAAAUCAUAGCAUUUAUCACUUUUUUAUUGUGUCUUGAUCAUGCAUUGUUUAUUUGUUUCUUUGAACUCUUCUCAGUUGAUCUAUUACAAGAGCAUCUUGAAAAUGUUAAGUAAAAGUUCUUACAACUAAAAUAAGCAAAUUAUUAUGAAAACAUUACUUCUGCAUGAGUGAAGAAAUAUAUUGAAUUGUGAUUUUACUGCAUUUCCUCUGAAUACUUCCAUCAGAAGAAUCAAAUCUUUUAUCAUUUCUAAGUACAAUUUAUUUUUAGUUUCUUGCUAGGUGUAUUUUGAUCAGUUUUGCAACAGUCUACUAUUCUGCAUAUUUCUCAGCAAAGUCAAUAAAUUAUCCAUCCCUUGUUUCUGACUUCACACUUGAUACUUACCAUCUGCUUUAAUCAUCAGUUAAAUUCUAUUUUCACCUAAGUCGCAUAUUACUUGUAAUAAAGUAAUUUAUUUAUUUCAAGGUUUAUAUGACUGUAAUACUACAAGUGAUAAAUUAUUUACAGAGAUUUUUUAACCUGGCAAAAAUAAAUGGAUAUUCACAUGAAAUUAUUCAAAAGUUAAAUGUUGGGCCAUUUCAGAAAUAACCAAGUUUAACAUUAUAUUUAUGAAUUUCUUUUGCAAGAUUCCUGAUGUGAAAUCAUGUGUUGAAACGGAUAUUAAUAUAUUUUGGAAUGGUCAUUUUGUUUUUUUUUUGUUGCCAAAUAAUCACAUGCACUAUAUGUUCAUUCUUCAUUUAUUUAUUAUUGUUUUUAUUUUAUGAGAAUGGACUAAACAGAAUAGGUGACAUGUGGGAUGGAUGAGUCACUGAAGAAGACACAGAUGUGUGAUGAAAAAUUUCCAGACAAUGGAUAUAAGAUAAAAUAAGAACAAUAAUAAAUGAGCAAGAACAAAUAUAUAGUGCAUGUGUUUAUUUGGCAAGACAAAAAAAUGACCAAGUUUAACAUUGCUUACUGUAAAACAUAUGAAUGGAGCUUUUUUCUAGUGUCAAUUGGAUAUAUAUAUUCAAUAAAACGAUUUCCAUUAUUCAUGAAAAUCUAAUUACACGAGCUAUUAUCUCAUUACACGAGCUCUUAUUUUAAAAUUGUACUUUCCAUCAAGAUGCUCUAUUACCCUAACCAGUCAUACAUUUACUGUUUGAUUAUAUGCAUGCAUACCAUACAUACAUACACACACAUACAUACAUACUCACAUACAUACAUACAUACAUACAUACAUACAUACAUACAUACAUACAUACAUACAUACAUACAUAUGAGUAGAAAAGAAAUAGGAAAUGAAGAAAGCUUCUAACAAUGCAGAAGGUUAUACUAAAACCUUUAUAAUUCAAGUGUGAAGGCCUAUCUUCAGAUGGAAGCAGUCCAAGAAAUGUAUUUACAUCAAUUUUGUUAUUUCAUUUUAAACUGCUUAGCAUUUGGAUUAACAGCAGUAGCAACUCCCCAACUGUUGGUUGUGAUGUAUUUUCAUGUGUUGGUGGUGGUGGUGGUGGGGGUGACAUAUGUUAUGAUAUUGGUCAUAAUUGCCAUAAUGUAUUCAUAGGAGCUACCAACUCAUCUCUGAUCAGCUAUUGCUUUCGGCGUUGAGACAGUGAAUUAAUAUAGCUUUCAUGAUAUGAAAAUUUCCUGUGUUCCUCCCUGAGACUAGUAUGGAAGUGUCUAUCUCUUUAGUGGUAUUGCCGCAUUUGUUUAAGUGUUUGUAGAAGGAAGAUACAUUGGUAGUGACAUGCUCCUUCAUUUGGACAUGGAGUGGUCUGCAUUUGGAACAUCAUAACUGGUAUACUACAUAUAUACCGUUGCACAUGUUUGUCUUGCAAAUAGGGCAGUUCACCAGUGUGCAGGGAUGUUGUUCUGUAUGUGACCACCUCAUUGAGAGGUGUCAUAUAGGCAGUAGGAUAGCUUUGUAUCCCUGUAGAUAGCUUUGUAAAUGGCAGAGGUGAUCCUCUCGUUAAAGUGGGGAACCUUCAAGAAGCAGGUCUUAGAGAGAUCCCUUUAGCCAAGUUUAUUUGGCUUGUGCUUGCAUUUGGAGUUAACAACAGAUGUCAGGUAUCCGUUGGUCUCAAGUACCUUUAAGAACUGAACAGCAUGUGUGUCCUGGCUGGUGUUGUCACUACAUCUCUUGUGUAUCUGGGCGAUCUUGUUAUGUAUGUAGCUUUUCUUAGCCCCAAAGGGAAGGGUUGAUUUGUAACAGAUGAAAAAUCCCAGCAAGCUGAUUUUCGUUAGGACAUUGUGUCAAUUUACCACUCAUCCUUGAUGUUUAAACAAAAAUCAAGCAAGGAGAUGGAACCAUUGCUGUUUGGAUGUUCAGUGGUGAAACUAAUGUGUUGGUUCAUCUUACUGAAAUUCUUUUGGCUCUAUCACAAGCAACACCACCACAACCCUAAUGCAUACCAUCACCAAGUACAAAGCUGCAACACCAUCAUCGACCCAAACUCCCUUACUGACACCAACCUGCAGCUCAACAACACCAAACCAUUCUCACAGAAUCGCUUCUGUCAAGAUUUAAAUUGAAAAUUUCUUAAAUUUGUGAGAGUUGGCAGUCAAUGGAAAAAUUGCUUAUCUGGAAAAUUAGCCAUUUUGUUCAAAAGGAAAAUAUCUUGAAUUUUAAAUCAGAAUUAAUUUCAUUUUGCCAGCACAAGCACCAGUUCAUUUUAUAAAUAUGAAAUGAGUGGAAAGUACAGCAAUUUCAAGGCAACAAAAAAUCAUUCUGUUGCUUGUUAUACUAUUAAUGCAGCAAUUUUAAAUAAGAUGAUGACAGAAGGGUUAUUGUGAGUGAAUAAAUGGAGGAAGAGUAUGAACAGAAAAACCUAUGAUUAAGGUGACAGAAUGGUAGAGGAAGUAGUAAUAGAAGAGAGACUGUAAUGGUAGCUACAUGCUUGCUAGUGUGAGAAAGUGAUUGAAUGAUGAAUGAUCUCAGAGAUUGGUCAUAGCAAGAGAGUAUGAUGGAUGUCAAUGGCUUCAUAGAGUAACGGCAGACAAGAAAGGAUGAUCAUAGGUCAUAUUAAAUACUGAUGUAAUGCUAUCCUGUUAUAGCUGCUUUGCUCACAAAGACAGUUUGAUUGAUGAAGAUUGCAGUAGACUAUGCACAGGUCCAAUGCAUCCUUUAUUAAAUGGGUGGAGUAGUACAGUGAAUAGCAAUAAGUAGAGUACUGGACAGAUCAAAUGACAAGUAUGAUGGUGUGGUUGAUAGGAGGAGAGUUCCACUAUUAUCUUUCAUUACACAGGCAACAUGGUAUAGAGAAUCGAAGAGUAUACAGAUGAGGGUAAAUAAAAAGAUGGGGCAAAAGAUGGAGGCUUAGCAGGGAUGAUGUAUUAGGUGAAGCUCUAAAUGUAGAAACAUAUACAUAUAUGUAUGUAUAUAUCUUUUAUCAUCUAAUUUUUACUUGCUUCAGUGAUUAGACUGCGGCCAUGCUGGGCAUUACCUCAAAGAAUUUCUAGCAAACUGAAUUGAUGCCAGUGUUUAUGUUUUGUUAAGCCUGGUACUCAUUUUAUUGGUUGCUUUUGCAACCAAUCUAAGUUACGUGGAUGUAAACACACCAACACUGGCUGUCAAGCAGUGUGGACACACACACGCAUAGGCUUUGGUUGGCCUGAGACUAUAGUAGAAGACACUUGCCCAAGGUGCCAUGCAAUGGGACUGAACCCAGAAGCAUGUGAUUGGGAAGCAGGCUUCUUACUACAUAGCUAUAACUGUGCCUACACUGACAGACAGACAGACAGACACACGCACACACACACAAAUGCACAUAUAUAUUUAUACAUAAUUAGGAUAAAGUCAUUAUUUAAUGAUUUAUUAGUGGCCAGCAUACUAACAUGACUAUAAUGGUUAUAUAUAUAUAUAUGUAUGUGUGUGUGUGUGUAUGACAGAUAGUACCAUCAAAGUUGUGAGAAAUCAAUAAAACAAUUAAGCAUAAGAAAGUACUUUUAGAGUAAUCUGCAUUUAUUUAUUCAAUAUUGAACCUAAGUAAGUCAUGACUCAGAGUUUCUUGUUCUUAAUCUUCAGUUGCCCGAGGUCUAAGCAUGAAAAAUACUGAUUAGCACUUACAUUCGGUUUUGAAUUAAAUUAUAUAUUGUGUCUAAUUUGCUAUCCUUCUUUCUCUUUUGCAUAUAUUUGUUUAUCUAUAAUGAAUGUGCAUAGUUAUACUUGCAUCCAUAAUGUGCAUGUAUAUCACUUACUUGUUUCAGUCAUUGAACUACAGCUACAUUGGGGCACUACCUGGAAGGGUUUAGUCAAACAAUUCGACCCAUUUUGUUUUCCUUUUCAUGCCUAAGGCUUAUUCUGUUGGCCACUUCUGCUGAAUUACUGAGUUACAGGGAUCUAAACAAACAAAUACUGGUUCAUAAGCAUUGAGAGAAGUACAAAUUCAAACACAAAGAUGCAUUACGAACACACAUAUGACAGGCUACCAAAUUCACCCACAAAGCAUUGGUUGGCCCAGGGUUAUAGUAGAAGACAUUUGCCCAAGCUCCCUUAUGGGGGAACUGAUGUUGAAACCAUAUGGUUGAAAAGUGACAGUCUUAACCACACAGUCACGCUUGUGCCUGUAUAUAAUAUAUAUGCAUACGUUCCUAUGUACUUAUAUAUGUUAAUAUCAACUUUAAAUAAAUAUUAUAUAUGUUUCAACUAUGCAAAUUUUCACCUUAUUAAAUGUACAUUAUCAUACAAUACAAUAAAUAUCUUUUUAAGCACUAUCAAAUUACAAUGAAUAAACAAUAAUCUGGUUGCUCCAUAAAAUAAUAACUCUUCUGUAGAUACAUCAAGUGAAAGAGGAGAAACUGGCUCACCUACUGCUUUUAUUAUAUAUUUCUACCAUUAACCUGUUCCUCAAUAAAACACACUAUUCUAAAUUAGUAAUAUAGAGGUGCCUUUACUUGUGUGUGUGUGUGUGUGUGAGGGAGGUGUCUUUUAAAGUAUCAGAUACUUGAACUCAAAUAUACGCAUUUAAUAUUUGUAGGUUGAAUUUUCUUCAACUGCCAAUUUUGUGGUUAUGAUGAUUGUGUCACAUGCUGUGCUAUCUUGAUGCAAAUAAAUCAAUAUAGUUCAAUUAAGAUCCCUAUCUCUCUUAAUUGGGAAGCAGAAUGAAACUAACAUUUGCUUUACGGAUAGACCACAUCCAGUUUUAGAAGGAAAUUACUUCAGAAAAGGUAUAGCUUCACAACGCUUGGUUUGAUUUAAAAACUAACUAUAUUUGAUGUUAGGUUGUCUUUAAUAUUAAUCAAUAAAGAUUAAAAUAACAUUAGAAGGUCGGAUCCAUGAAAUCAGUUGUUUCCAUUUAGAGUCCUUAUUCUUUAAUGUAAACAAGUAUCUGGUAAAAUUUCUUUUGACAUUUUGCAGUUUAUUAUAACUAUUAACUGUACUUUUUUUGGUUUUUGUUGUUUUUUUUGUUAGAAGUCUAAAGCUUUUAGUUUCAAAAUGAAGUAAUUCUUUUAAAGAGUCAAAAAUUCAAUGUGAUAAAGGAAAAAAUCUCUAAAUAUACAAUUUUAAAUAACUUAAUUAAAUCAAUAAAGCAACAGCAACUGCUUUAGAACAGCUUAAUUUAGGCAAUGCUCUUACUCUCAAUGGAGGACAAAGUUUGUAUAGUUUAUAAGCUACAUAUAGUAGGAUGAUUAACUAUUCAUGGUGGGGUUAACAUAUAUGUUAAUUCAAAUAUUUCACUUGUCUUUCUUUAUAGUUUUGACACUAACACUAUAGAAAUUAAUGCAGAAAUUAAAAAGCAAAGCUAUUAAUUAUCAAAUGAAAUUAACACAUAGAGAUAUAAAUAACACAUUAUGAAAAUUCAAGGGCUUCAGAGGGAGGUGAUAACACACAGAUAAACUUGAAACUGUAUAGUUACUAUAUAAAAAAAAAAUUUACAAGAAAAUUUGUUUUUCAUCUUCAGUGAGUGUUUUAUUUUAUUGGUUUAGUAAUUCUAUUCUCACACUUUAUUAGAUAUCUAGAGUAUUGUGUAAAUAAUGUUUAAAAAGAAAAUUUCAACCUUCAAUUCAGAUAUGAUUAUUUUUAUUGAUAUAAAACUGAACUGAACAUAAAACUGAUUUAAAAUUAUCCUGGCCUAUAUUCUUCAUUUUCAAUCAUUACAUUUCUUCUUGCCAUUUGGAAGAUCUUAAGCAUAUUUUUCAAUUCAUUUUUUAAAAAAACUGUUAAUUACAUUGUUUCAGUUGUGUGCCAGGUCAUGAAUUGAACUUCAAAAUAAUCAUUAGAUAUUUUCAUGUAUAAUCUAUUUCAACAAUUGAAACUGAACAAAGAUUCAUUAGAAUCUGAACAAGUUAAAGAUUAUGAAAGCUUUUUUUUUAAAGCUUUUAUCGAAUGACUAAAGAAAUUUGACGUAUUUAAGCAUAUUUCAACUUUGAAUAUGUCCCAAAAGAUAUUUGGUCUUCAGACUAUAUGGCCUUUCAGAUAAUUAUUUCCCAAAUGUUUUAGUCUCAAAGGAAAAGAUGAGCACAUAGACUUCUUAGUAGCUCUUCAGAAUGGGUUAAUGUUGGUGGUUGAAGAAAGAUUACCAAAGCACAAGGUUUAGCAAUUAAUUAGCUAGUAGUCAGCAGGUUUGAGCCAACAUUUUAUAUCAUAUGGAAGUACAUUACUUUGAAGGAGAAACUACAGAAUGCCAUUGUUCUACUUUUAGAGGAAGUUACUUUAGUAGUAAAGUUUGAUUACAUUAUUAAAUCUGCCUUUCAUGGCUUUUAUCUAUAUUAAAUUCUCAACUUUCAUGUAAUAAUAAAUUUCUUCUUCUAGUUUGAUACUUUUACAACUAUCCUUGCCAUAGAAAAGGUAAUGAAAUAGUAUACUAAAAGUUGUGCUAUUUUGCUUUAUAUCUUAUUAUAUAUUAAAAAUAGCACAGAAUUCUAUUUUUAUAAAUUAUGCAUAACACCAUAGCUGUGUUACUGGAAGAUUCACUAUAUAAUACAGCACCUCUUAGUCUUUUGACCUUUGAUGAUGACAGUGUAGAUUUUGAUAAAACAGUUGUUAUACUGCAUAAGGAAAUAUUAAAUAUAAAUUAAAACAAUAUAUAUUUUAUGUGAUUCACAGGUUAUUGUUCAAUUCAUUAUAAAGUAACAUUUCCUGAAAGGAACCCUAUUUGUAGAAAACAAGUAUUUAUAUUGCUGUGUUACCUUAGUCCUUUUUAAUAUUUAAAUAUUCAAUACAAUUUUCAUAAGAAACAAUUUUAUUGUAUUCUGUAAAAAAAAAACUGAAAUAUUUGCUUUUUUGUUUUAAGUCUUGAAUUAUUCAAAUAAAUGUAAUUGGUCACUAGAUUUGCUUAAAAUCUUAAAUUAUGAAUUUUUGAAUUAUUUUUGCUUGUAUGACAGAAAAACAACAAAAUUCUUAUAGUGAAUUAUGUCUGCUUUAUUCCCACAUAUUCACUAGUUCAAAACUUACAUAAGUAAAUGUUGUUAUCUAUGGUAACAAAUUUAAAUAUAUUAAAUCUAGUAUAAAGGAAGUCCUAUAUGGGUUUUUUUAACCUGUUAGGAGUAGUAACUAAAUCUCUAUUAUGUUGUACCUACCUUAAAGCUGUUGAAGAUGGAACAUAUUGGGUAUUGUGGAAUGUAGUCCUAGAUAAACUGUACCUAUAAAAAGACUAAAGUUCUAUAACUGGAAGACCUUUAGUCAUACAUCUACCUAAUUAGGGUUGACCUGAGGUGAAACAGGACCUACACUUGUGCUAAAAUUUUAAACUAAUACUUCUAGCUGCUCUAGAUAUUUUUGAUCAGAAGUUUGCAUAAGAUUGUAUGUUUUAGUUUCAUAAAUUGGUGCCAGCACUAUUGCCUGAUGAUAUGUUUUGUAUAACAAAAAUGCAAGACGUAUCUAUUUCAUAUAUAGAUGUAAACAUUCAGAUAUCUUUAAAAGAUAGUUGAAAAGUUAAAGUAAAUUCAACAGGACUGAGAUAUCUGAGAUGACUAAGGACCAAGAUAUCUGAUACUUUGUUGUACUCAAGAAGACUUGUCCUACAUAUUAGAAGUGUUAAUGCUGCUCCCCUGGUGAAGCGAAUUGGACUGCUAGAGCCCUGGACUGGUGUCAUGUAAAAGCACUCAUGCCAGUGCCAUGUGAGUGUGCUCAUGCUGGUGCCAUGUUAAAAGCACCCAGCACACAUUGUAAAGUGGUUGGCAUUAGAAAGGGCUGUAGAAAUCAAACCGAAUUACACUGGAACCUGAUGCAGCUCUCUUGCUUGCCAGCAUGGAAAACGAACAUUAAAGGAGGAGGAGGAUGAUGAUGAUGAUGUUGUUGUUGUUGUUGUUGUUCAGGUUAUAUCAAAUUUGAGUUCUAUUAUUUUCAAAUCAUGGGAGACCCAUUCCUUGUUUCUUGGCACUGACUCAUUUUUUUUCUUUAAUGUUUUCAUAGGGUAUAACCAUGAUGUUUUUAUAUUUCUGAUUAUUCUGUUGUAGUCUUUGAUUUUGUUGAUGCAACUAAUUAUCAAUUGAUGAUUGAAACAAUUUUUCUACAUUAGAUUACCAAAUAUAGACAAUCAUACAUGAUUUGGGUAACCCUUCUAUGCACUAAUUAAGAGUUUUCUGUAGACAUAAUAUCAUGAUAGUUGUUUGAGGUAUACUAAUGAUUAAAAGCAAAUGUACAGCAAAUAAAUCAAUGAUCAAUAUUAAUUCUCCCUUUGGCCUUUUGACUCCAGUUUCUACAAACAUUUCUCUCUCCACAGUAUUUUAUAUAUUUAUUUAUAUAGUUUUUAUUAAUUUUCUGCAAAGUUGCUUGAACAUUAUCCAGUAAAUUAUUAUUGACUACAUAUCUCAUGUCUUGUAAUUGACUGAUGUAAUUUUUUUAAUGGUGCACCCAAUGAAACUUUUACAAAUGAAAGGGAUUGUCAAUGUAAAUCAAAGACUUCCCUAUAUAUUUAUGAAUUCCCAAGAAUAAGGUAUCAGUUAACUUUAAACUGUUGGUAUUUUCAAGAUUUCAAUUUAACUGGUUUUAUGUAUUAGUUUUAGUUUCUUUGUUUACCGAAAGACAUAUUUUUAAAUAGAUCUCAUAUAUCCAUGUUACAUUAAUUCUUAAAAUAUUUAAUUAAUUAUUAAAUUGCAAUUUACCAAAACAAUACUGUAUUAGUUUUAUAAAUUUAUUUGAGGUUCACAAUUAGGUUUACAAUCUGUAACUUCAUUAGUUUUCUUUUGAAUUGUAUUCAUAAAAUGGAGCAGUAAUUUCUAUAUCAUAUACCAAGCAAAUCUGGAUUGUCAUCUCAUUAUGAUUUCUUUACAAUACUUAAUUGCAGCCUUAAUUGCAAUACUUAAUUGUAAUACUGGCUAAUGAGAGAGUCUUUCAGGAGCUGCUGAAUCCAAUAGAAAGAGCAGCCAAUAUUCACUCAGCUCACACCAUACCAAAUUACAAAAAGCAGGACACUUUAUAUAAUGUGGUUCUGGAAAAAAACACAUGUUGUUCAUGAUUCAAAUGCCGUUGAUCAUAGGUCUACUCAAUUAGAACUAAGCCAGGAUUAACAACAAACUUUAAUAUACCUCUGUAAUUAUAGUCAAAAGCAAAGUUCGAUGCUUACAAAAUAUUUCUACAUAUUUUUCUGCUUAUAAAAGCAACCAUACUACAGCACGGUAUUACUACUGAAAACUAUUUAACAACAUUAUAUUCUGUAUGUGGUCCCUAUUUUUCUAUCUUUUGCAAUUUCUCAUUCUUUUUACAACCUAAUAUUUUAUUUUUUGCAUGAGCUUUCAUAAAUGAGGAAGUUAUACACAAAAAACUGUAAUAGAUUAAAAAGAUUACAAUUAUUAAACUUAUCUGCAGAUUUUAGAUAAAAAUAGAUUUAAUAAGAUUCUUUCUAUACUUAUCAACCAACAGAACUAAGAAAUAAAUGUAAUGAAAUAUAUGGUCAGCUAGUUUAAUAUGUGCUGUUAUAAUAUGAUUUAAAUUUAAUCUAUGGAAAAUUUAUAAUAAGAUUGGGGAAUCUUACAGAUUCUUUUCGAAAUUACAUGUUGAAAGGAAGCUGGUUUAACUCUAUAAUUUAAAAAUACUUUGGCUUACAUAUCAGAAUGUUUAACAAUUCCUUUUUACCUUUUUGUCUACUGUCAUUUAUGUGCUUCUGGGUCUUACUUUUGACUCUUAUCAGUUAGCUCUGACCUUGUCCACAUUAUUGCUUUAUUGACUUUCGUGAUAUCAAACAUUUUGAGUGUACUUUUUUUUAGAAUUCAUCUGAUUCAUUAUUUCCAGACUAACUUUCAGUUUUUCAAUCUAUCCUUUUUAAUUAGACAUCUUGAGUAUGACAAUAGAUUUAGGGUUAUGGAUAAAUGGAUGACAUACCAUGGAUACUAUCAGAGAAACAUUUCUUUUUGUUUCUUGAUAAUGCAUUUAACAAUGGGAUUAUAGAUUUUAGUCAUUCCAGAAAAGUUACCUGUUAUUCACCAGUAUCCUUCAACAACUUAUUUUUUUCUUUUCUGUUCAGUAUUAUAUUAAUGUUAAAAGAUAUCAAUCCAGUGAAAAUAUGUUGGUUAUAACAUUUUGUUUUCUAUUUUAAUUGAAAGAGGAAAGUUGACACCUUCCUAGAUUGAUAAGAUUAAUGUAGUUGAAGACUGAAGAUAUGAUAAGAUUAAUGCAGUUGAAGAUUGAAGAUAAAAAUAGAAAUUUCUAUGACUAAUGAUUGAUUGUCUUGAUUUACUACGUCUUAUAAUAGCUACUAAUCUUCAUAAAUUUCUGAUCUAGUGAACCUUAUUAAUGGUUUAUUAAGCUCUGAAGAAACUUUCCAUCUAGGAAACUUUCCAUGAUUGAUUGUAAAAUAUUUAUGAAUUUAAAGGAAAAAAUAAUAAUGGAAAAAGUUUUACAAAAAAAUAAAAAAAACAAAUUAAAAACUUUAUAUUUCAGUCCCAAAGGCCUAUCUUCAGAAAUAAAAAGUAGUAUAGAUAUGUGUAUUUACAUAGAUUUUGUUAUUUUAAAUUGCUUGGCAUUUCGGGUUAGCUGUAACAGCAACUCUCCAACUGUUGGUGCAAGCAAUUUAAAACUGUUGGUUGUGAUCAUUGUAGUGUAUUUUCAUAAGGUGGUGGUGGUGGUGGCAUAUGUUCUGAAGAUAGACCUUUGCACCCAAAAUACAAAGGAUUUUUGUUUUUGUUUUCUAUUUUGUAAAACUUUCUGCAUUGUUAGAAACUUUCUUUAUUUCUCCUUCCCUUCAUUUCCUAUUUCUGUACUAACAAUGUUUCAAGUGAACUACAAUACUCCUAUGAAUGAUUUUAAACAUUAUUCUGGUUACAAAUUCAGCUGGUAUGAUAAAUGCAGAGCUACAUCUAAUUAUAUUGUAAACGAUAGAAAUAACUGUGAUAAUGAUCAAGUUUUCAUGACUAAGAUUUUAAGCACAACCAGAAGAUCUAAAUGCAGUGUGUUGUAUGUCAUCAUGAACCUGAAAAUGCAGUGUGUCAACAUGAAUCUGAAAAUGAUUACAUGUACUUGGUUUAUUUAUAAUUUAAGGAACUGUGGCUAGAAUAUUGGUUCACGACUACUUUUAAAUUAUAAAGUUAUUUUCUCUUUCUUCUGUGACUGAAACUUACUUCAUGAUAAUAAUAGCUAAUUUACUGCUUCUCAUUAAAAUAAUUGCCUCCCCAUUCUAUGUAUAUUACAGAUGCCUUCAGUUCUUUUCUAUGUUACUGAAAAUUCUUCUUUACUUUUUGCAAGAAAUAGAUUUAUUUAAUUAUUUCAAAGUUGUUAUUAUUGAAUGUUUAUUAGUUAUCAUUUAUAUCUGUCAACAGGAAAAGAAACUUUAAUCAUAUUUUUAAAAAUCAUAAUAUUCUUUAUUUACAUAUAGAAAUUAAAUAAAAAUAGUAAAAUAUUCAUUCAUAUACAUCACAUGCCCAUACCAAUAUAGUCUUCUCUCAUGCACACUACAUGUGGUGCCUCUUAUACCCAAUUUUUCUCUUAAAUCAUUUACACUCUGUAAUACAUGCACACUGACAUUACCCAUCCAGUGGAAUCAUAUCUAAUGUGUUUAUUCUGUUAAGUUCGAAGUCUUACACUGCUUCUGAGAAAGGCAAAUACUUAAAUCAGUUUUCUUUUGUCCUAUUUUAAAAUACUUUGAAAGGAGUAGUAUUCCAUUUAAGACACUUGUCUUAAUCUAAGCAAUUUGUACUUAUUCAAAAUAAACAAGAAUCAUUUCAUCAAAUGUACAGCAUGCAUUAUUUUUAUUACUAAUUCAGGUGAAAAGUAUCUAAAUGUAAAAGUGAAUUUUCGCACUAAGCUUAAAUUACAAAAUUGUAGGUCCAUAUAACCCAUUUUAGCAUGGGAAAUAGAAGUAAACUAUGAUAAAAGAAAAUAUACUAGUUAGUGUUAUGCACUACUGUUAAAUUUUUGUCUAUUUUGCUUACUUUUCUUUUUACUUUUUAGUGAAAUGGAUAAAAUGAUUAGCAAAGAAGAAAAAUCAAUAUGUAAUCAAAUCAAUGAACACUUUUCAUCAUCCUAAUUUCUUUAUAUUAGUUUGUUAGGGAAAGAUUAUUUCUCAAAUUGUAAUUUCAUUACUUUAUAGAUGCAGCUUGCAUUGGUGUCUCAUACGAAACUUCAUCUUAGAAAUUCAAUCAUUCUUUACGGGUAGUGCAUAUAAAGUAGUGCCUUUUAUGAAAUUUCUUUUUCACAAUCUCAGCAUUUCUUGCCUUUAUUCAUCCUUGCUUCUUUGUCUUUUCUACAUGUGUGGCUGAGAUAUUGCUAUCUGUGGUUCCAAUACAUUUUGUCUACAGAAACUCUCAUUACAUUGGUAUUCCUAGCUGACAGUUUAGCAUUGUUGUUAUUGUUGCUUAGCCUCAGAUGAAAUGUUAAUCUAAUUUACAACUAUUAGAUGUACGUAGUUGGUCUGCCUAUUUCAACAAGUGUGACAAGAAAAUCAUGCUAUGUUUUAGAAAUUAGCAUAGCUACUAUUCCAGCCACACAGAAUACAAGUGUAUUUGUUAAAAGUAUGAAUCUAGUUUACAGCUUCAUUUCAGUAUCACUGACAACUACUCAUUAAAACCGUUCAUUCAUUACAUAGCAAAUUCUUUCUCAGAACCAGAAAUUUCUUAAGCCUUAAGUUGCUAACUUGCUAUAUCAUGUAGCAUUUUACCUAAAAUAUACCUACAAAUGUACCCCAAAUUUGGAGACACAUCAAACACUUUCUACGUAUUACCCAAGAUAGAAACAUUCAUACAUAGUACCCAAGAUAGAAACAUACACUGAAGGUAGCGAGCUGGCAGAAACAUUAGCACACCGGGCAAAAUGCUUAGUGGUAUUUCGUCUGUCAUUACAUUCUGAGUUCAUGCCGAGGUUGACUUUGCCUUUCGUCCUUUCGGGGUCGAUAACUUAAGUACCAGUUACGCACUGGGGUCGAUAUAAUCGACUUAAUCGCUUUGUCUGUCCUUGUUUGUCCCCUCUGUGUUUAGCCCCUUGUGGGCAAUAAAGAAAUAAGAAACAUUCAUCUGACUUCCAAGAUUCCAUAGUCAUUACCAGCCCUAACAAUACACCAUUACUUGCUGUUUAUCAAGCUAAAUACCAUCUCAUUUUCUUUACAACUAUUUCAGCUUCCUUUCAUAUUUUAAACAUUUUAUCCUAAAUUAUUUCAAAUACUUGUUUUAAGAAGGAAUUCUGUCACAUCUUGCCUUUUCUUUUUUUUAUAUCAAAAUACCGAGAUGAUUAAAACCCUAUUUGAGAAGCACUAAUGUCACUUAUUUAUCUUGACACUCUGUUUACAAUGAUCUGAAAUAACUAUAGGCAACGUCGUUAAUCUUCAUAUUAACAAAUAUAAAAACAUCACUUCAGCUGAGGAGUUUAUAACUGAUAAAUGCUAUACAACUGCAUAGACUUGAUGCCAAUUAUCAAAUUUGACAUAUAAAUGAAUGAACUGUUUUAAUGCAAAUAUGCUUUCCAUUUCGCAAUAUUAGCAAGAUAAAUGGAAGAAUUUAAGUAGUGCUUAGUGGGCAUUGAAAAAUCUACAAGUGAAUGAUUGGUGCAUAAAAUCAUUUCCAGUUCAUAUUUCAGGAACAUGGUGUAUUGUUAGGGCUGAUAAUAAGUUCAGUUACAAAAUGAAUAUACAAAUGUACAGGUUUUUGUUUUCAACACUAUUCCCAGGAUAAUAUUCUCUAAAGCCAUAAUGCCAUCAUAAAAAUUGCUUUAUCAUCAUCAUUAUCAUUUAACGUCCAUUUUCCAUGCUAGCAUGGGUUGGAUGGUUUGACCGGGGUCUGGGAAAUCCAGGAGGCUGCACCAGGCUCCAGUUUGAUCUGGCAGUGUUUCUACAGCUAGAUGCCCUUCCUAACGCCAACCACUCCAUGAGUGUAGUGGGUGCUUUUUAUGUGCCACCGGCAUAGGUGCCAGGGGAGGCUGGCAGUGUCCACAAUCGGUUGGUGCUUUUUACAUGCCACCAGCAGAGAAGCCAGUCAAGGCAGUGCUGGCAUUGGUCAUGUUCGGAUGGUGCUUUUUACGUGCCACCAGCACAGACGUGCCACAUUUACUAUUUUUCUUGUAUGGGUUGUAUGGGCCAGCAAUACUAUAGCAAAUUAUCUGUGAAGUUCAGUGUCCUGAGGUCUAAACUCAUCAUUUCUUUCUGUUUUUCUCAUGCAGCAUGUCACCAGUACUCAUCAUUCAUCUACAUCACAUCUACAUACCAGUGUGACAGUCUUCUGCAUUCAUUUGCUGAUACUGUUAAUACCUAGUUACCCUCAUAGGUCAUUUGUAUUCUGCUUGAUAUAUAAAUUGACAUUAUACAUUCAAUGACCAGCUUUUAUGUAGUUACUUGAAAUCUUCCAUAUUCAAUAUUCUGUCUCAUGACCAUAUGCAAUCACACUUAUUUCACAUCAUUGAUAUCGUUUAUGGUUUGCUCUCAGUAAAACCACUUGUUGCUAACUGAAACAGUAUCAUUAUAAAUUAAGUCUAAAAUGGAUAUAUGUUUGGGAUUUUUGUAAUCCAACAUCUGGUAGAAAAACUGAAGAAGCAGUUUCUAUAUGAAUAUAAUCCAGCAGGUAUUUGUUAGUUUGAAAGUUGUAAUAUUGUUUGCAGUAGUGAACCAUACCACUUGUGGAAUCCAUUUACUGCUAGUUGCAUUUUGACUAACACUAAAAGCUAAGUAACUUAGUCAUGGAUACACAUGAAUCUAUGUAUAUGGCACACUUGAAUGAACUGUGAAGCCUGUGGUGAUGGUGUUGGGAGGAAUGACUACAAUCAAGUUGAGAAAAUAGUUGCUAUAACUGAUAUAUGGAGACAGUACAUUUCUAUGGGAUAUAAUUUUAAUUGAAUGCAAUCUUACUAAAGAAAACUAUACUGAAGGUUGGUGCAGGAUGGUGGUGGAGUGUGCUUAUGGUUGGGGUGGUAAGAAGCUUGCUUCCCAACAACAUGGUUCUGGGUUCAGUCCCACUGCAUGAUAUCUUGGCAAGUGUCUUCUAUUACAGCCUUGGGCCGACCAAAGCUUUGUAAGUGGAUUUGAUAGAUGGAAACUGAAAGAAGCCCAUCGUGUAUAUAUGUAUAUAUUUAUGUGUAUGUCUUUGCAUCUAUGUUCGUCCCUCCCACCAUCGCUUGAAAAACGAUGUUGGUGUGUUUACAUCUCCAUAACUUAGUGAUUUGGCAGAAGAGCCUGAUAGAAUAAGUACCAGGUUUACAAAGAAUAAGUCCUGGGGUCGAUUUCUUUGACUAAAAGGUGGUGCUCUAGCAUGACCCCAGUCAAAUAACUGAAACAUAAAAGAAUACUGGUACUUUAAAAUGUUGAGGCUGAUAAAUGAAUUCACUAGGACCCAUUUCCAACAUUUCAUGCUGGAAAUGGAAGACAGAUAUUAAAAUGAUUAUUCUAAUGUUAAUAGCAUCUCUGUUUAUUUAUUUUACUCUUUAUUAUGAAAUUGAAAUAUAAACAAUGAAUAUUAGUUUAAUUGCAAAUAUACAAGCCUGCAAAAUAUUCGUUGCUAAAAUUAAGAAUCUAAGACUAUACAUAAUGUACCAUAAUUAGUCAGUAACAUUUUCUUUAGGUCUAUCAAAGUAAAUUAUCUUCUAUUAGCUUUCAUGACAAAAAUCUGAAGUGGUCCUACACUGAGUCAACGUGCUUCAGUAUGACUUAAAGCAAUAAGUGAAAGUGACAUGACCUAUUAUGUUAAGGGAUGUUUUCUAAACAUAGUAUAUGAUAUUCUAUGUAAAAUAGCUAAUCUUAAAUGAAAGAAACCAUCAGUCAUCAUUUUGUGUCCACUUUCUAUGUUGGCAUGAGUUGAUGGUUUGUCACAGUGUGCUUCAUUUCAUAGUGGGAGCUAUUAGCUCCUGUAGAUUGAUGCUCUUCAGGAUGUCCUUCCAAUUGCCAACACUUUACAGAAAUAAUGAGUCUAUGUUCUCAUAAUAUUAACACUUGAGAGCUUAUAUACACUGACAUGAUGUACUCUUGCAACUACCAUUCUAGAUUUUUUCCUUAAAUGUUUUCUUUGUACUCCCCCUGCAUCUAAAGUCAGUUAAAUUUAUAUAUAAUCCCAUACCAGUCACCAGCUCUGAAAUAUGUGGCACAUUGCUAGUCUUUUGAACAACUAAGUAUGGACCACGUAUUUGCUAUUAUGUACUCAUUGAAGAAGCCUUAGUUUUCCCAAUUUUCAAAAACUCCGGUGACUUUUUCCUCAUUCCAUAAACCAAUUAAUCUUAUGAUCAUAAAAAGCAAGUUGUCUGAAUUCACCAUUUAUAUGCAUAUCAUUAACCACUUGCAUAAAGUCAAUCUCCUGUAGUUUUACUUUUGGACUUCUUGGUUCACUGUUAAUAUAUUCAGUUAUGUACUAGACAGCAGCUUUAAGAUGUUAUUUUCUGAGACAUCUUCAAAGUACUUGACAUGACAUUAAGGAUUGCUUCUUAAGCUAAUGAGUUGUGACAUAUCUGCUUAAGUCACUUCUGUUAUCAGUUUUUAAUUGGAAGAAUUCUGAAAGUAUCUCACUACACUCAGUCCUUUCACAUUCAUGAAAUCAAUGCUGGCAUACCCUAGGGAUUUGUUCAAGGACCUAUAUUUUUCCUAUUGUUUAACAAUAUUUUGGCUGAUAAAGUAAUAAGAUCUUUUUAUUGACAUGUUUACUGAAGAAACUUUACAACCUCGUUUCUUAGAGUGGCACCAUACAUUUGAAACUUGCAGCAGAUCUUUUCAGUGACCUAACUGGAAUGAUGCAAUGAUCAAACAAAUGAUGUUGCCAUUAAUGCUUUGAAGACCACCCUAUUAUCUUUCCAUUGCCAUCAUGAAAUUUCUGACUUUGAUGGAUUUCAAUGGAUACAUCUGCUUUGAAAGAGUCUUUUUAGGUCUUAAAUGCAUACAUGACUUGACAGUGGACUCUUAUAUUACGUCUGUUCUAGAACAGUGGUUAGAAUAGGGACUUUAUUCAAACAGCCAAAAAAGUUAUUAAACCUGAUGCUGUAUGUUAUCUCUGAAGGAACUAGAUUUUUCCAAAAAUAGAAUAGUUUCACACAUUUCGGUACGUUCCUCUGAGCAUGUACUGACAACUUCUAAUAGAGUACAGAAUGAAACUUCAUAGUCUAGUCAGUGAUGAACUCUUUUUCAUCAUUCCAACUGCACAGAAUGUUUCAUGUCUGACCAUUUUUACUAUUACUUCCAUUUUCCACUUUUGAUUUCAGAAAAUUUCUCAUCAGAGCUCAGUUUGCCAAAUUUAGUGAUUUGCAUCUUAGCUUCCUGGACAUCUCAUGAACACACUGCCAGUUUCAUGCACAAAGCAUUUUUACCACAAAAGAGCUGAAUUAUAGAAUAAAAUGUCCCCCUAUAGUUUGUUGGUCAUUUUAAAUUCAGUUAACAACUACCUUGCUUAAUGUUGAUAAUUUUCUUCAUUUUAAUAUUUUUAUGAUUUCUUUCAUUACUUUCUCAUUUCAUUUUAUUUUAUUGGCUCCUUUAUCUCAUUCAUCAUAGUUUAUUGUCAUCAGUUCUUUUAUCAAUUAUGUUAGCGUCACAUUUCAGUUGCUUUCUUAAAUAUGCAUACAUCUGCAUUUAAAGAAGAGAGUUUUCAUGAUAUUAAUGUCACACCCUCCUUUAUCCUAGUUCUUUGCCUAGAAGUGAUCUAUGGGCCCUACUUGGUGAGAUCUUGAGUUAAGAAAAAGAAGAGUGGCAGAAAAUUUUGUAGGCACUGCUCAGUUUUGCAGCUAGGUUUCUAAGUGAUGUAGUGAUGGAGUAAUUAUGUAACAGUCUAGAAAAUGAAAGAAAAUGUGUGUGAUGUUAUCUGUGUAAGAGACUAUUUUGUUGAGGUGAAGGGCAGUAAUUUAAAUAGAGGUUAAACAGUGUGAGGGAUGUCAGAUUGUCAUGGUACUAUAUUUGGAAUAUUGCAAAUCAAGUACAGUAGAACAUACAUGAUAAUGAACAAACAAUUCUACAUUCUAUUCAUUGAUAUAAAACGUCUUGGAUGACAAAUGGUGUCACAAGUAAUGAAUACACAAGCUGGCAACAAUGGUUGGUGACAAAUUGGAAGUAUCAGCUGGAAAGUGUGAGUUGCUGUCUAGCUUUUGAUCAGUGCACAUCCCUGCUCAAACUUGCCAUAACUUCUCUGGAAUUUCCUAUGGGAAAAAUAGUUUUGCUAUACAGACAUUUUGGGUGACAGGCUAUAGUGGACUGACAGGCUGAAAUGUUAUUUGUUCAAAAAGAGCAUGUAUUUGAUUGAUUUACAAGAAAUAACAACCAAAUUCCUAUUGAUCUUGCCCUCACUCAUAUGAAUACACUAGAUAAUUGAGUUAUAGAUAUAAUUUCUUAGAAAAAGUAGACAAGUUUGUCACAGCUGCAAUCCAAGCUGAAAAUACAUAUUAAUAGGGAAAUUUGGAAACCUAGAAACUCAUAAAAUGAGAUAUAAAAUGUAUGUAAUAUUUGUAUCAAACUAAAAAGAACACGUAAUAAUCAUAUAUCAAGAUAUAUAAUGUAACCAGCCAAGUUAAACUAUUCAGUAUGAAAGAACACAAUUGCUAUUUAAGAUGUUAUUGCAGGAGUAAUGUGACUUUUAUAAAGAAUUAACCUAAUUUUUUCAUCUACACUAUAUUUCAGUCUCUCUUUUCUCUCGUAAUCUUCAGAUAAUGUAUUCCUUCAAGCUCUUACCAUUAUUAUUGUUAACCAUAAUUUAUUUUAGUUUGACUGAUUAAUUAAAUAUAUUCAUCCUUCAAUAAUUUACUGCCACUGAUAAUUGUUUAGCUCUACUUAAAAUGUAGAUAUUGUAAUUAUAACUAAAGGAUAUUUUAUGGCCAAAUAUUUAUGUCAAUACCUACUUAGAUAUGACUGUGAUAUAAGUAAUCAUAAGAAACGAUUAAGCUUAUAGCGGUGGCCAAAAAUAUUUUGUAACUUUAAGCAAAUUUUUUUUAAAUAUAUUCCAUGCUAAAAAUGAAAUAUUAUAUUAAGAAAAAAGUCUGGAAACAAUUGAAAAGCAAUUUAAUUGGAAAUAAUAAAAAUGUUCAGCAUUACAGUCAAACAUGCUUAGCUUCAGUGGCAAUCUCUAACACCAACAACAUUAAUGUACUUUUAUAUUGAUGGUUAGUGCUACCAGUUUGAAGACAUAACUUACAAUCAUGGAGUCUUCUAUCUUAAGUCAAUUAGCUUGUUUCAUAAACUAAUAAGAGAAAUGGCAGUGAUUACGUUAUAAUCUACACAUUAAAUUAAUCUCAAAAAAACAAAUCUUUUUUUCAUUUACAUACCAGAAAAGAAAUAAUAUCAAUUAUGUGUUAGAAUAAUCAAGAUUCUAAACUGUAUAGGUCAACUGUUCAUUUCAUUGUAAAACCACUUCCAGCAGCUUUGUUUCCUGGGCACCAAGCGUGUUCUAAUUAUAUUUGCCAUUGAUACUAUUUUAACCAAUAAUUAAGACAUGUAAAGAGCUGCUAAAUUGUGUUCUAAUCAAUAUGGGAAAAACAUCUUUCUUUCUUUUGAAAAUCCAAAUAAAUAGAUAAAGCAAAAGUAAACAAUGCCAUUAGUAUUUUUCUCAAUCUUUUCUAUUAUUGAUCAAUUUUGUAUCUGUAAUUGUAUUUUAUUAUUGAAUUAUAAAAGAAAAUUGUAAUAAUGAAAGUUAAGAUGAUGAUGGUGAUGAUCAUGAUAAAAAUAUUAAUAAGGAUAAUAUUAUUUGCAACAAUGAAAGUACCCCAAUCCAUUAGUUAGAAUUUUACUGUUUUUCUCAGUCUAUUUAUAAAAUAAUAAAAAAAAUUGUUUGAACUUGUAUAGUUAAUAUUUGUGCCAACCAAAUCAAAGUAACAGAUCUAAGGAAUUCACAGUGAUCAAAAAAUGCAGAACAGCUUCCGAUGUGUGGCCAUCUUCCUUUAUAGACUCUUUAAGCUAUUGUAACUUUUUACCUUUAUUUUUUUACUGUAAUGCUUUUAUGAAUAAUUUUUAAUGACACUUCACAUAUAUUUUUCUGUAUUUCUAUAUUCAUCUCAUUGUAACUUUGUCACAAACAGUUUACAGAAAGAAAAUGAAAUAAGAAAAAUACAAAAUUAUUAAUAAUUUUUUAAUAAGUUAGAAAUCUGCUAAAUUAUAUUUCAAAACUUAUACAUCAAUGAAUGCAUCAAAUAACUUGUGUUUAGGUAUGUUAACAAAAUUCAAGUUAUAGGAUGUUAUUUAUGACUGUUAUAGCAAGUCAUGAGUUGCUUUCUGAUGUCUUUUUCAUCGCUUACUGGUUUUAGGUGAUGUAAUAUGACCUAAGAGUAAAAAGAAGUUUCCCUUGCAAUCUAUCAUAAUAUUCUUAGAGAUUUAAUUUCAUGUAGAAUUCAUCAUCAUCAUCAUCAUUUAUCAUCAUUGUUUAACGUCCUCUUUCCAUGCUAGCAUGGGUUUGACGGUUUGACCGGGGUCUGGGAAGAUAGGAGGCUGCAUCAGGCUCCAGUCUGAUCUGGCAGUGUUUCUACAGCUGGAUGCCCUUCCUAACGCCAACCACUCUAUGAUUGUAGUGGGUGCUUUUUACAUUUAAACACAUAUUUGAACUCUUUGUCAGGAGUUGCAAUAAAUGACCCAAGAUAUUUUGUUCACUCUGUCAAUUGUUAGUUGUUACCUUCAAUAUUUAUUUAAUAAUAUAAAUUAAAUAUCAACAACUAAAUUAUCAUUAAAGUAUCAUUGUCUAAAAUCUAAUUUUCAAGAAAUUUAUCAAUAUAUGGUUUAGGAAAAAAAUUUAAUUCCCAUAGUAAUAGAAGUGACAAAAAAGUCAUAGGCUAAGCUAUUAUGCUAAUUUAUAACAAUUAAACUUUGAAUAAAUUGAUUUUUUCUUGUUUGCUGUUUAAAUCAUAAUUAGAUAAUACUGAACAUAUCACACUUUUAGCAUUCUAACUCAAUAAAGUAGAUGCUGUUAUUCUUACCAUUCAUAGUUAUACAUUCAUAGUUAUACCAUUCAUAGUUAUACAUAAAAGGAAUCAGAUGUGGUAAAUAAAAGAAAAAACAGCACUGGUCAGGGAUAUGAUACAUAUGGAGAAUAUCAGUUUAAAAAAUGUCAAACCUUCUAAGUAGAUAGAAUCUGUGGAAAAGGGAAACUGAGAAAAAUGUGGUGGAUAUGGCUCUAAAAAGGCAGACUCAUGAGGUUGAUGGCUACCUGGACAGAAAGCUGAAUUUGAGAUGUUCAACACAGGCAACAUGAAAAUUGGCAUCAAAUUGUAUUACUAUUAAGGCUCUCUGCCAUAGGCAUCUUCUUACAAUGUACCAAUGUUUUCAUUACUCUCUUGUUUGUCACUCACUUUUUAUCACUAUCUCCUAACUUCUUUCAAUAUACUGUCUCUUUCUAUCACCUUUUUCUUAGCUUCUGAAGUCUCUCUGACCACAUCAGCAAUGCAUGACUGUGCUAGUGACAUGUUAGAAAAUGACCUUCUCUAUACACUAAUUUGUGUAAAAGAGAAGAACAAAUGAACAGAGGUAAUCCAGUAGAGAGAGGACACUCUUUUGUGUUGUUUGGAAUGAGACAACCUCUCUGUUUCCAGUGAAUGCAUGGAGACAUCAUGGGGUAAAGACGAUUCUAUAUCAUUCUUGGAAUAAGAGAAUCUCCAUAGUGCUGGUGUCAUGACUGAAAUUUAUCCUGUAUGCUCUGUGAACUAAUUAAUGUUUGGAAAAGCAGAUAGCUGAAGAAACAAAACCACAAAUGAAAUAUAUGAACAAUGUAUGGUUUCCUGAUCUAUCCAGGAUUGUGAUAAUUAAAUAAGAACUUAUUUUGGAUCAUGACGUCACAUUCAACUCAUGCCAGCAUGGAAAAUGGAUGUAAAAUGAAGAGCUUAGAACUAUUUUGGUAUACUUAAUGUGAAAUAUUUUCAUCAUCACCGUUAUUUUAAAAUAUUAUUUUCUACUUUUUCAUAUGGACAUAGAUUAAGAAAAAAACAUCCAGUAUAUAUUUUUAAAUUACCUGGAACUUGUAUCAUUCUAAUAUUUUGUGUGUUUUGUAAAUAACUUCAUAUUUAAACGUUUAAUAAACUGAAAUUGCCUCAUUUCUUACUUGACCUGUCUCCUUUCUAUAAUCUUCACCAUUAUCUCAAAGUUUAUUUUCAUUCGGUAGAUAUAUUUAUACCAGUGUUGUAUAUUAACCAAUACUUUUGAUAACUGAUUUCUCCAUUCAUUUAAGAUAUCAAAUAAGUUUUACUUAGUUUUUUGUUGCUUUUAUUGUUUGUUUUUGUUUUGUCUUUUGUUUUCAUUUCUCUCUGAUAUAGUUAUUACAUGCUUGGUACUUCUUCUCUGCUGUUUGUAAACAAAGAAUUGUUUUAUCACGGAAACUUCCCACCCUACCAUCUUGAAAACAAAAGAGUACAGUCCUUUAUACACAGACAUACCUACAAAGGACUGGGUGUUCAUGGAAUAUCUUUGAUCAUUGCUUGGCUCACUCAGGGCCAACUUGAGGAUAAACAACAACUCCUGUUCACUGAAUAUAUUGGUUGUUCUUUUUAUGCUUGCAGCUCCUUUACAUGUUCUAAAUAACACUUAGUGUCAAUUCAUUCUUAUAUAUUGAUUUUAGAUCAAUGAAUAAAAUGUGGAGCUGCUUGUUCAUUACCAUAUAUUUUUCUUUCAACACUCCAGCCAUAAAAAAAAAGAAAAUUAUCCUAACUUUGUUCCAAGCAUCUCAGUUUUAACUGUGACAGCUUAGUCCUGAGUUUAUAUCAUUUGAAUUUUUUCUAAGCCAUUACAUUUUUAUUUUCAUCUAAAAUAUGACAUUUUUCUUCAAGUCUUUUUCCUUUCUUCCAAAUAUUAUUUGUUCUUUGCUUUGCAUGUUUUGCUUAUAUUUAGAACAAACAUUAAACACAUUUUCAAAAACAUUCAGACAUAAAUGACUUGAUGAAAUAAAGCUGACUACAUAUUAGCAACAAAAUAUUCUGCAUAUUUAUUCUAAAACUAUGGAUUAUGUUUUUCUAAAAAUUCAAUUUCUGAAAGAAUAAUAUCAUAAAUAUUGUAAUCAAGUAUCUAUAUAAUAUAUGCUAAGUAUUCAAUAACCAUUUGAAAAUAAACAUUUUGAAUUAUAAAUGAAGCAAAAGAAAAUAAUAUAAAAAAUUUACAUAUAUAUUGUAAUCACUUUUUAAAAGAACUUUCAAUAAGAAAAACAAAUUUCCGAUAUAUAGAUUAUUAAAAUUAUUAGAAAGCAAAUUGUACAUACUUCAACAAAAGUUAAGCACAUUUUCCUAUUACUUUCCUAAACUUUCUUGAGUUUGUUAAUAAUCAUUACAUUUAAAUUUAAUUAAUGUGAUAUUCACCUAUUGAUUUCAGUAGCUAUUUUCACAUCUUUCAGUCAUUUCUCUCGUCUAGUUUCAUUAAUUGAAAUCUAUCAAAUGAUUUUAGACAGAAUAGUAGAAUAAAUGUGAAUAAAUGUUUUCGAAUUAUAAAUAAUGAUUCAUUUCAAUUUGGCACAAAGCCUAUGAUUAAUUUUCUACUUUUAAUACAGUGGGAAUGCUGGUGAUAUAACUAACACUAAUACCUGGCUGUUGUAUAUUUUAUUGUCAUUGUCAUUUAAAUUUUGAUUAAACAGACCUAUGAUUUAAAGGCAGUUCAGAUAUGGCCAUCCAAUUUUAAGACUAUAUUAUCAAAAGUAUCUUCUCCAUUGGUAGGCAUUAAGGUGUAAUGUGUACAAAAUUCAGCUACUUUUUCUGAGGCGCUGAGUGUACACAGAAAUUUCUAUGGUUCCUUUAUAAGGUGGUCCCAAUUGUAUCUCACAAACCUUAGAUAUAGCACACACACACACGCACACACACAAACACAGACACACACAAAUAAGUGCAAGUACACAUGUAUGAUUGAGAAAUUCAUUUUCCAACCACCAUAUAGUUUUGGGUUUAGCCUCACUGCAUUGUACUUUGAACAAAUACCUUCUACUAUAGUCAUGAGCAAACUAUAUAUUCUUGUGUAUGGUUUUGCUAAAUGGAAACUGAAAGAAAUUCAUCAUGUGUGUGUGUGUGUGUUUAUUUGUUUACUUCUGAAAUCACAUGUAUAAAAGUCUGGUAAAUGGUGUUUUCAGUUUCUCCUGUCAAUAAAUCUUUUGGUCACUUUGUUUUUUGAAGUUUUGUAGAAUAAGAAAUCCCUCGCUUGAAAAUCAUUUAACAGUUUGCAUAAGAAAAGGGUAUCAAACUGUAAAAUAAUGCUUCAAAUAGCAUAUUUGUCCAAUCCAUGCAAGCACUGAAAAUCAGACAUAAAGCAAAUAAACAAAUUUAUAUAUUAUAAUUCAACUUCAUAUUUUCUCCUUACGUAGAGAUUUUCCUCCAUGAAAUGAUUUUAAUUAUAAAUCACAUACCUUAGUUAUGCCAUACAUGUAAUGAUUCAACAUAUUUCUUUAAUAUAAAGCAUUUGAGUUUUGUUUAUAGUUUGUAAUAACAAAAGACAAAUUCUCAGAAAAUUUUAUGAUACUGAAGUUCCUUAAUUAAUACUUUUUGUCCCUAAAGCUACUUGAUUAAGUUAAAGUAAAUUUAGCAAAUUAAAGGUUAUAUAACUUUACAAAGGAGCUUAUUUUAUUGGACUUAAUUGAUAAAGAUGUAGAUAGUAUUUACAGCAGAAUUAUCACAAAAUUUAUUGUUCUUCAGUUAUUUAUACAUUACAAUUCUUUUUUGUUUAAUCAGGGCAUUUAAACAUGAUGGAAUAUCUUAAAUUAGUUUAUUUUUUUCUUUAUUCAGUUAAUUCUUUUGAUGUUGGCUAAAAGAAGAAAAUAAUAAUACUUUAAUAGAGAGAUCCUGGUUGUAUUUUAAGGGUAAACAACUGAUAAUUGAACACAUUAAGCUGUCUUAAAUAAAUUACCUUUUGGCAUGAAAUCUGCUUUUUUUCUUUAAUAGGAAUUAAAAAAAGCAUGCAAUGAAAAUUUUAAAAAAUAGAUUAAAUAUCUGGAUCUUUACACUAGGGAAAAGUUCUAAAUUGAUAUCAAAUGAAUCAAAAUGAUUAUAUUCCUUAGAACUAACUCGUAGUUUUUUUUUCAGAAAUGUUGAUCAAAAUAUUCUUUGCUACUAACUUUAAGCAUGUUACAAAGAAAAAGAAAACAAAGUAGGAAUUUUGUUUUUGUUUUUUUUUGCUUGAUGCACAUUCAUAAACAUAUAUACAUCCAUGUUUAUGUAUACAGUAUGUGAGUUUAUAUACAGCGUUUCCAGCCUGAUGGCAUAUUAUGAACAGCUAGAAAUUUUUGUAAAAGGUUUUAAUCAUUAAUCUCCCUGUGUUCGUUUCUUGAAAUUUAUCCUUUAUCUCAUUGUUUGCUUUAAAUUGUUGAACAAGACUUUGAAAGAAUACCCACAUCCACAUACUCUUAUGUCCAAUGACAACAUAAAUAUUUGGAUGUAAUGUGUCUAUUUCAAGAUGGAAAAAUUGUAUCUGAAUUCUUAGAAUAUACACGAAUGGUACAUGGAACAUUGUAGGAUAGUAGAAAAAAUUUCUUUGUUAACUAAUCUAUAUUGUAUGGAUGAGGAAAUAAAUAAUUUUAGCAUAUUUUCCUUCACUGAAGUUUUUUAGAAUAAGCUCUCAUUAUCAUUUAACACUGAUCUUCCAUGCUGGCAACAGAUGGACAGUUUGACAUGAUCCAAUUAGCUGGGGGACUGUAUUGAGCUCCAGUCUCCGCUUUGGUAUGGUUUUUAUGGUUGGAUGUCCUUCUUAAUACGAAUUGCUUCACAGAGUGUAUUGGAUGCUAUUUACUUGAUACUGCACAAGUAAAGGUUGCAGGUAGUCUAGGGAGAGGUAGCUUUUUGCUAGGUAUUGAGAUGCUAAGGGAAGAUAUGGGGACAAGUCCAGGGAUUUUGGUUACCUGUCAUUAUAUAGGAGUGGAGAGGAGUAGCUGGAAAGAAGAUAAAGUUAUUGGUGAGAAGGGGUCAGAGCAUAAUGUCAGAGCAUAAUAUAAGUGAGAAUAUGGACAAAGAAUAGUCAGGUGUAUGUGGAUAAGUUCAUAGGCAUGUGAAAGAACAGUGACAAGUGUUUAUGGAUAGAGCAGAGGUUUUAAUGUAGUAAAUGAUGAACAAGGGUGAAUGUGUUGUCAAUGUUAAAUAUCAGUAUGGGGGAGAAGGUAAAAGGCUCAGGAAAGAGGAAGUGAUUAGUGGCAAUACAAGAAAUGUGUGAAAAGCAGCAGUAUAAGACUGUGCAUAGAUCGGAAAAUUGGGGAAACCUGCAAAUAGAUCAGAAAAUAAGGAGAGAGAGAGAGAGAUGUAUAGGGACAGAGAUGAACAUCAAAGGUACUUAAUGAUGUCUAUAAUGAGGAGAGGACAAUGGUGGGGGUAUCGAAAAUAGAUGUAAGAGCGUGUUGAGAGUGACAGUAGAUGAGAAAGUGUUAGAGAUGAGGUUUGGUAGCCCUGAGAUGAAAAUCAGAGAAGAGGGAGAGAUAACUAGAGGUACAGACAGGAGUGAGAAGUGGAAAAUAAUGUGGGAAGGGAUUAUAUUGAGAAUGAGGGAUGUAUGUUAAAGAAAACAAUCCCAGGAAGUGGGCAAGUAACCAGUAGCACAAGGGGAGGAAACAUGCAGAUUCUGCUGCCAUAUAAUUACAAUAUGAAUAGUGCUAUUGUUAGAAAGAAGAAAGAAGGGGAAAGUUUGAAGGAGAGAGACUGAGCCCAGUGGAAAGAUAGACAUAAACUUAAUGCUUUUAGGACAGCCUUUUUGACAUGAUGAUUAGGUCCUGUUGAACACAAUUAAAUUUCCAAUAAGCUUAGUCUGUUGUCAUCUCCCCUCUGAGGCUCAAUAUCUUGUGACCAGCCUUCAAUCUAUAUGCAUAUAUAUUUUUAUCCAUGUGUUGAAUCCAGAUUACACCAUAGUCAUUUUGACUGAAAUAUACUUUUGCUUGCAAUGUUAAUAAUGCCAAAAUCAUUCUAGAUGCCCUUAAUCCAGCUUUUGACUGAUUCUGUGAAUGUCAGUUGAAUUCAGAUUAUUGUUGAGAAUAUGGUAGAAGAAAUAAAAGGAUAAUAGACAUUGCAUGUUCUACAUCUAAUACAGAGGUAACAAUUAAAUGGAAGAUACUAAGUGUUAGUUUUCUGAGGAAUUCAUGUUCAUAGUUUUCAACAGAGAAAAUAAUUAAAAGUAUGAAAAUCUUAUGGUAAUUCUCCCAUUAUGUACAUUCUUACGCAAAAACUUUAUGCUUUAUAAACUUUAUAAACUCAAUUUAUAGAUGUAUUUUUAGAACCAAUUUUGCAUUAUGUUCAAGUAAGUCCAAAAUAUGUUACAUAAAUUUCACAGUGAAGUAAACUUUCCAUGUCAUUAUAUCCACAAAUAUAUAAAUAUAAUUCAACUGUGAAAGAAAUUGAGCCAUCUCUUUUUGAUAUGAAGAUAAACAUGCUGCAUACAAUAAUGUCUAUGAUAAUUGCCUGAUGAGCCUCACAGGCAAGAUGAAUCCCGAUAAAAAAGAAUGAUAGUAUGCUGUAUGACAAAGACAUCCAGCUAAUGCUAACAUGAAAAACAAUAAUUUCAAUGAUUUUCUGAUAGAAAGAAAUAUUUUUUAUUUUGUCAGGAAUAGUGUGUGGUUGUUUUAGUUUAGUUUUCAUUGACCUUUAUUAAGUAACUUCAAAGCAUUUUUUAAUAUCAUUUCAAUUUUUAUGCUUUUUUUGUCAUUUUCCAUCCUAAAUGAUAGCACAAUUACUAGAUUAUAUAAAGUCACUCCUUCCCAAUAAACAUAAAGCUGAAGAUUAAAAUAAAAUUUAGAAAACAUUGUUAUUUAAGUUUUAAUUGCUGAUUAUUUCUAAAAGUUUAUUUCAGUCAUAGUAGGAUAGUUGCAAUAAACAUGUCUAUCAUAAAGAAAUAAAAUAAAUUCCAUUUUAUGUUUCUCAUAAAACUUUUGGUUAAUGUGAAAUUGUACAUUAAAACAGGUCUAUAUUUUAUAAUUAUUUGCAACCCAACUCAUAUUGCUGUUGUUCUGAAGUGAAAAACAAUCAAGUCUUUAUAAAACAAAUACCUGAACAUAAUUCUUUAUGGUUGUAAAUUGUAUAAGUUUUCAAAGAACCUAAUUUUAUGCUAUACAUUUAUCAUAAAAUGUCUGUAGUAGUUACAUCUGUAAUUUGAUAAAAUCUAAAUAAACUCCACAAUUUUUGAUAGAAUUACAACAAUAAUCUUUAUAGCUAUCGAAAUUAUACCAUAAUAAUCUAAAAAAAAAAAAUGUUGCACUGCAUUCAUUGUCACAAAAUUGGUCAUCUCUAAAAUAAAAUCCUCAGUCUUAUAUUUUGAAUCUUUUUGAAAUCUUUCUUAUCAGAAUAGGCAUCAUCAUUAUCAUAACUGACGACUACCAUCAUUGCUUCUGUAUGAAUUAAAACAAUCAUUAUGGCAGUGAAAAUCUACUUUGCAGCAGCAAUCACCAUUAUUGUUACAGCAAUUCUGACUAUAGGUUAUAUAACUUAAUAUUAUAAGAGUAUCAUUAUGACUGUUUACUUUGGCUUGAAGUGAGGAAUGCAAUCUGAAGUGUUUAUCUCUUUUAUAAAGGCGACAAAAAUGACAAUAGUAAAGCAGUAUUUAGUUUCCUAGAAUUUACCUUUACACUUUGGCACUUAGUACUAUGAUAAUUUAUAUAAUGAAGCCAUCAUAAAACUCUUCCAUAAAGUUCCAUUUCCCAAUUAAUUUUUUUUUAAUUUUAGUAUUUUAGCUCUAAAAGAAAUAUGAUACCAUUUUUAUGAGUUAUUUCUUUAUAUGCUAAGUAUUUUUUAAAAUACAUUUCUCAUGUAACCUCUGAACCAACCAUACUACAUUUUAAAAUUUAAAUAUUAAGAAAGCAAAUGAGUUUUUAAUGAUAAAAAAUAGAUAAAUGUUUUUUUUUUCUGGUGCAUUCAAAUCAUUCUGUUAUUUAAUUUUAGUUAUUUUAAUAGGAAUCAUUUCUGUUGUAGUGAAAUGAGAUACAGAGGAAGAAUUUGUGAUUCAUAUAUUGAUUGGAAUUAAACAAAUCUGUUCCCUGUUAAAAAAACAAAAAACAAAAACAAAAAACAACUCAUAGUGACAUUGUUUUAGAUUCCUCAAUUGCUAUGUAGCUGUGUAUAAAGUACAUUUUUAUGCUUAUUUGUUUUUAAUAUCCUCUUAAUGGAAGUAUCCUAAAAUAGCAUUUGCAAUUCAAACAACAUUUUUCAUGCUCUUUACUUUCUAUUGCAGUCAAUUUCUAUUUAGCCAGCAAGAAAGAAUUUUACAAUAUUCUGCCCUAUGUUUUGUUUUAAAUUGGUUGAUGCGAAACUGAUCUAUUCACUGGAAAUGUUUAAUAAAUUGUUACCUCUACACUAGCUGCAGCUAUUAUCUUAUUUUCAAGUAUUUCUCCCUUUCCCCAUUCUUUUCAAUUUCUCAGCAUAUUUGUUAAGUCUGUCUUUAUUCUUUUUUCUAUCUCUCUUCACAAUGUAUAUAGUCUUUAUUUAUUUAGGAUUUGAAAGAUAGUUUCUUAGCUAAUCACCCUAAAAUAAUCCUGAUGUGCUGCAGUUUUAUAUCAACAUCAUUGUUGUUAUUGUGUUAUCUUCAUAAAAUUUUCAAAUAGAAAUCCAAUCUAUUAAAUUUACAUGUAUAUCAAUUACAGUGUUAUAUUCACCUUUAUUUCAAAAGUGUAAUAUAUUCUAACAGGCUAAAAUAAUCAAGUAGGUGAAGUAUCAGCCUUAUAAUUCCACUUCAGAUAUUUUGCAGUAUCAAUGAAAAAAUGUAAUUUUAUUUGUUCCAGCUUACUUAGCAAAUUUCUGACAAAAUAAAUUGAUAGAUUAAUAUACUCUAUUCAUGCUUAACCACACAGAAUUCAGAACAAAACAGAACUAUAUAAGUCUCAUAGGUGCCUUGGUAAGAGUAGUGAUUAUUGAAAUAAUAACUGAAAAAGUCUACAGCUAAAAUAUUUUGAUAACUUUAUACAGAAUUUAAUAACAACAAAAAAAAAAUUAAAUUAUGGCUGUACAGGAAGAAGCUUACUUCCCAACCAUGUGGUCUUGACUUCAGUCCCACUGCACAGCACCUCGGACAAGUAUGUUCCAUUAUAACCCUAGGCCAAAACAAAGCCUUGAGAGUGAAUUUCUUAGAGGGAAAUUGAAAGAAACCUGUCGUAUACAUGUGUCGUGAGUAUGUGUGUGUGUGUAUGUGUGUGUGUGUGUGCAUGUGUGUGUGUAUGCAUGUGUGUGAAUGCCCUACUACUGCUUGAUAACUGGUGUCAAUUUGUUUACAGCAAAAACAAAGAAAAAAACAAUAGAAUAGGUACCAGAUUUAAAAAUAAGUAGAGGGAUCAAUUUUUUUGACUAAAUUCAUCUAGAUGGUUCCUGGCAUGGCUGAAGUCCAAAGACGGAAACAUGUAAAAGAUGAAAGGUAUAUCAAAAUUAAAUAAACCUAGGCAUUAGUGUGUGUGUGUGUGUGUGUGUUCUGUGUACAUUGAACAACAGUUUAAAAUAGGCCCUGUGUGGACUAGGUAUAAAUAUCUAACAAUGUUGAAAAAUAACUGAAUAAAUAUUUAACCAGAAAUCCAUGAAAAUCUUUGGAAGGCUCAAUUUCUAAAAUCCUAAUCAACAAACAACACCUAAAAGUCUUUGGUAAUUUUUCUGAGGGAAGCAGCCAAAGCAUAUUCUAAUUUGAUGCCUCUUUUAUGUAAGCAAAAUCAUAGAUAAUCCUUGAUAAAUCACAUGCGUAAUUGUUUUAAUCAAAUUAUUUACCAAACCAUUUUUAUAUCUAAGUGUUGGUAAAUCAAAUAGGCAUAUGUGGAAUGCAUUUUCCUAAUGAUUUAAUUUUCCACAGUGUCCAGAUAUUCAACUGUGGAGCUAUCAAUCCAUAGUGUUAUUCAUGAUACACAGCAACCAUUACAAAAUUUUAUUCAAAAUCUCUCAGCUUAAUGUAUGCUAAAUAUCCAAAAUUGCUUGUCACUUUAUUCACUGCUUUUUAACUGUUAAUAUUCCACUGCAUUCUCAAAAUUUUGUUAUUAACCUCAUAACAGUUGAAAACCUGUAAUAAUUUCUUCACAUUUCAAAUAUUCUGCUUAUGCAGUUAAAUGGUUAGAUUAGGAGUGGGAGAGAAAAGAGUUUAGUGAAAGGAAAUGUAAUAGUAGUGACAGGUAGGAGAAAGUGUUUGAAUGGUUAAUAGAAGGAAGAUGUAAAGAGAUAGACAGAGAAGAGUUUUUGUAGCAGGGGUGAGGUAUCAGCAAGAGAGUGGAGAAGAGGAAUGUUGUUAUUUUACGCAGUUAAAAGUUAGUAGAGGAGAAGAAAGGAAAGGAUGUUUACUGGAGGGGAUAUAGGAGAAAGGGAAUAUUAUUUGCAGACAUAAUCAGCUGCACUUAUACAGAGAACUGUCGUAUGUGCCAAGGUGGUGGUGCCUUCAUCAGGGCUAUUGUUUAAUGAAGGUAAUGGUGGUUGCAAUGUGGGGACAGCAAAGAGAAUAAUUUUUUAUUGAACUAAUUUUUUUUUUAUUUGUUAGUCACUUAGCAUAUGCACUUUUGUAUAAUUAAUUUCCUGCUAAGCUAAAGCUUCCCAUCUAUGUAUGUAACUAGCUAUGGAAUAAAACUAAAGACAUAAAAUUUACAUUAUUCGUAAGACAGUUGACUGAUACUACUAUGGAACAAUGUCCAAGAAAUAUUAUUUGUAAGACAAUUGGCAGAUCAUCAUCAUCAUCCCCAUCAUCAUCAUUUAGCGUCCGUUUUCCAUGCUAGUAUGGGUUGGACGGUUCAACUGGGGUCUGUGAAACCAGAAGGCUGCAUCAGGCCCAGUCUGAUCUGGCAGUGUUUCUACGGCUGGAUGCCCUUCCUAACGCCAACCACUCCGCGAGUGUAGUGGGUGCUUUUUACGUGCCACCCACACAGGAGCCAGACGGAGCUGGCAACGGCCACGAAUGGAUGGUGCUUUUUACAUGCCACUGGCGCAGGGGCCAGGCGAGGCUGGCAACGGCCACGAAAGGAUGGUGCUUUUUACGUGUCACCGGCACGGAGGUCAGUCGGGGCGGCGCUGGCAACGGCCACGAUCGGAUGGUUCGCUUACUUGUCACCGGCACUGGUAUCACAGUCGCAAUUUCCAUUGAUGUUGAUCGACUUCGAUUUUGGUUCUGCUUUCUGAUAUCUGAUUUGAUUUGGUUUGAUUUGAUUUUGAUUACCAGAUAAAUAAAUAUUUGAUUACCAGAUAAAUAAAUAUUUUCAAUUAAGGCAUAUAUAUUCUUUACUCAUUUAGUCUUUUGGAUUGCAGCUAUCCUGAGGCACCACCUUCAAAGGUUUAAUUAAGCAUAUUGAUUCUGGGACUCAUUUUAAAUUUAAAUUCUUAUUUUAUUAACAGGUAUUUGUUGAACUGCUACGUUAAUUGACAUAAACAACAUCACCAAUUUUAUAUAACAUAAAUUUAACCACAAAUAUUUUCUGUAGCAAUUUUUUUAACCGUGUCUGUGCCUCUAUUACUGAUAUGCCUUUUUAGGAUCUACAGCUCAGUAAAGCGGUUAUUAUACUUAAUUCACUGGGAUUAUGGGUUCAAGUCUAACCAUAAGAACUUUUCACUGAUAUGAAAAUAAGAAUGCAAUUAAGAUUUGUUAAAGCUUUAUCUACAGAGUCAAACAGUGGCAGACUACUAUAGAUAUAUUAUGUCUUUGAUUUCAUUCCAUAGUUAAGAUUGUUUACUUCUUGGCAUAAAGUGAAAAAGAAGUGACAUGUGUAUAACACAGAACAUCAUUUUCAAAGGAGUCCCUACAACUGUACCUUCAACACUACCCAAAUCAAAAGAAUGACAAAAUUAAUGUAGUUCAGCUUCAAGUACUUUAGUUGAUCUUUCUAGAUACAAUGGGAAUUGAGAGAAUUUUCGACUGAUGAAAGGCAAAGAUAAAUUCAGAAUAUAAAAAUGUGUUGCUGAAUAUAUGACACUUGAUCCCCUUUUACAUUACAUUAAGUUUUUCAUAUUUUCCACUAGUCAUCAGGAUGCAGAUGGGCUGGCACAGGACUGCCAGCAAUAGAGAGUGCUAGUGGAUCUGGUCAGCUAUAUGCAUGAUGUCACCUCUGAACCACUAACUUGGAAUGACUUCAGUCCCAUCAAGCAAGAGCACGAAGCAAGCCAAGCCAAAUCCCCUAGUCCAUUACUUACAACACUUAAAGUUUUAACUCAUGAAGUACAAGCAUUACAUUCCUGAAAAUUUUGCUAUUAGAUGAAGCCAAUUUCCACAUUUUCUUUCAUGUUACAUAACAUGUAAGUCAAUGAGAAGUAGGGUCUAAAUUUCAGAAUUCCAUAUCAUUCAACUACGGUAAAAGUUGAAUAAUAUUCUUAAGGCCGCAAUUUACUCACAAGCAGCAUCUUUCAGAGCUUGUCUCUAAUUCAGUUCUUAAUCAAAUGGAAAACUGUUAACAUUUUUGAAGAGGACUGGCCUCUAGCUACAUUUUGGCAUAAAAAAAAAUUGAGAUUUGAUCCAGUAAAAAAAUUUUAUAUCAAAAUUUGUAGCAACAUUAUAGGAAAGUUAGUAACACCAUUAAUCAAGUUUAGAUCUAAAUACCUUUUUUAUUUUAAAAACAAAAUAUUUUUAUCUUAGCUUUGAUGAUAGAUGAAAGCAAGAAGAAUUACAUAGAUUUAGUCCCUUGCAACAAAAAUUUGUAUAAAAAAGUUGUGAGGUAAAAUAUGAAGAAAAUAUAAGGCAAAAAAUUGGAUUUAAGUAUAAUUAACUUUUUUAUUUUAAAAACAAAGUAUAUUCUAAUGAAGAUUAAAUGAUAGAGCUCAAUUCAAGGAAUUCAUGGUAUUAAUCUCAUGCAAUGAAGUUUUAAAAGUAAAAAGUUAUGAGUGUUUGCUUCUCAAAUUUGAGGAUGAUAAUAUAGUUAUAUACUUUUUAUGAAUAUAGUUCUAUAAGGAAACUUUUAAUAUAUGUCACCAGACUUUUAAUAUAUGGUACCAGUGGUACCACUGAGGUAAGGACAAAAUUAUCAAUGGCACCGCUAAUUGACACAUUUGACACACUAUUAAUUAGCACAAUAGCAUAACCUAGAAGAAUGAUAGAUUACAUUGAAAAAUGCAAGCAAGAGAAAUAAUAUUCUUAAGAUUAUAAACCUGAAAAAUUACAGGACAAGUUAUUACACUUGGAAAAGUUCAGGACAACGCAUUAUAUCUUGUAAAGUACAGAACAAAAACACUUUUACUUGAAAUAUUGCAGCUAAGGAUAAAAUUUGAAUAUUAAAUCUUAUUUGAUUUUAAUUUACAAAGUAACAUUAUAAUUAAAAAAGGUACCAUCAUUUCAGUAAAUAUUGAGACACUAGAAUACUUAAAAAUGAGAGCUAGAAGUAAAGUUUAAUGCAAAGUAGAACAGCAUAUAUAGUAGGCAAAUUCAUUAUGUAAAAAAUAGGCAUUGGGUCAAGACUAAAAAUGGGAAGACUUGGCAAUAACUUAGGCAAUAACUCAAGCAAAUUUUACUGUGAAUUUGUUGUUAUAGGUAGAAUUUACUAUAAUAUAUAACUAAUUUCUUUAUAUUAUUCUAUUCAUUGUACUAACUAAUUAUGUACUACUACUAUUUUUUAUGACCUAUUUUCAGAUUUCUAAUAAUUAAUUAAUAAUUAGAAAAAUGAAUUUUUUAAAUGCAAAAAAUAUUUUGAGUUAUUUUUUCUUUUUAAUAGAAAUAACAAGUAAUAACAAAUAGAAGUAAUAAAUUUUUUAGAUUUAAUAAAAGCUAAUAUUUUUAAAAUUUAAAUAUUUAAUUUGAAAUUUUAUCCUUAGCUGCAAUAUUUUAAGUUAAACUUUUCUUAUUCUGUACUUUACCAGAUGUAAUAAAUUGUCCUGAAUUUUUCCAAGUGUAAUAACUAGUCCUGUAAUUUUCCAGGUUUAUAAUCAUAAGAAUAUUAUUUCUCUUGCUCACAUUUUUUCCAUGUAAUAUUUUCUAAAUUUUAUUGGAAAAAUCAGUUGACAACAAUAUUCAAAAACACCAACAAUAAAACAAAUUCUUGAAUUUUCUAGCAGUAUUUCUGAGAGUACAAAAUUAUAUUUUUGGUGGAAAUAAUAAAGACAUUGUAAUUUGAACCUCUCUUAAAGUCAACUUAUCAAAAUUCCAUGAUAAAUGAACUCCUAAAAUAUGUAAUAGCUGUCAUGAAAUUAAUUACUAAGUUGCAAGAAAUCUAAUAAACAUUUGUCAAAUAUACAUUUUCAAUGCUUUAUGUUUCCACAAUGUCCAAACAUUCAACUGUUGAGUCAUUAAUUCUAAUCACAUUAUUUAUGAUACAUAAUAACCAUUAAUAAAUUUUGUUCAGAAGCUCUCGGCUGGAAGGGAACUAAAUGUACAACAGGUAAUACCUGUAACUUCAAAAUUCAAUUUGUUAUGAUUUAUUUAGGCUCAGGCAUGGCCACAUGGUUAAGAAGUUUUGCUUUGUAAUCAUGUAGUUUUCUAGUAAAGUUAAUCAAUACCUUGUGAGUGCGUUUGUUUGAUGGAAACUGCAAGAAACCCAUUACAUGUGUGUAAAUGUCUGUGAAAAUGAAUGAAUGUUGACUUUCUAUGUUUUUUCCCUGCAUGAGCAAAACCAAUUGCUCAGCAGCUUCAAAGAUCUUAUGAAUAAAAGUCCCUUGAUUGUAAAACAGUUAGAGGUUGGUGACAGGAAGAGCUUCCAACCCAUGCAAGCAUAGGAAAAUGGAUGUCAAACAAAGGAGUGAAGUCUGAUCGAGAAAUAUAUUGUCUCAGAGCAUUUGCAGAACCUUCCAGAUAGUGAAGCUAUUGCAGUUGUAGGUUAAUAUCUGAAGAGAUGUGGAUAGGAAAAAUGUUCCAAUGGGUUAUAGUUCUGCAAAGAAUGGAGUUGGGUAAGAGUUUUCAUACAAAGGCUGGAGGUGAUGUUCACAAAGUAAUUCACGUAAGUUUGUAUGAUGGACUACACAGUUUGUUAGUUUGCAAGAACAAAUGCCGUAGUAAUAAUUCUUUCUAAUUUUGGCACAAAACCAGAAAUUUUGCGGGGAAGGAUAAGUCAAUUACAUUGACCCCACCCCAAUGCUCAACUGUUAUUUGCUGUUAAACUGUUAUUUACUUUACUGAUCCCAAACAGAUAAAAGGCAAUGUUGGCAUACCAUUGUCAUAAUGGUAGGAGAGGAAAAUUAUAUAUUAGAUAGUGAUUUAUGAGGCUCAUGAUAAAAAAAUCUUUGACCAUUUGGCCAUCCCCAGUUUAAGGAACACAGAAAUUAGAAAUGUAUGAUAUGUUUUCUGAAUAAAAUUGGUAUCCCUGUCGACUUAAGUUUACAUUUCUUUUAGAGUGAAAUAUUAUUCAAAACCUGUUAGUGGCAAGUUGAAAUAUUAAAUUAAGUAAAGAUUUUAUUGGAAAUGUCAGGAUGAUGAAUCAAAGGUUUGAAUUGUAAAUGGUUUGUCACUAAUAAGUUUAUACAAGUAAGCAAAUAAUUGCGUGCAUGGGUGUGUAAGUUUAUAUUUUACAUUUUCUUUUAUUUGUUAACUAACAACUUUAAUAAAAUAUAGAUUGAUUCAUACUUGCUUAAUAUCCUUUCCUCUCAUGACAUGUCUUGGCUUUAUCAAUAAUUUGAAUAUAUUAAAUGGAGUAAAAGUAUGCAAUAAGGAAGAAAUUAUUAAAAUUUAAGAUCAAAUAGAAACAUUAUAGUGUGAAACAUUUGCCAUAUAAAAAUUUUUUUAAUCAAUUUUAGCUUUCUUUUCAAAAAACUUCCAAGAUGAGCAUUUUAAAAAAUGAUUUUAUGAAUUCUUGAAAAUACAGCUGCAAAAAGUAAGCAAAUGUUAUCUAAAAAAUAAAUAGAUAUUAUCUAAAGAAGUAAAAUAAAAUGUCCCAAAAAAAAUUUUACUUUUGAAAUGUUUGGCUAUUUAUGAAAUAAAUAAUUCAUGUUUUAUAUAUUUUAACCAAUAUCAAAUAUAAAACAGAGACAGUGAAGUUAAAAAUAGAUAUUUAGAGGGCAACUUUAUUGUCAGAUCACUAGAAAUAUGCAGUCUAGGCAAUUAGGUAGGAAAAGAUAUAUUAAUAAGAUAUCAUAUAUACACUGUGUUUAUUCGGGAGCCUGUUUUUAUAUUGAAUGAGUUGUUUUCAGAGUGAAUUAUGGUACUGUUAGUAUAAAUUUAGUUUAUACUGCCUGACAAUGAAAAGGAAGUCAUGUAGUAAUCACAACUGCAUUAAAAGGAUGGAUAGAUAUUUUGUAGUGUUAGAGUUUAUAUUUGUGCUAUCUGACAAACCACCAGUAAUUAUUCUUUUUUAAGAUUUUUGUUUUAACUCUACCCUCUCUACCAAUUCAGAUGGCACAUGUAGCAGGCCUGGCAAUACAGUAAAGAUGUCUAACAUAUGCUUGAUGAAAAAUGUGCUAACCUUGCCAGAGUGGUGAUAAGAUGAUUAGAGAUCAGGAAAAAUUAAUGAAGUUAAAACUAGAUCCAUUUGGCUGAUACAAAGCGAUGUGAUUAUACAUUGUAAGGCAUUCAUUCCAGAUUCUAUUAUUUCUGCUGUCUCGAAUGAUUUCAAAUUUUGGCACAAGGCCAGCAAUUUCAGGGUAGGGAUAUGUUGAUUACAUUGACGCCAGUGUUCAACUGGUACUUAAUUCAUCAACCUCAAAAGGGUGAAAGGCGAAGUUGACUUUGACAGAAUUUGAACUCAGAAUGUGAAGAUGGAUGAAAUGCCACUAAGCAUUUUACCCAGCAUGCUAACAAUUCCGCCAGCUUGCUGCCUUAUCUCUAAUCUUAUAUUGGCUAUUAUCUCUUCUUAAUAGGCUCGAGCUUUUUUCUUUUUUUUUUUUUUACUAUUGAAUCAACUCUAAUAUGAAGAAAGGCAAGAUGAAAAGCUAGUCUAUUCUAAAGGAUGAAAAUUUAAGUAUGGUAAAACUUAAGUUCAGUGCCCUUUAUUUGUUGCGAACUUCAUUCUUUUGUUUUGUUUAUUUCAUAGAAUCUUUUUAUUUCAACAAAACAAAAUACGGCAUAAUAUUUCAGCAAAAUUAAUGCCUAUGAACUCAAUCCAAACUAAGAUUGCUGAAAACUAUAAUCUGCUCAAAUGUCCAAAAUAAAUUAGUCUUGUCUGCAACCAGAAUAUUAGUCUCCACAGUGUAACAUUAAUCAAUAAUGAUCAAUACAAAAAUGCCUCAAAGCCAAUUACUUAUUUUAAAAGGGUUUCAGGACUAACUAAUUUAGGUUUAAUAAUGAGCACAACAUAUUACAUGAUUUGAAUGUAAAAAGAAAUUAUUUCAUUUACCUUAAUUAUUUGCCAGAUUAAAUUUGUGGAAACUAGUAAGAUUUGUAAAAUUAUGAUCGUAAUCAUGAUUUUAUUGGGGUUUUUUUUUCAACUUUACAGGCGAUUUAUUGUUUAUAAAAAUCUCUCUUUCUCUUCACCUGUCUUUCCAUUUCUCUUUGUCUCUCUUUUUGUGUGCCUAUACUUCUCAUUCUGUUUGUCUUCUAUAUACAGAAUAUGCUUCACCUAAAUCUUGGCAUCAUUCAUUCAAAAAUGCUAUCUUUAAGUUACUUGUGUUCCUUCUAUUUCAAGUACUUUAAAAGAAUACUUAUGUACAGCUAUGAACACACACACACACACACACACACACAUUGACAUAAACCAAGUAAUAAACCAAUAUAUUUAUCUGGUCUUUUAUUUACCACUUUUAUCUUUCUCUUUUAUUUACAUAUUCAACAUGCUACCAUGUUGCAACAGUUUUGCAUUAAUUAUAUUAAAUUAUAUAUUUCAUUUUGAAACUGAUGCCAAACUGAUAUUAUGAGGACUGUAUUUCUGAUACAAAAUAUUUAACAUCUGUCUUCUAUGCUAGCAAGCUGGAGAGCUCUGCUAGGUUCCAGUCUGAUUUUGCUUGGUUUCUACUACUGGAUGCCCUUCCUAAUGCCAACCACUUUACAGAGUGUGCUGGGUGCUUUUUACAUGGUAGCAGCAUGAGAGCUUCUUACGUGGACCAGUAUGAGUGCUUUUUAUGUGAACCUGCAUGAAGGCACUUGCAAAGCAAAAAUAAAAUACUUAACAAAAAAAAAAACAACAUAUAAAUAUACUUUAAAUUUUAUUAUUUGUGUUUCUAAACUUUUGUCUAACUUUUUGAUUUUAUAGAAAUACAUUGUUUAAGGUUUUAAGGUUGCAGUUUACUAGAAUCAUGGCAUUUUUCAAUUUAGGUUCAGAAGUACAAAGUGUGCCAUAAAUAUAUCUUAGAGCAAGGAAUCUUAUUUUACAAAGUUUUGCUGGAAGGACGGGAUUUAGAAAAUGUUUGCUCUAAAAUACGUAUCUUCCUUGAUAUACAUAUAUAAUGCUAGGAGUGUGAAGGCACAUGGUUCUGUGGUUAGAGCGUUGAACUUAUGACCAUGAGGUUGUGAGUUUGAAUCCCGAACCGGGCUGUGUUGUGUUCUUGAGCAAGACACUUUAUUUCACGUUGCUCCAGUUCACUCAGCUGUAGAAAUGAGUCAUGAUGUUACAGGUGCCAAGCUGUAUCGGCCUUUGCCUUUCCCUUGGAUAACAUCGGUGGCAUGAAGAGGGAAGGCUGGUAUGCAUGGGCAUCUGCUGGUCUUCCAUAAACUACCUUGCCUGGACUUGUGACUUGGAGGGUAACUUUCUAGGUGCAAUCAUCCCAUGGUCAUUUUUGACUGAAGUGGGGUCUCUGAGUGCUAGGAGUAACAUCUGGUGUUGUAAAGGCGGGAGCUUUUAUUCAGUUGCUCAAUCUGCUAAAAAUGACAGCUAAAUUCCCCCAAAAUCACAUCAUCUCAUCUUAAAGACAGGGAAAAUACAUUGGAUAAUAUAGUCCCUGCUAUACAAAACAACAAACUGAAAUCCUUUUGAUCAAGGGUCUAUGUUAUCAGGGAAACUCAUCUAAACAACAACUUCAUGAAUACAUGCAAAUGUUUACAUUUGAACAUUUGUAAAUUGUCCAAUCCAUAAAAACAGAAUCAAAAUGAAAAGCUAUUAACCUAAGAUUUAAUAUUAUCUUUUGCAAAAACCAAUUAGCCAUAAAAGCAUCUCAUUUUUUUUUUAAGUGUUUAUUCAGUUAAAUGGACACAACUAUAUUACCAGAACUUAUUUUACUGAUUCUUGAGUGAAGAAUGACAUUUGAAGAAAACUAGUACCUUAUGUCAAUAUACAUGCUUCACCAAUUCAUAAAUUUGAUGCUGAUAUAAAUACUGGUGACUUUGUAACCAUCGUCUUCUACCUUUUCUCCAUCAUUUACAUUAUAUAUCAUUUUGUUUCUUUAUUUAAUUACUAUAGCACUAGCUGACCCUGUGCUGUCAAAAUGACAGCUAAUUGUAGUAUUUUAUAUAUAAAUAAGGCACAAAACAAGGUACAUAAUAAUCACAGUUACAAACAUACACAUACUUCCCUUGUUCAUGCACACACAUAUACUCAGAGUGGAAAUGCUGUUUGAUUUUUCUUUUCAGUGUUGAACAUUCACCAUCCCAUUUCCAUUGCACACACACAUACUUCCCUUUUAAAUACACACACACAUACUCACACAGAGUUGAAACACAAAUUUUUAUUCACCCCUUCUUUCAUUAUUCAUCUAUCACCCCUUCAUUUCUCAUUCAUGUGUUGUAACAGAAAAGCAGAAGAUAUAUGAUGCACUCUUUGCCACUUUCUUUCUCUCAUUGCUAUUACUUUCUCUCACUCUUUCUCUCAGUCAGGGCUAUUACUCUUACUACUUCUUCAUUGAAUUACAAAUAUUCUCUCCUCUCCCUUCACUUAUACUACUGUUUCUCCUACUCUAUCUCCUUGAUUUUGGACAAAAAAAAAAAUAUAUAUAUAUAUAUAUAUAUAUAAACACUACACUCACUAUUACAUUAGGAGAUGUUUGAAUUUAUUAAACAGAUGAUUUUGAUGAUCAGUUUAUGGAAAGAUUUUAUGUAAAUUAUUAUACUACUUGUUUAAAAAAUUACUAUAUUUUUAAUUUUAUGACAUAUUUUCAUGUUAAGUAUACACGUCAGUGAUACCCAAAAUUUAUCAAUUCCUUCAUGCAUAUAUGUCAAGUUACAAAUUGAAUCUGCAUAUCUAUCACAUUCCAUUCAUUAAUAUAUGCCAUACUUUAACUUUAAUUAGUCACAUUUUUAUUCUUUUUAAGCUUUACACUUUUACAUAAGGAGUUAUCUUCAUUUUAUAUAAUUAAGGAAAUUUUUUUAAAAAUAAAUGUAACCAUGUUAUAUUUAAGUUACCCAAAAAGAAAACAUAAAAAUUUGUCAUUAUAAAUGAGUAUUUGAAACUUAUAUAAAUGUUGAAGGUGUCAUAACUUGAGCAAAGUUUACAUGAUAGAUGUUUGUUAAUUUUAUACAGUAAAUCUAUUUAAAUUUAUUUAAACAUAAUUCAUCUGAAUAGCAUAAAAAGUUUUAGUUGCACAUGUACUUGUAUCAAACUGUAAAAAAAAUAAUGAUCUUAGUCACACAGUCUCUUAGUGUUAUAUUUUAUGUUUACAUAAACUAUAUUUGACAAGUAUAUUAUGAGCCAAUGGGAAGGCCUCUAUGUGGUUACUUGACCUGCCAGAAAUAGCAGCCUUAUCUCUCUCAAAUAAUAUCCUACUAUAUUAAAAAUAGGGAGGAUACAUUGGAUAUAUAAAAAGGGCAAAUAAUCACAACCAGGAUGCUUUCAAUCAUGGGUCUAUUCAAUCAGCAUGGCCCUAAGGUUAAACAACUAUAACAACAUAGAUAUUUUAUUAACUAAUUAAAUUUGGCAAAUGAAGACAACUUUGAAAAGUUUUAAAUUUAGAAGUCUCAUCUCAUAUACUACUCUGAACAAUUUUACAUUGAUCAGCAGUCAUGAUGUGAGGGGAAAAUCUGUUUAAGAGUUGAAAAUGAUCUACUAUAAUUAAUUAUAUCAUUGAAUUUUGAUAUUGUGAAUGUGUUUUUGUUGUAAUUUUUGUGAUUGAAAUGUUCUAUCUGCCCAAAUAGAUCUCAAUGAAAUUAACAUAAUAACUCCAAUCACAAUUGUACCCAUCAUUAUUAAUUUUGAUGCAUCAUCAUCUGCAGAAACAGUUUCCCUUCUACCAUCAUUACAAUCUUCAUCAAACUUAUUACCAUUAUCAUCAUAACAAUUAUGAUCACUGUAUUUCAUUGUUUAAUUCUUACCAUGCUUAAUAUACUUUGUUCUCAUUCCAGAUAUGUUCUAAUUAGGAUGGUUUUCAUCAGAAGUGACUGGCAAAUGAUAAAUAGGUGAGCUUUAAUUUCAUCAAUGCCUUUCUGCAAUUCAAUGUUCCAGAUUACAUAUAGGUUUUCCAAUUUAGUUUACUGAAUGUGAGAAUUAAUACAAAAUUUCAUUGUACAAUGAAUGCAAGACUUGCUUAGGUGUCAGCUCAUUUACAAUUCAUGUGGAAUGUUUGGCAAUUAAUAUUGAUUUCUGACAUUCAAAAGAUUGUAAGACAAAAUUAUUAAAUAAGUAGAUAUUUAGUAGUCAAAGAUGCUAAUUAAUACACAAAUGUGGGCAUGUUUAUGCAUGUGUUCACUCAGAUAUAAUAAAGGAGGUUACUUCGUUUGAUGGAAUGUGACGAGUAGUCUUAAGACUUCUGUUCAAUCUUGGAUGGUAUUUAGUCAUAUAACUUAUGGAGUUUAAUUGAUUAUAAAUUACUGAAUUACACAGCAUUUUCUAUUGAAUUGUUUUCCUUUUAGAUCACUUUUGUUUUACCUUUAUUAUUCAAACCUAUAUUGGCUAAUAAACUCUGACCUAUUUGCUCAGAUUGAGUAUUCUACAGAUCAUUAGGUGCUGAACCCAUAUAUGAAAUUUCACACUGCAAAAUAUUAUAGUUGCUUAUUUUCCCCUUAGAAUAUUGUAUAGAGAUUAAAGUCAAAAACUACCAAAAUAAACACGUUUUAUCGAACGCGAGGGAAUGCAACUCUCAAAGUGAGCAUCUUAAAAACAGAUUCAGCCACAGAUCAUAUGAUUUCAUAAUUAGUGCACAAAAUGCACUUUUUAAUUGUCAAUGCAGGUAUAAUCAAGACACAUAAAAAAUGAACAAAAACAUCAACAUACCAGACGAACACCAAAUGUAUCCUGCAUAGUACAUAGAGUUGUUCACUCAUUAUAUAUCUAUGUGAGAGGUGGGCUUUUAAGAAUUAUGAUAGGUUUGACUUUAAGAGUCCCUUGUAGUGUGAGGCAUUUAUGUAUAGUAAUGCUCUCUCUCUAUAUAUAUAUAUGUGUGUGUGCGUGUGUGUGUGUGUGUGUGUGUGUGUAGACACAUGCUGCACACACAUGUGCAUGUGUAUAGAUACAUACACAUGCACAUACAUAUGACCAGUUUUCAUAAAUUUACCAUUUACCAAAUUUCAUUCAUAAGCUUCAGUCAGCCUAAGGCUUAUAGCAGAUGUACUACACAGUGAGAAUGAACCAAAAACUAUGUUACAAAGCAAACUUCUUAACUACACAGCUAUUCUCGGGCUUCAUCACAAAUUUGAAAUUUUGUUUCCUCAGAGUUUCAUUAAAUAAAUCCAGCAGCAAUUCCUCCAUUCAAUUUGGUAGAUUUCAUUAUAAUAACUUCCAUUCACUACUAAAUUUUCAAAAUCAAAGAGUGCUGAAAAGGAUACGUUGUUACUCUCAAUCUGAAUUUUAUUUAUAAACAUGUUGUUAUGCACUUCACUGGGUUGAAACAACUACCUGGUAGAAAUAGCUUAAAUUUGAAGUACUUGCCUAAGGACGGGAUGUAUUUUGAUGUGGUUAGGAUUUUUGCAGUGAUUUUUCCAUCACUAAAAUUCUCUCAGGAUAAACUAGUGAACAUCAAAGUAGGAUUCUGAUUUCCAGGUAGCUGUUUCAUGGUUUCAGAACAAUAGUUCUUUUUCAGAAGAAAAUUUGACUGUUUCAAAUCUUACCAUCUCUAGAUUUGUUCUUAAGAUAAGAACUUUAAUCUUUGAAAGAAAUUCUAAUGCCAUUAUACAACUACCACAUAUUUCAAAUGCUUUAACUAUUUUUUAUCAUAUUAUUAAAGAUUCCUUACAAAGUCAGUUUAUUGUUAUUAUAUUCUCUCAAUGUAAUCUACACUGUUUUCUUGGAUAGAAUUGUUAGAUCACUUGCAGCAACAACUUAUACAUACACUAAGCAAUAUUCUGUAUGUGUAUAUUUUGAAUAAAGAAAGAAGUUGAUGCAAAGUAGUAGCUGCAAAUGUAGAUUAACAAAUGAAUAUUCAUAGACUGGUAGUUUUAAGAUAUAUUUUACUGUUAUCAUACUCACACCUUGCUUCUUAGUGAUGCCCAUACUAAUAUUAUCUGUUCUCUGUUUUGUGGUAUGAGACUUUGAUGAUAUUCAAGACAAUGUUAAAGAAUUUAUUCGCAUUCCAAGUUACUUCUUAUCAGAAUCUUGACUUGUAGAGAUUACCUACACAUAUUACCCUGUAAGCAUAAUGAUUUAUCUGAAAUAAAAUUAUUAUCGCACACACACACACACAAACAAAGUACUGCAUGUUUUCUCAUUCAAAAGAAAUAAGGAUAAACUUGGACUAGUGUCUUCUAGUAUAAACUCGGGCCAACCAAAGCCUUGUGAGUGGAUUUGGUAGACAGAAAUAGAAGCUUGUUGUAUAUAUAUAUAAAUAUAUAUCUAUGUGUGUGUCUUUGAGUCUGUGUUUGUCCACCACCAAUGCUUGACAACCAGUGUUUGUGUGUUUAUUUCCCUGUAACUUAGCAGCUCGGAAUAAGAGACUGAUAUAAGGAAUACCACGCUUAUGAAAUUAAUUUUUUUUUAAUACUAGUGUUGAUUCAUUCAACUAAAAGUUCUUCACAGUGGUACCCCAGCAUAGCUGUAGUCUCACAAUUGAAACAAGUAAAAGAUAAAUAUUAAUAUGUAUGUGUGUAUGUCUCUGUGUGUGUAUGUGUGUAUGCGUGUGUAUCUCUCUCUCUCUCUCUCUCUCUCUCUACAUAUAUAUAUAUAUAUAUAUAUGGACAUGCGCGCUUACACGAAUACUAUGAACAUUUUUACCCCCUUACUUUUACUCCCUCCCCUCACUUAGCAGUCAUUCAAAUAGCUCUUUUGUCUUAAUAAUGGUCAAUCACACAGUAAUUUAAUGGUCAUUUUCAUAGCAUUUUUGCCGAUGGCCAGAUAAUUGAAGAGAUGGCGGCGUGGAUUUCCACCCCGACAUCCGAUACUUGAAGUUUUAUCAUGCCUACAGAAUAAUUGUCACAUAUUACAUUUACAGAUAAAUUCCUCUAUUUACAUAAUAUCGAGGUCUCUUUCAUUCUCUUGUUGCCAUUUCUAUCAAUAUAUAUAUAUAUAUAUAUAUAUAUUACUGGUGAAGGGAUAAAGUUGGCGUAUUUUGCACUGCUUCAAAAAAUUUUAUCAGAUAAGAAUUGUUUUACAUGUAAUAUCAAAGUAUUACUGGUGUUUGGCGCCACCAAACAACAUAUAGUAAACUUUUGACUGAACAUCUGUUGUAAUUGACUGAAUACAGUUUGUUUGUGUAAAGACAUUUUGAUAUUACAUCAGUCUUUCCAUUUAAAGUAUCUAUUUGUCAUGUUAUUUUAUUCCUCUGUAAUGCACAGUUAACAUUGCCCCAGUUAUAUUCAUGUAGGAUAUACUCUGUUUGAUGUUUGACCACCAGACAAAUCUACACAAUAAUUCAAUGUUAUUUUUUUGUGCAUAUAUUGAUAAUACUGUAGUAUUCCUCUUUCCAAAGUUACACUUAGUUUUACUGAUGUUAUUCAGGUUGGUCCUUCAGGGUUCAAACCUCAUGCUGCUAUCAUUUUUGCAUGGUUAUAAUAGAUCUUGAUGCUUUUAGUUAAAUAAUCUGUGGUAUUAUUGUUUUGGAAAUGAAUCUAAUUAGAGAUAAAGGAUUUCUAGUUAUGUUUAAUUUUCAUCAUCACUGAAAGUUUGAUUUAAACCAAAAAAUGUGUUCCUACAUGGAUAAUAAAUUACUUUUUCUUUAUACUCAUUUUAUUUUCUUAAAGCAUUAUUACAGUAACUGGCAACAUUAUGAAGGUUGCCUUCCUUGAGAAUAUACUGGAUAUUCAUCUAGUUAUAUGAGAAGCUAAAGAUUUAAUAUAUUGAAUAUAGUUAGAAUUGAUUAAUGUACAUGAGCUUUUUGUUUGGGUUUCUAUAUCGUUGAUAUUUUCUGGUUUCCUGGUCUAAAGUUAUGUCUAGGAAGAUAAAUAUGUUUAUAUUGUUCAUGACUGUAAUAUUCAAGCCAAGUCCUUGAGUGUGCUAAUUAAAUUUUUUACUAUACUUUUCUAAUAAUAUAUUAGAUAAGUAUUGUGUGAGGCUGCAUUCCUUGAGUAAUCAUAUAUCUAGAGUUUUGAAUUUCAUUUUUAAUAAUCUAAAACAUAUAAUACAACCAGGUCAUUUACUUCAGCUCCAUUAUGCAAAUAUUAAAUAGGUAACUGAUGUUUAUAUUACAUGUUUAGUCAGUGAAAGACGUUAAUUUCCUAGUAAACAUCAUUCCAAUAUUGCUGCUAUAGAUGGUUUUGUGUUUCCUUUUGAAUUCCAAGCCACGAUGAAAAGGUAUAUGGAAAUUGAUGGGCAAAACUUGAGAAUGUUGAAUUGAAUAAACUCGAUCUGCUUUUGUUCUUGAUGCUAUUUAAACAAUCAACUAUUUGCAUUGUUCUUGUUAUUCUAUUUCUGUAAGUUGGUGGCUUCCUUAAUUUUGUCUUUCAUAUUGUCUAGAAUAUGUUUACUGACUACACUAAAGUAAAAUUUUCACAAGAUUUAUCAACCUGCAUUUUGGUUUGCUGUAAAAAUUUCUAUGUGGUCUUUCAGGGUGAUUUAUUCUUUACAUUAAUAUAUUGUCUAAUUUUAGUAUACCUGCUAUGAAUUUUGCCUGAUGUUUGAUUUCUUUGUAGCUAAUCGUAAUGAUGAUUUUUAGAAGUUUAUUGUGGGUGCCCUUAUUUAAUUCAUUCACAUUUUUAGUUUAACUUAUAUACACUGAAAUGCAAAACAAAUGCAAGACGUGUGACUGUGAAAUAUGUUUUAAUUUCAUUAUGUCUGAGAUAAAUUUUUAUAAAUUUAUUGUCAAUUUCAUGGAUGCACUUUGAUCACAGCCUAUGGGUCUUUGUCAUGUGUUCUGGUAGUGGACAUCGAGAUUGAACAUGACAUGUUCAAUACCGUGUAUGCUCUCCCUGGGUGUUCAAAAUGGCCAUACACCAUCGGUACAUGGUAUGCAUGAGGCGGUUCACAAAAGCCAUUGGCACUUGUGCCCAUACCCUGAGGAAAGCUGCCUCCAGUUCCACAUGAGUUGUUGGACUUGGGACCACCUGGUUCAGCUGUCUCUGGAUUUCAUCCCACAAGCGUUCAAUUAGGUUCAAAUCUAGGCUGUGGGCUGGCCAUGGCAUGGUUCUGAUGUUGUGCUGAUGCAGGAAGUCCAUGGUGAUCCUGGCCAUGUGGGAGGGUGCAUUGUCCUACUAAAACAUGUGGCUAUGGUGACGCAUUUAAAAAAAGGCCCAAUGUGAGGUCUUAGGAUCUGGUCAAUAUACCGCUGCACUAUGAUGCCAUUCCCUCUGCCUGCACCAAAAUUUUGGAACACAUGGGGCCUAAUUCUCUGAUUCAGGCCAAUAGCACCCCAGACCAUGAUGCUUUGGCCACCCCAUGCAUCUCUCUCUAUGACACAUGUAUCUCUGUAGCAUUCACCCCUCCUACGCCACACACUCAUUCUGCCAUCCAAGGUGGAAACACAGUACCAGCUCUUGUCAGAGAAGACUAUCGUCUUCCAUUGUUGAUGCUGUGCAGCUCACUGUAGUCUUGCUUAUGGUAGCAGGCGAUGAGCACAGGCCCUUGAGCAGGAUGACGUCAACACAAGUUGUUGGCAGUCAGUCAACAUCAUACCAUGUCAUUGCUGAUGGGUCACUGUCCAAUGCUAAUGAUCUCAUGAUGUGUCACACUGGCUGGUCUGAAGCGAUCACAGAGGUGUUGCAGGUGCAUGAAGUGGUCACCUCUGUGGGCACGGUCUGCAGUGCUAUUGGUGCUGUAUCGCUGUUGUAGGCGAAAGAUGGUGCUGACAUUGACAAUGUAAUCUUUCGCAACAACCAGGGCAUGAUACCCUGCUUGCAAUUGGCUGAUAGCUUGUUCUACUUGGGCUACUAACAAUUGGGUCAUACUUGAUGCAUCCAAAUUACAAAUGUCAGGAACAUGUUUCAAGUUGAUUCUUAUAUCCAAAACCUCCAUGAGAUGUGUUAUAAACCCAAACUUGAAUAUCAAAGUUUUAAAAGGUUUACUGCACUUUUGACAAUUAAACAUAAAAGCCACACUGUUUUGAUCUGUUAUUAGUGUGAAGUUACGUCCAAGAAGAAAAUGAGACCAUUUUCUCACAGAUUCUACAAGAUGCAUGUGCAUUUCGGUUUUCAUGACAACUGUUUGUGACUGCCACCCACAGCAUUCAAUGCAGCUGUGCUUUAGUGUCUCGUUUCAGGGAAAGUUGAAAGAUUACCUGCAAUUUGGGUCUCAGCCAUAACCAGCAUGUCUUUGAGUAUUUGCACUUACAUCCCUGAAAUAAAUUCUCAGAAUUUACCAUAUAAAAAUGACAUUUGAAAAAAUCACACUUCUUUUGUGGUUCAGUGUAUAUAUAUAUAUGAUGUUUUUUUAUCCCUGAGUUGAAUUUGUGCUGGAAAUUAUCUCUUUAUCCUGAAUCAUAUCUUGCAGAACAUUUCUAGGAGUUCUACUUCAAGAUUUUCGAAGUCUUUGAUAUUUAAAAUUUUUGUCUUUUAAAUCCUAAACUGCUUGUGAUUGAUGGAAUUUCUGUUGUUUUCAUAGAUGAGAGGGUUUCAUUUCAUUCUUCUGAUAAUAUCCAUCACUCUUUCUAAAAGCUCUAUUAGUGAGUAUCAGAUAGAUUCUUUACUGAAUACAGGUGUGCAUGAAUUUUCAUGAUCAAAUGCCUUCUUUGAUUCAUUGUUUAUUGUUGAUGCUCUUUCUCAACAUUUUCAUAAUGCUAGAUAGGCUUUUGCAAAUUUUAAUAUUUGUGUAUAGUUGCAAAAAUGAUGUUCACUUUCAUAUGCUAACCAUUUUUUUUAACUUAAUAGACAGGCUAAAUUUCUUUGUUACCUUAAUGUCAAUUACGAUGACAGAUGCAUAGUUUGAGUCCAUACAUUAUGCACUACUUUAGUUUUAUUGCUUCUGUGCAGUUAUAUUUUUGGAUAGAUUUUGGAAGAACUUAAAAUCUUGAAGUAUCAAAUGCUUUUAUCAUAUGCGGAAAUGUUUACCAAUUUUCUAACUUUAUAAAUGUCAUACCAACCUCAUAGCCAUAAUUUAUAGUUUGGAUCUUUACCUUUUGACCAACAGACUUAAAAAAUAAUUUUUUGUAACUAAGCACUUUCAAACUUCGGACACUGGUAGAAUGUGUCAUAUAAAACAUCUUUUACUCUUAGCGUUUCUAAGAAAAACUUAUAUUUACGAAGUUAUUUCACGUUAAAGUUGUCAUAUUUCGAUAAUUUCAACCAAUCAAUGACAUGUAUUCAGCUGAAUAAAAUUACUGCUGUUGUGUAUUUUCAUUUGUCAUUGUUAUUUAUGACAUUAUUUGUGCAUUUGUACAGGUUUUAGCUUUAAGGUUUUAGGGUUAGAGUUUUAGGGUUAGGGUUUUAAGGCUAGGGUUUUAGGGUUAGGUUUGUCAUAAAUAACAGUGACAAACGAAAUAUACACUGCCGGAAAUUCAAGUUGACAAACAACAGCAGUAAUUUUAUUCAGCUGAUUGGUUGAAAUUACCGAAAUACGACAACUUUAACGUGAAAUAAUUUCCUAAUUAUAAGCUUUUCUCAAAAGCCCUAAGAGUAAAAGAUGUUUUAUAUGACACAUUCUACCAGUGUUCGAAGUUUGAAAGUGUUUAAUUAUCAAAAAUUUUUUUUUAAAAAUCUGUCGGUCAAAAGGUAAAGAUCCUAUAGUUUUUCUUUAAUUGCUUUGAAACAUAUUUGUCUCCAAUGAUAGCUUAGAGUAAGAUAAAUGCACAUACAUACAUACAUAUAUGUACAUACACACACAUACGAUAUAAAUAACUCACAACUAGAAAUACUAUAGCUGCAUUGUAAAAUAGACGCAUGUUUCAUUAGUUUGUUUUUUGAAUGCAGCUUGUACACUUGAAUUUAUUUCCAACAGAGAUCAACAUAAAUACGUCUGUAUAUAUGCAUGUCGAUAUAUGAAUCUUAAUCAUAAGUAGUCUUCAAUAGGUGAUCAGCCCCGUUAACAUUUAAGUAUGACCAGUGGAAUUUAUCUCCUUUUCUAAUCAUGCAUAUACAGUAGUUGAAAUCUGUAUGUAAAUAAAUGAAACAUUUGUCAAUUUUACAUAGCUGCUACACCUUUUCAGUAAUGGGGCUUAUUGACAUUUAAGUUGAUACAUUAUUUACAAUUGACUGGUAUUUGUCCCUCAUCUUGUUUGUUGUUAACACAACGUUUCGGCCCACGGGCAUAUGGCGGGUUAAGAGCGCAGGCUACUAACUCCAAGAUUCCGAGUUCGAUUCCAGGCAGUGACCUGAACAAUAAUAAUAACAUUGAUAAGUACCUUAGGAAUGAGAACCCAGGUUCGAAAUUUCCGAACAAUAAUAAUAACAUCGAUAAGUACCUUAGGAAUGAGAACCCAGUUUCGAAAUUUCCCCAAGACACCUGGUGAAGGCUGGAGGGUAUAUCAGCCAAGAUGAAGACAAAUAUCCGUCAAUUGUAAAUAAUGUACAUAACUCCUCAUCUCUUAAAUAUAGAACUGUAUUUAAGUUGAUAAUGAACAUUUCUUUUUACUGGAAGGACAUUAUUGGCGUUGUUAUUAACAUAAACUAGUUUCACAGUUUCAGUUUUCUCUUUGUUUUCAUAAGUUUUCACUUUAAAAAGAGUACUUUUUAUUUAUGUAUGUUAGGUUAAUAUAUUUAUCCAAGUGUAAAAUUUGUAACUAGUUUCAUAUUUUAAUUUAUAACUAGUUUCAUAUUGAGUUCGCCAUGUCUCCCUCAUUUUGUUUGUUGUUAACACAACGUUUCGACCCACGGGCAUAUGGCGUAGUGGUUAAGAGCGCAGGCCACUAACCCCAAGAUUCUGAGUUCGAUAUAUAGAGCGGUGAGUGAGACAUAGCGAACAACAGUUAAAUCAAAUAAGCAAAUACAAUCGUUCAUCAACAGAUGCUUGCGUAGUAUACUUAAAAUCAGAUGGCCCGAACACAUAAGCAAUAUGGAGUUAUGGCAAAGAACGAAUCAAGUUUCGAUUAGGGAGCAAAUAUUUAAGAAAAAGUGGAAGUGGAUUGGUAGCACAAUUAGAAAAGACACUAAAUGUAGCGAAAAGUGCUUCACAGUGGAAUCCGGAUAGAUAUAGAAAGAUAGGUAGACCUAAGAACUCGUGGCGUAGAUCAACACAAAAGGAAUUAGAGACAGGGGGAUAUUCAUGGCAGAGUAUAAGUACAGAAACGAAACAUUAUGCAACAUGGAAUUCAAUUAUAAGUGGCCUAUACUCCGUGUUGGAGGGUUAAAGGCAGAAAAAUAAAUUCAUAUUGAGUAAUUUAAUUUGCAGCUUGUCAAGUUUGUAGAGUUUAAGAAUAGUAUUUUACAUAUAAUCCUUUCAACUAAAGGCACAAGGCCUGAAAUUUUGGGGGACAGGGUAAGUGGAUUACAUUGACUCCAAGUACUCAACUAAUACUUAAUUUGUCGACCCCGAAAGGAUGAAAGUCGACCUCGGCGGAAUUUGAACUCAGAACAUAAGGGCAGAUGAAAUGUCACUAAGUAUUUAGUCCAGAAUGCUAACAAUUCUGCCAGCUCGCUGCUUUAAAGCCCUGAUGCAAUACCAGGCAGUGGCUCUCAUGGCUUCUGAUCUUAACUAAUUGGAAGUGUUAUCAUGUACAUUGUUUUGUCUUGGUAUAAAAGAUGGGCUACAGCAAAGAUUUGCUUGUCAGUUGUUUGACCUUAACUAGUUGAGCAUGUCCCUUAGUGGCUGACGAUAUGUGCAUCUCUGAUCACACACAGAAGUGAGGGAGCAUCAUAGCCAUAUGUUGAGAGGAAUUCUUUGGGGUUUGAAUAAUUCACCUCUGGAAACAUGGGUGUUUCGUUCAACAUCCUUAAACAACCCUUAUUGGAUCUUUUCUUUAUCAAAAAGAAAAGAUCCCCCUUGAUUCGGGUGCCUUUUGAGCGGGAUGGGUUACUCGACCAGGAGAAAAUUCUAACUGGGCCCCACUUGCAAGGUCAUGUUCUGUUUAUCUUGAUAUGAGAUCACCAUGUCGCGCACAUAUGGUUGUGCUGCAUGUGUCUGGUGUACUCUUAUCAGACAAGUAGUUAUGAUGGGUAUACUGGGUUUCGUAUAUUUUACCCGUGUCACUUUGAUGGUAUGCGCUGCUCUCUCACAUAAUAAUAAUAAAACACGUGUCUCGUUGGUCACACUAGUAAAGAGAGACUAAAACAAAUGGAGAGGGAGUAACAGUCAGAGACACUAAAUAGUAGUGUUAAUUUUCCCUUGUAAAUUAUGUUUAUCAAUUUCACACACAUACACACAAGCACAUUUCUUACAAUACAGCACAGUGUUCCACACCUGACAAUCUGGUAGAAGGAAAGUAAAACUACAAAGAAAUGAAGUGAGUGGGGUAAAUGAGAAAUAUAAAAAUAUAGAGCGACGAGUGAGCGGCAUAUCAACUGCUGGGGCAGCAGGUAUUUUGAUAAGAUUUGAACAGCAAAAUUUUAUUUUUUCCAAAUAAAUAAAUAAACUAAAAACUGGAAACUAAUUAUGCUAAGUGAUGAUGGAAGUUCAAACACACGCACACGCACGCGCACACACAGAUGUACGUCAUCAUAGGCACACGAACGCUGUAUAUAACUUUUGAUGGAGUCAAUUGAUAGGGAAUGAGGGGUAGAGAAUAAAAUUGUUAUCGUAAUAGUUUAUAAUAUUAUCCCUUUUUGCUUUUCUGCUUCUCUGUUCACUUAUUUACUUCAAUAAAUUAGGUAAUUUUUUUAAUAAAGUAAAUUAAAAAAAGAAAAAAGGAAAAAGGAACACCGUUUAAAGGAUAUAUCACUUGAUUCAAUCUUGCGAACAGACGACAUUCAAACAGACCAGACGACAGUCAACCACGAUAUCAAAACAUGUUGCCGGUCGCUGUAGAAAAAACAUUAUUUCAAGCAAAAGUAAGAAAAUACUUAGAUAUUUAAUUUUAUAUAUUUAAUUUCACACACACACGAAAUUAAAUAUUAAACACUUGUUUUCAAAAUAUCGUUCGCAUAACGUUUAUAUUUGUGUUUGUGUGAAAAAAAAAAAAUAUAUAUAUUAUAUACUGUUCUGUGAUAGAAAAUUCAGCAACAGAGUACACCAUGCGGUGACAGAUAAAUAUUAUCUAUUUAAAGGACACAGUACAUGUCUGUAAGUGCUACUAAUAGUUUCAUAUGUUGAGGAAUGUGAAUGUGUUCAUCAGGCACAGACCACAUAUAACGCACUAAAAAGAAAAAUUGAAUAAGAAAAGAAACACGAAAAAACUGAGAAGGCAACAUAUAAAAAAACUCUGUAUGCUGCCUUCUCGGGUUUUUCGCGAUUCUUUUGUUCAAUUUUUUGUUAGAUAUUUUUAUUUUCAUACUAGCAGUAUCGCCCGGCGUUGCUCGGGUUUGUAAGGGAAAUAGCUAUAUAAGCAUUUUUAGAGAUGUAAAGUAUAAUAGCCAUCUCAAUAUGGUUAACCACAUAUGUUACUGUAGCUUUUUACGUUCUGAGAUUUAAUAAUAAAUUUUUAGAGAGUUACUUCCCUUAUAUAUGCCAAAAAUGCAUUAAAAAUGGGAAAAAUUGAUGGGAAAUUUUUUUUUAAAUCGUAGACUCAUCGUAGACGCGCGCUAAUACCCAGAAGGGCUCGAUAUGAAUCUCGACUAUAAGAUACCCAGUUUUGGUUAAACUGCACCGCAAAAUGUGGGAGUAAUUAGGAAUCUAAAUCGUAGGAGACAGACAGCACACAACCUCACUUUUAUAUAUAAAGACUAGCAGUAUCGCCUGGCGUUGCUCGGGUUUGGAUCUAUAUAAGCAUUUUUAGAGAUGUAAAGUAUAACAGCCAUCUCAAUAUGGCUAACCACAAAGUGGGGCGGUGUUAUUGUAGCUUUUUACGUUCUGAGAUUUAAUAAAAAAAUUUUAGAGAGUUACUUCCCUUAUAUAUGCCAAAAAUGCAUUAAAAAUGGGAAAAAUUGAUGGUAAAUUUUUUUAAAUCGUAGACUCAUCGUAGACACGUGCUAAUACCCAGAAGGGCUCGAUAUGAAUCACGACUAUAAGAUACCCGGUUUUGGUUAAACUGCACCGCAAAAUGUGGGAGUAGUUAGGAAUCUAAAUCGUAGGAGACAGACAGCACACAACCUCUCUUUUAUAUAUAAAGAUAUAACAUGUAAACACAUACAGUUGCGGCCAAAAUGUUCAGAACGGCAUUGUUUUCGUCAGAAAAGUAGGUAUUAAUGAUUUAUCAAAGUUGUUUUAUAUUAUAUAAAUUUCACAGAUAAUAAAUACAAUAUUAGUUGUUAUUGUCUGAGAUUUUGGUGUAAUUUGAGAGGAUAAGACAAAGUUAUGGAUGAUUUAGUGAUUUACUGCAAAACCCAUGGCGGCCAAAGUGAUCAGAACGGUUGCUUUUACUCCGUGUUUUAGUAUAUUUAACUGUACAUCUUUUAGAACAUUGCCAUUUUAUAAGAUUUUGCUGGCAAGUUGUUAAAUUAACAUAAACAUUUAUUUACAUGAAAGAAAUUUACCGGAGAACUGUCAUUCAAUCCUUCCAAAUCUUUCUAUUAAAACUGUAUUGAAACCAUUUGUAGAGGUUCUUAUUUUUUAUCACAGCAACUGGUCGCACACCACAAAGUUUAACGGAACCUACUGAAGCAAGCCAGCACGCUCGCAGCAUUACCACGGGCGCUGGCGAGGCUAAGGUGUUGGGAAAGCCAAGCACCCUCACAGGUAUCAUCUGACACACCGGUGAGGCGAGCUGCUAAUGUUAACAAGGAAUUCGCAGUUAGUGGUCCAGUCCCUCCGAACGUCUCAAAAAUACCACAUGUCAGAAGAGAUAGUUCACUGCCAAGUGCUGAUACUUCAGGGUUUUCUUCCAUUCAGCUACGGAAGCAGCAACCCUCCCAUUAACUGCCGCAUCCAGGAUGUGGGCGGGAGCAAAAGAGUUGCAGAAUGUGACAUCCUUAAUGAAGCACCUACUUCAAACCCAGAGACAGAGAGUAAUACCAUCUGGUCUCUUUCCAUUACUUUUGGAUAAUCCCGACGACUCCAGAACCAAGGGGAUAUUAAUCCAAGCCAGGGUUUGCUUAGUGAUUAGGUUUAGCUUGGUGUGACGAGCGAAGUGACUAGCAUUUAGGUGGCAAGGCAGAUCAUGAAGACCUGUGGGGUCGAGGGGCCUACCACAGAGACAUCUCAGUCCCCUACAUACGUCAGCUCCUACUCUGAGUGUGAUGGAGAUGCGGAGUUCAUCUAGACUGAGUAGAGCUCCAAUGUUGGCCACAGGCAGGACAUCAAUCCAGUCCCCUGAGAAUUUUACAUUAGCUGAAAGUAAGUGACACCUCGAAAAUUGAUUAGAUUGAUCAAGGAGAGAGUUGAAAGUAGCAUCUGAACGCAGAUUGCCCCAUACUCUCUGUUUCCGUCUAUUGUCCACUGCAACCGGAACUGACAAACCCAGCUCUCUCCACUGUGAUAGAGCUCCAUCCAUCUCCCUGUUGGAGUUAGUCCAUGUCAGAGAGGAGAGGUUGUUGCCUACUAAAAGGGGGCCAGCAUAGACGGAGGGAAGGAAAUAGGGAAGAGAUAAAGACAAGCAUUUGUGCAGACCUAGACCCUGCCUAAACUGUUUGGGCAAAGCAGCUUGGUCACAGGAGUCUGGGGUGAGUUUGACAUUAACCAAGAAUUUGAAUUUUCUGAAGAUUAGGUUGUCAAAAUAUCGGAGAGACGACAGGAAUCUGUAAGAGGGACUAACUCUCAGAAAAUGCCAUAGCUUAGGAAUUGACAACUAAUUCCUAGAUAUACAAAACCUUAGGUGGGCCCCAAUUACCUCAAGGUUUUUUAAAAGUUGUUCGUGGUUAACCACUUUGGAUCUAAAGAUGGACUGAAAAGCUAGGUCAGUAAUUGGGAAUCGAAGGGAACACCAUGCAGAUGAAGGAGGAAUCGUGAUUGAGGGGAGGGAGUCAACAACCACUUUAGCAGUUUACUCAUGCAAAGCUGGUGGUUGGGGAGCCAGAGUUGUUAAUGCUAAGGCCUGUAUCAAAUUCCUUGCAGUUGCAAGCACCUUGUCAGGAGGGCCUCCCAAACAAGCAUCGUCAAGGUACCAGUCAUUUAGGUUUUGGUAACAUCAUCAAUACCCAAUGCGAAUAGGCCAGGAUCAAGUGGGUCAUUCGGCUGGACUCCAGAGACAGAUGGGAUGAGGUGGUCAACAAACGAAAGGUAGUAGGGCUCCUGAUAAGCUUGCCAAGCAAAGUGAUAAGGUGGUGGGGAAUUCCCCCUUACUGCCCAGAGAAUGACAUCUCGACUGAUGAAGUUAAAAGUAUUCUUAAGGCCAAGUUUGAGGAUGACCUUUGGGGACUCAGAGGGCAAGUUAGUGAAAGCCCUGGUGGCAUGAGCAGCGGCCUCACAGCCUAGCAUAGUACCUACUCCUAGCUGAAUAAGGUAAAAUUCCUUGGUUAGGCAGUUAGAAACUGAGGACAUGCACACUUUUACUGUGCGCCGUCACAGAAUACAACCAACUGCUAUGGGGCAGAGGUCACUGUUGGGCUUAGUGAGACCAAAUAGUUUGGCCCCAAAAAACAGGAGACAAAUGUAGGAAAGGACACUCUCAGACGAGAACAAAUUUAUGAACUGUGUUAGGUUCUUCAAGAGUUUGAGCCCAGCAUUACCAGUUGACAGGGAGAUACCAUCAUUGAGAUGCUGAGGUUGUAAGCCAUCGAUCCCAACCCCAGAAUCUGCUGGAAAAGAGUCAGUUGCCCUCCUGGCAUUGUCAGGGGUGAAGAUGGGUUGCAAAAGACUUGGUAGGUCGGACCAGUGUAGGAGGAUGUUUCUCCUGUUGUUUGAGGGAGUCUGUGGUACACGGAACAAGGGAGGACAGAGAGGGAAGUAGGCAAACAGCUGAAUUUAUCAUUAACAGCCUUCUUUAAGUUAGGUGGUCGACCAUUGAUCGGGGUUGAUCUGAUGACCAACCUCAGACGAACAGUGGUUGGGGUAGGUUCGAACAGCUCAAACUGCCGUUUCAGGGAAGAAGUGAGAGAUCCACUAUUCCCAUUCGUCAUGUGGAGGGAGACCAAAAGGAACAGGAACAGUUUCUGCCAAUCCGAAGUGUUCUUCAAUAGGCAGACAUUCUUCAGCAGUUUCGAGAGAACAUGAGCAAAACAAAUCUGAGCAUCUUUAGGGAUCUGAUUAAUGAGCCUCAACUUAGACAAACCCUAGAGGGCGGCAGCAAAGUCUUUAACAGUGAUCUGGACCUCAAAGCAAGGUUCUGUCCUACUAAGGAUGUCAGACCUGAAGUAACAUCAGUUGUAUGUCCAAUUAGAAAACUUUCAGCUUGAACCUUAGUAAUGCCGACGCAACUUCUGUGGUAGCUUAGACUACACAUGUGACAUUUGAUGGGCUUCAAAUAGCGACUUGUACAGGUGCUAAGAACACAGCUUGGAGGUGAACUGGCAGUAUCAGUGGGGGUCAGUAAUAGAAUUAGAAUUCACAUGAGGAGGAGUAGUGUUGGGAGAAGAAUGGUACUGGAGACAGAGUGGGGUAGCUGAUAUUAUUAUUAUUAUUAAGUUGAUUUAAAUACUGUGUGAUUGGUGUUUUGGUUUGUGAGUGACUUGUAUAAACAGGGAGCGUGUAUUUGUGUAGAGAUGGAAAUGCGUUCGUGAUUUGUGUUUCUACUUAUAACACUUUAAUAAAACCAAGGGAGACCCCAGACCUUCGAACAAAAACCAGUGACCCUGAAACACCACAAAAUCUGACGACAUCAUACGCAUCGUCGUAAUCACUAUUCAUGCUUGACAGCCAUCUUACACAUUGAUUGAAUACCGCGCAUAUAGUGAAGAUCAAUUUACAUGUACACAAAAGUUUUUUCCAUUGAAAAAUUCAAAUGCAGAGGUUUUUGGUAAAUUUUCAGAUAAACACCUGCACGAUUUUCAGCAAAAAAAAAACCUCAGAUUUUUUGCCUGGAAUCAAGUACCCUGACCUCCUAAUAUGCUGCAAAUCUCAUAUUUUGGUUCAGAGGGUGGGGCGAGGGGGGACCCCCGGAAUUUUCACUAAGGAAAAAAUAUUCGGAUUUUAUCCAAACAUGAAAAUGUUACUCAACUUUGAAGUUUUGGAGACUGACGUCCCCUUUUCACACACACACAUAUUAUGCACUUAUAUAUUAAUGAUGUACACAAAUACAUGAUAGGUAUACAUAAUACUGAAAUAUGCAUAAUGUAAAUACAUGCAGAUAAAUAUAUUAACAUAACAAAUUUUAAAACAUAAUAAAAACAUACAAUCAAUGAAGAGACGAAAAAAACAGUAAUGUUGAUUUUAUUAGGUAUUUCUCUUUAUUUAGAAACCUAGACAAAGGGGAAAUAUUACCUUUUCUGUGAACAAGUAAAACUUGAUGACUAGAAGAAUAUUUGCCAUGUUUUUACAUGCCAAAUGCUCUUCAAUAAAUUUCUUUUGAGCCAUGGUAGCAUGGAAAACUGGAUGCUAAAAUAAUUUCUUCUACUCUAGGCACAAGGCCUGAAAACUUUUGGGGAGAGGGCCAGUCAAUUAGAUCGACCCCAGUGUGCAACUGUUACUUAAUUUAUCGACCCCAAAAGGAUGAAAGGUAAAGUCGACCUCAGUGGAAUUUGAACUCAGAAUGUAAAGACAGACAAAAUAUUGCAAAGCAUUUCGCUCAGUGUGCUAAUGUUUCUGCCAGCUUGCCGCCUUUGGAUGUUAAAAUAACGAUCAACCUACAUAUCUACCUACCUACCUACCUACUAAAAUGUAUUCAACUGCAAAAAUAUGGAUACAGUUCCACGCAGAUACAUAUAUUCAUAUUUUCACAUAUUCGUGAAUUGAUGCAUACUUACAUACAUACAUACAUCUAUAAAUUUAUGCAUGGUUUAUUAAUAUUGGAAAAAAUAUACAUUUCUUGCACAUGAUUAAAGAAUAGCUUUUUAUAUGAAGAGUAGCCAUUAUAAAUGCAAUGCCAGAUUUAAUUAUUUCUGUAAGGCAUAUAAUGCCUUGCUAAUACCAUUUCCAUUUAGUUCAGUUCUUAUUGUUCGAUACUGAAAAUCAAAUUGACCUAUGCAACAAAACAGUGUCUACCUUUAUUGUUUUACAUAGAAUCUGUAUGAAAAAAAUCAUAAUCAGAUUUGGUUAAAAAAAGAUAAAGAGGCUUUUGUGUAUGAGGAGGUAUGUAUGACUAUGUACAUAUGAAUAUAUAAGUAUACAUCUAAUUUGAUGUGUAUAUUUAUGUAGUUGCAUGAGUAUGUGUUUUGUAAUGAUGUAUGUUUAAAUAGCAGUAUAAAUGUGUAUACAGCUUCAGGAAAUUUUUUAUUAAUUAUUUCCCCUACUUAAUUUUGUUGUUUUCAAUUUUAUAAUUUAUUUCAGUGUAUAUAGUGAAAUGCAAUUAAUUGGAUUUAUUCAUAGACCUAUUCUAUACUGUUAAGUCUUUUAUGUCUGUUGAUAUCCAGGGAAAUUAGUAGAAAUCUAGUUGAAAGAUAAAUAGAGAAAUACAUACUUAAAAUAAACAAAGCCUGACAGAAUUACUAAAUGGUUAAAAGCUUGGAUUUUUCUGAUAGCAUAGCAGCUAGUAAGCAGGUUUAAAGUAUGUCUUAUAUUGAUUUUAUCAAACCUAAUUCAUUUGGUUCAGAAGAGUUUCAGAAAUUAGUACUUUGUUACAAGCAUUAUGUUAUGUUACAACUUAUCAUUGAUUGUAUAGCUAAAUCACAAAAUUAAUGUAAAUAUUCUUGGUUGCCUAUUUAAUGAAGCAGGUUUCAAAUUCAGUCAUUGGUAUUCAGUUUGUUCAAAGGAUCACUUAAGCAAGAUACUUUAUUCCAAAGGAUUCAUACAAUAUGGUAUUUAACUGAAAAUUAUUUAUGAAUCAGAUUUAUAUUUUUUAUGUUUCUAAUGUUGCCUAAACUGGAAGAAAGAGCUGUUUUUAUGGCCUCAAAAACCUUGAGAGAUUGUGAGAUCAUGAUCAAUGUUCCUGUUGAGUAAUUGCAAGUUGACAGCUACAGGAAGAAAAAUUGUGCCAGGCAUGAAUAUAAAGCUGGUGGUGAAGUGAAGCAACACAAUGUGAGUGACAAGAGAAAGAGAGAUGAGUGAGUCAGAAAUGCCUGAGGGAAGGUAGCAUGAGACCAAUCAGCUUUAAGGAGCAGGUAUCAUAGUAGUAAUAUUAAAAUAAAAGGCAUGGCGAAGAGACUGCAUGUCUGUAUGUCAAGGGUUGCAGUGUGUUGGUGAGCAACUUCAAGUCAAUCAAUCAAGUAGCAUUUCAUUGGAUUUGACCUUCAACAUUUGCAUGUUUGUAGGUGUAUGUAGUAAUAGUGCCAUACUAUAUGUGGGAUUAAUACAUCAUUGUGAGUCUCUCCUGGAUUUUGGACAGAGUAGUUGUUGGGGGCUGAAGUAUUUUAUGGCUAUGAGGUGGAAAAGCUAAUCUUUGUGAUACAGUCUUUGCAUAUGACGAGUGUAUGGACAUUCUUUUGAUGAUAGUACCAAGUCUCUCAAAAUGGACAGCUGAUUUGUUUGGCUAUUUCCAUAGAGAAUUAUUUAUUUAUUUAUUUGCUUUUUAUUUUCGUGUCCUGUUGAAGCUGACAUUUGCCAUUCAAGCUGGUGAGGGAGGUGAAAAGUGAAACAGAUGCUUACAUGCGCUCACACACACCCAUUGUCCAUAAGUUGAAUAGUGAAACCCACACAUACACACACAUAAAUGCACACAUACAUAAAGCUGAACAUGUUCACAUGCAAACACACACAUAUGUACACCCAUUAUCUUUCAUAUACACAUACAUACAUAAAUAUAUAUAUACAUACGUUUUGAAUGUUAUGUAAGUAUGCAUGUAUGUAUGCAUGCAUGUGAGUGUGCAACCACACGUGAGUGUCAGUUUCACUUUUCACCUCCCUCACCAACAUUAAAGGCAAAUGUCAGCUUCAAUAGGGCAUGAAAACAAGAGUAAAUAAAUAAAAAUUUUGUAAGGAAAUUGCCAAACAAAUCAGCUGUCCAUUUUGAAACAAGAAAAUUCCAGCUAAGCUGCAUGAUAGUGGUGUCAGACGUGGCGUGCAGACCUUCAUAUAACUUGUUUGACAUUGCAUUUUUAUUCUUCUCUUCCAUUUUAUGAAUUCAGUGUGCACAUGUGCAUUGCAUGUUCAUACUUCUCUUUCUGGUUCCUACUAAAAUCUGUUUACGGAUCACAACCUUAUCAUGAACCUGCAGUCAUAAGGAGCACUUAAUGCUCUGACGAUUAUGGAAUAGUCUAGUGAUGUGAUUAUUUUAACUUCUCAAGGCGACAAAAUGUACCUGCAACUAUAGGGGAGAAAACUCAUGGGCGAAAAAUCGCGACAGUAUUUUUGAUAAAACUGUAUUUCUAUGGUUCUUGUAAGCCUUCUCAUGUUUGAUGUAGCGAGAUUGAUGCAGUGUAGAAAUUAAUGAUGUUUGGCUUUCAUUUGUGCACUAAGAACUAUACAAAUUCAAUUUGAAGGUAAUCUAGAUGAAAAAAAAAAUACUGAUAGAUGAACUAGAAUUUACUGUUAUUUUUCAUGAGAUAGCAGCUACAGAUAAAACAAGUUUUAGCAAUAUGAAGACAGUGAAAUUGAGUAAGGAAGCUAAAUGGACAACCAGAUAUUCUUCUGUAUUAAAUUAAAAAAGAUUUUCCUAAAUUUAAAAAAAGUACUGUAAUAUGUAAGAAAUUUUGGAAAAGGUUGUUUGAGAAUAUUAUAUUUUGUUUUUAAUUCAUUGAGCUAAAAGUUAUGAGAAUCCAAUUUUCUUUUUAUUCUUCUGAGACACUCUAGUACAUCUAUUAAUUUGAUGCUAAAAACAGCUUAGAUAGACAAAAAAAAAUUCUUAGGAAUUUCUGCAAAACCAGUUGACUAAAAUUUAUGUAUGUACCAAAACUUAAACUUUGACUUACAGUGUAUGAUAGGCCUAAGGAAUAAAAAAAAAAAAACUAUUUUGAAACAUUUAGCCAGUUGUGAAGGGUCACAGCCAUGACAGGUUUAGGCCUUACAAGAAUGUUUGAAUUGAUAAAAAUGUUAAUUUUAAAUUUCUAUAAUAAAAAUGUUUCUGCAUAGGGAAAGAAUAUGCCAUCAAGCAGCAGCUUAAGGCAGGAACAAUUGAAAAGUGGGUUUACUGAGAGUUUUGUAGAAUGAAACACAUCAAGGAUGAUGAGAGGAUGAUUGGUAUUAUUAUAUGACACAUGUUGGAGUUUGUCUUUAGCUAACUAGUAAAAAACAAUCUGAAACCAUGGAAUCAUAGAAUAGAAACAAUAUAUUUGUGAGUCAGUUCUUAGACUGUAUUUGUGAGUAAUUCUUUGCAAUCAGCUCAGUGGCCUUUUUCAGAUAUGUAGUCAUAAGUGUUCGUACAUAUAGCACCAACACCAUUACAGAUUUGUGAUCAAUAUACAAAUCUAAAUUGCAUUUGAACAUUGUGAAGUUUCAGAAACUGAACCAAGAUGAUGCAUAGUUUUGGGCUCUGAAAAAAGAAGUUUAAUCUUAGGAUGUACAUUUGGCAAGAAUUUACAUGUGAACUUGCCAUAAAAAUUCAAAACAUUGCAGUAACAUUUUAAGUUUUACUAUCUUGUUCAUGAGGUUAUACUACAACAUUGUUGGCUUAGUAUCUGAUAUGAUUCUGUUUUUGUGCUGUUGAUGACUCCUUUAUCAUGUACCCCUUAGGAAGUUUCAGACUUGCCAUGGAAGCAGUGGAAUCUGGUAUGAGGUUGUAGAUGAAGGAUACUUGUGUUUAGAAGGUUAUGGCGAAGUGAAAGGGGUAUUAUGUACAUAGCGAUAUUUGUGGUUAGAAGUAACAGCAAUUAAGUUUUUAAUGACUACAAAAAGAGUGAGACAUACAGCUGAACCUUGGUGCAAUGAGAGUUGGAAGGAGGACUAGAGAAAACACCACUUUGUUCACUGUGAUGGAGAAGUGUAACAUUCAGUCCAAGAUAUGUGAGAUAGAUUCCAUUAACAGGUAGCUAGAAGCAAUCUAGUUGUCCUUGACAUAGAUAUUAGCAAAGUCUUCAAUGGUGUCUAGCAAGAGAAAAUCCUGUCUUUUAUUAUGUUAUAUGAUUUCCCUUCAAGAUAAAAAUUUGAAAAAAAUAGAAUCGUUUCAAGACAGAAAGCAGUUAUCAAUCCAGAAAGCAUUUUUACAAUAUCCCAAUAAAAAAAAAUUAUCAAAAUAUUCAGGUGAUGAAAUACUUAAAAUAAUGUGCAUACCUUUGAGGUUGAUGGAACUAUUAAGUCAUUCAUGAAUUUUAUGAGUACUUCAAUGCUGAAUUUCAGGGGAAUUGACUCAUAUUCAGUGAUUCUUCUCAUAACCAAAUUAUUCAUCCUCACAAAUAUUAAUAACUGCUGGCUUAUCUACAUACACAUUAUGUAUUUAAACCAAUGUCAUUUUAAAGGAUAAAUUAGAUUGAGGAAAGUGUUUGAAUGAUAUAAUUUUAUGAUCCUGGCAGUACAUCCAACUGACAAGAAAUGUUUAAGAAUUUUUAUGAGAGGAAGUACAAAUAUCCAAAUCUAGCAAGAAGAGAAGCUGAAACUGAACAAGAUCAGAAGGGAACACAUUGGUUCUAGAAUUCUUAACAACUGGCCGAAUCUUUUCAUCAUUGCUUAGAUCAAAAUUAAAGGUAUUUACUGAUUUGAAGAGCAUUUCAUGAAAGAGUAAGAGCCCUUGUUGAUUCAAAAAAGGGUUUCUUUUAGUAUUUAUUUUUGCCAAAGAAUCUUAUGACCAUUAAAAUUUUUUUAUCGGUUUUCUUGAUAAAAAAAGACAUAAAAAUAUCAUUGAUUAGAGUUUUAGAAUUAGAAUAAUUUGGUGAAAUAGAUUUACUAUGACCAAUGUUCCCUGGCAUGUUAAAUUAAAAAGAAAUCUUUUAUCAGAAAAAGUUCAGGCAUGUAAAAAAUAGUUCAGGCAUGUAAUUUUUAUUACUGAGAAGCAAGUUGCUAAUAAAAGUGAAUUUACUUUUAUUGGAACUAAUUGAUUUAUAUUUAUAUUACAGCUGUCUUUUAUAUGAUCCUAUAAUAUAUUCAUAAAGAAACUAUGCCUCUUUUUCCUAGUACAAAGCUUUAAAGAAGACAGUAGGGCCUACAUUUAGACAAAGUUAAAACAACUGAAAGUUAAAUUUUUACCAAAAUCAAUACUACGCUUAGAAACUUAUCUAAUUUUAAAUUCUCAAUAUUAAACGAUAAGAAGUCACAGCUAUGAUUCCUAAUGGGAGACAAAACAGAUUCAUUUUAUGGUUGCAUCUGAAAAGAAUUUUAUAGCAGUCACCUGCACUGGGCAAGCAAAAUUAAUGCAGAAUGCAAAAUCCAAGCCGUUAUCUUCAGUAUGUUUGAUCAUUUGUAAUAUGCUGAGUAAUGAAUUCCAAAUUCUUCAGAAUAAUUUUGCAAUAAAUUUGACUUAUUGUAAGAAACAUUAAGAAUUUUAUACAUAUAUAUUUUGUGUGUGUGUGUGUGUUCAUGUGCAUGUAGGUCACUUUGAAAACAUGACUGUGUUAGAGAUUUAUAUGUAUUCAUGUAUUAUCAUAUUUUCAUAUGAAUUCCUUGUAGUUCGUCUAAAACAAUAAAGUUUCCAAAUCUGUCAUCAAUGUUUCUAGACUAAUAUAGUUUUAUUUCUUUGAAGAAGUGAUUUUGGUGUGUUUGCUUCUAUACUAAGUAGAACCAAUGUGAUUAAGGUUCAUAUACCAUCACUCAAGGUGUUUUUAAAAUUUUGUUUGUGAUUAGUCUGCUUUCUGUGUGCUUAUUUUUGAAUUGUACUCUGCUUAGACUAUUGCUUUCAUCAUUAUGUAAUAAACACUUUCCUCAUUUGUAAAGAGUCUAGUGAUGAUAAAGAAAAUUAUUUCUUUAAAAAAAGAUAAAAUCCCAGUUUGCUGAGUCUGUGCAACAAUUUAAAUCACCUGCUGAAACUAUUUCAUUUCCUCUAAAGGCUGAUAGAAAGGUAGAAAUGGUACACUAAAUUUUUUUUAAAGUUUCAGACCAUUUUGUUCUUAAUUUAUAUCUUACAAAGAUCAUCUUUGCCUUUCAUCCCUCAGGUAUGUGUGGGUCAAUAAAAAUAUACUAAGGUUAAUUCAGUCAGUUUUACUCUGACAACAAAUUUGUACCUUUAUGCUAAUAUAAGGAAUCCUGAUUGUUAUGUCAGUUGUGAAGUCACGUGGAUCAGGUGUUAGGGUAUUCAGCUCAUGAUUGUUAGGUCAUGAGUUUGAUUCCUGGCAAUGUGUUAUGUCAUUGAGUACUGCUUCAGUCCUCUUAGUUGGCAAAGAUGAAUUGUACCUGUAUUUCAAAGAGCCAGCAUUGUCAUAUUUUGUAUCACACUGAAUCUCUCUGAGAACUAUAUGCAUGUCUGUGGAGUGCUCAGUCACUUGCAUGUAAUUUCGCAAGCAGGCUGUCCAUUGAUUGGAUUAACUGGAACGCUUAUUGUCAUAACCAACCAAGUAGCCAGUUAUGACAGUUGUGUUAGGGCGCCACAUUGGAUGCCUUAUACUUCAUUUGCAUCUUCAUGUUUUAACAUUAUAUAAUAACAUUGAGAUUAGAGUGAAUGUCAUAGUUUGCUAUUUCUCAUUGCAUAUUAACUACAGGUUUUAUAUUUGACUAAGAAAUGUUUAUUUUGGGGAAUUCAUCUUUCAUUCAGAGUAAUUCUCUACAGUCUUGCAUGGAUAAACUUAAUAUAAACAUCAUGCAUUUUCUAAAAACUUUUAUUUUCAAUGGCUUUGUCAGGAGUGAAAUGGUCACACUCAUAAUCCUUUACAAGGCAACUGUGUCUGUUGGGAGAAGGGAAGGAGUAAUCCUCAGACCAAAGACUUAGCCCAAAUGCUUGCAACUAAGUGACAUUGAUAACAGUACUCUAUAGACAGGUGGUAAUGUUAAACUGGGUAGUCUUCCCCUUCUGUGUCUACCAUCAAAGAAUUGGAAAGAUGCUUCCUGCAUGCUUCAGCUAUAGUUUCUGUUAAGCAAAUUUCACUUGCACAGAUGAAUUAAGUUUAUCACCCAAGAACAAGAAUAUUCCUUCUGAUGGACAUCCAUAGAUUGUCUGACAAUGAAAUUUCACCCAAAACACUUGGUUGAUGAUGCUUUCCAAAGAUGCUAUGUAGUUGCCAAGCAAACUUCUUAGUAGCAUGGCUACUACUAUCACUACCUGUAAAAAGGAUAUGGGCAUUGAUGUUUAACUAAAUUUUUGUUGGACUUGUGUUGUUGCUUCAACUGAAAACAUAUAUAGCUUUGUUCUUUUUUUCAAAUGAAAUCACUAUUAUUACUAUUAUUAGUUUUCAAGACAUGAUUUUUCAGUAACAUAUUAGUAAUCACUUAUGUUUAAUAGUUAUUUUUAAUUACUGAAUUUAAGAAACUAGAAAAUAAUGAAAGAAAAUUUGUACUAAUAAUAAAGAAGACAGUUUCAGUCACUGCUAAAUUCAUUUCAAAAUUUAAUAUUUCAUGAGUUGAUACUAUGCUAAAAGACACUUACCCAAAGUGGUAUCAGACUGAAAACUUGAAUAGUUGUGAUGUAAACAUCUGAAGGACACAGCAGUCUCUGUACACAAUGUAAUGCUUAUGAAACAAAUUAAUAUUAUUAUUAUUAUUAAUUUUCAGUGUUAUUAUUAAUUAUUGGUAUUGAUUAAUGGUAUUUUGUCUGCAGCUACGCUCUGAGUUCAAAUUCUGCUGAGGUUGAUUUUGCCUUUCAUCUUUUUGGGGUCAAUUAGAUAAGUGUCAGUUAUGCACUGGGGUCAAUGUAAUUGACUUAUCCUCUUCCUCCAAAUUCCAGCCUUGUGCUUAUAGUAGAAAGGACUAAUAUUAAUUACCAUCACUAUCCACAAGUGAACGAUUAUAAAAAUGAUGAUUGAGGUUAUAAAAUCCAUAUAUUAUUACAUUGUUCUAAUUAACUUCAAAAAUACAUUAAAAGUAUUUUGAUUACAAGAAUAUUCUGACUGAAUAUAAUCCAUUCAUUGCUGUUACAUGAAAUUCAUCUUAAAUUAAUAAAACAUUCUGAAGAUCCUAUGCAAACAAAAAACAUACUUUCAUUGAAAGCAAAAAAUUAAAUCAUUCAUAUAAAUGCAUCUAAAUAUUUAAGUUGUCUUGAAUUUCACAUAAAAAUAGAUGAUGUAUUUCUCUAGUAUUUACAGAUCUUACAUUUUGUUAUUUUGAUUUACCAUAUGUUGAUUCUACUGACAUCUUUUACUUGUUUCAGUCACUAGACUUCUUCACUGCCAGCAUAAAUGUAUUGAUAAUUUAGGUGCAUAUUUUGAUUUUCUGCACCCCUUUUUGAAAUAAAGUAAAAUAAAAAUUCAGUUCAGAAUCGAACAUUUCAUUCUUAAUGAUCUGAUAGUUUAAAAUCUGUAGUUGCUGGGAUAUCUAUGUCACUGUUUACCUAAUAUAAUUUUACAAAGCCUCUUGCUGGCUAUUUCAGUAAUGAGAAAUUGGCUGCAAUACAUCGUAAAUUUCUUAUUGAUGAUAUUGCUUGUCUUAAAAUUCUUGUCCACUUCAGUUUAUUAUACUUUUAACUGGGAUUUUCCAUCUAAUCAAAUGAGGAUUCUUUUAUUGCUUAUUCUGUAAAGGGUGCCUUCCUUUAUUGCUUAUUCUAUAAAGGGACUCUCUUUUCAUUGCUUCUUCUAUGAAGGUUCUCAUUUUUUUAUUACUUGUUCUGAAAAGGUCUGCAAAAGGUUUCUUUUCAUUUUAUGAGAACAUUUUUCAAAGGCAAACCACAGUAUUUGACUCAAACUAAAUAUCUCUUUUAAAAUGUGAAUUAUUGAGACACUUCUUAAUAAUGUCUUUGAAACAACAUCAGUAAAUGCAUUUAAAACAUUCCUGCUUGGUGUAACAAAAGGUUACUGUUGUACAUGAAUUAAAAUUUAAUUUAAUAGAAAUAUCUAUAAGCUAAUAAUUCCCAU